rnacentral:lncRNA from 1 species
GAGAAAUCGCAGGGGAAGGGAGGGGUCUUCUUGGGGUAGGAGACAACGAUGGAUGCGGCUUAUAAAGAAUGGGGUUCGAUUGGAGCGGGCAUUGGUUCUUGUUGCCGAGAGAAGGAGAGAGAGAGAGUCAAUGCGGAAGAGUCAAGAGGCCGAGCCCUGUUUUUACUUCGGCCAUGAAUGACUGCAACUUUCUUCGUUCUUGUUGCUGUAAUGUAAAUGGUCCUUUCGAGGACCAGAGGGGAAGAGAGAGCUUUCGAGGACCAGAGGGGAAGAGAGAGAGAGAGAGAGAGGUAGGGGAUUUGGCUAUUGGCUCUGUAUUCGUCUCCCUAUGAAGUGAAUCGUCUCUUUAGGAUUGUUGUCAAUCAAUGACCGUGACGAAAAAUCGAAAAUGCUCGGUAUUCGUGGAAUCGGGUCGAGCCGAUCGCGUUCUUUGCACCGAUUACUUUAUGCGUGAUCGAGCCGCACGAGACCGGAUCCAGAAGGUAGAGCGUGGUAAAGAAACUUACGGCACCUACCAAAGCAUUGACGAAGCAUGGUACAUAAUCAAUGCUCGGCGUUGCUUGGUAUGUUUACCAUCCAUAGUGAUUUCGAAAAUUCGGCCGAUUUAUUUCUUAAAUUGGGAUUUUAAUUUACCUGGUUAGGCGAUUUUGUGUUUAUUUCUCAAUGGGGAAAGAGUAAUGAAUUGGAAACAGGUGGCGAGCAAGCAAAGAACAAUGAGAUCCUCUUUUCCCUCAUUUUAUUAUUUGAGCUUGGGAAUAUUCACCUAAGCUUGCAUCUAUGUUAUUGGGUUGGAGGGCAGUGGGUGCGAUGAUUCGCCUAAUUGAAUUGAUUAGGGAACUAAUACUAAUAAUGCAUUAAAUCAUGAUGACGUGAUUUAUAACCCCUUUUAAAUUUACGGAACUAAAAUAAGAAAUCCCUUUAUAUUAUAUAUCUGUUAUUACAAUGUCCUCGAAGGAUGAAUUAGAAGCGAAGACAUUGUAAUGUACUUAGCGUGUGCUGCACUUCCCCGUUUGCCUUUUCCACAAUUUGACCUCUGAGAUCGGACUUGGGCGACGGACUCAAUUUAUGACAACGUGUCUUUUUUUUUUUAACAGCAAAAUUACGACAAAAAAAGAGGUUAAAUUGUGAAAGUGGCAUGCUGUCCAGAAUCGUAGGCGUCUAAUUUUCUUGAUCCACGUUAUAAUCUCCGGCAAAAUUGGUCCUGUGCAAUUUAAGCAACAUUUUGGAUAUUCUUUUUUGGGGAAAUUUAAUUGCCAUUUCCUUAAUAGAACAACAUACCACGUAAAUGUCUAGUUUACCCUCCACAAAAAAAUUGCGCCCUUCUUUUUUUUCCUUUCCGUUGACUUUUAUUUUCCUGGUUUGUUGCUAAUGUUGGGUUGAAUUCGGAUAUUCGGACAGUCCGAUAUGUCUUGGCUGUAGAGUAGUAAUCCCAGGCUGGCAUGUUCGGAUGGAUCGCAAUCCCAGCAAUUCAUUUUUUUUUAAAGGAAAAUUAUUUGCUUUAAUUGCACAAAAUGGAAAUAAAAGAUUUGAUUUAGUUCUCUUUCCGUGAUGUGGGGUCAUACGAUCGAAUACCCCUAAUGCCCCCCCGCAAUCAUAUUCGUAUGAUGAUGAUCACCAUCGGUAGAUAUUCGUUAAUUAAAUUACAUUUGCACGUUAAAGAUAUCUAUAUUUAAGUUUCUUUUCGGUCAAAUCAAUAAUUAAGUCGAUUCAUCCCCUUAAUGGCACCUUCUGAAAAAUGAAAAUGCGGUGCAUUAUUUAUAAUUUCAGUAGAUUAUGGUCUAAAUUCAGAGAAUAUUGUUAUUGGGACUUGAGUUUUUUGUUGGUUUCCCGAGAUUAUUUAAUUUAAGGGCCCGUCUAAUAGUUUUUUUUUUUUUUGGUCGGCCUGUCUUAGUUGGUUCGUGCAUUUUCGCAUAUAAAUAGACAUCUAAACCCAUUAACAAUGACGAAAUGGAAGUUGGAACGUUGCAAUGCAGUGAUUUCCUUUCUCGGCAAAAACGAUAAUCGUCAAAAAUAAAAAUACAGAAAUCGAGGCACCUCGAGUCGAGUCGAGGUAUUUAUGAGUAUAAAUUGUUUUCGAGAAUAUAAUAAUUACUAAACAGGCCAUUUCUUUGCUCAAAUUCAACUUAAUAUAAAAUUCAGUGUACUUGUGAACAAUGAUGAAAUGGGAGUUGGAACAUUGUAAUACUAUGAUCUCGUUUCUUGGUAAAUUAGUUGAAAAUGAUAAUCGUUAAAAAAAAUAUAGAGAUUAAUGCGAGUCAGGUCGAGUUUAGCCGUUGCCCUAUUGACCUCUAACUGGAAUUGAAACUCAACUCGAACUCGAUUUUGUACUUUUCUUCUUUGCUCAAAGUCGACUCGAUACAAAACUUAGUGUACUCGAGUUUGGCUCUAUUUUAAGUAUACAGCACUAAACAUAGGUCGUUUGGUCAAACUCAACUCGUCUAAAAAUACUCGUGCUUGCCCUAUUUGUUUCCAGUUAAAAGUGUGUUUGAGGGUGAGAAUAUAAUUAAAUGAUGAAAAGUAAUAUCAUAAGUACAUACGUCAUUUUUCUUCAAAACAGAAAAAAAAAAAAAAGCACAUGGACAAAUUGAAAAACUCAAUUAGGUUUUCACACUAAUCAAGUCAAGUAUCUUUAGGGUCAAACUCAGCCGGACAAAGUUACUCGGGCCACUCAAACUCGACCCAAGUUCAGAAAAAAAGAAGCCAAUUUCAAGUUAGGCGACGAACCCUGUUCAAAAAAAAGAAAAAAAAAAAGAAAAAGUUAGGCGACGAGUCGAACCCUUAAUUUGUACGUGCAUGUUUCCUCUCUAUUUAGGCGGAGAAGCGGCAUCCAAAUUGCUCAAAAACCAAAGGUGAGAUCGAUAGCGGAGUGUACGGCCAACAAAGAGCAAGCGGUGAAAUAUGCUUAUACGGAAAUAAAUAGUCAUUUUUUUGUCGAAUAAAAAAAAUUAAUACUACGAAAAAUCUCAAAUUAGUACUAUAUAAUAAAUUUAUCUAAACUAAUUUUUUAAUAUUAAAAAUUCAAAAUCGGUACACGUGCAACAAAUUUACCAAAAACUAAUAUUUUAAUUAUUAAAAAUCUCAAAUUGGUACAGCUAUGACAAACUUACACUCCCUUAAUUUAUGAUAAAUUGGAUUAAUAUCUUCAUUGUGUUUUAGAUUUCCAUAUAGCACAUUGUGCGGAUAAUUUUCAAGUAAGUUUAGUGAAAAUUGUAGUAGGUCUAUUACUUUCCACGAUAGGGAGUUUAGUCAAUCACAUAAUGUGUCAAUUGUUUUGGACCGAGAAUCUGACUAAUUGGUUAAGUAACAUAUAUCAAGUGGAAAGUAAUAUAUUACCAAUUGCGUCGUCAAAACUCUCCGAUGAUAUUAUUCACUAUUUCAUAUUUAAAAUAAAGUAAUGGAAUCUAUUAGUCGGCUCAUUUCGUUUACAAUCAAAUAGUUUUUUGUCACGAGUGUACCAAUUUGGAGCUUUUAUGGUAUUAACCUUGAUUAAAAAACCAUUUGAUUAUGAGCAAAAUGAGCCAACUAAUAAAUUCUAUUACUUUCGUAUUAAACACAAAACAAUGAAUAAUAUCAUUGGGGAGUUUUGAUGAUGCAAUUGGUAAUAUAUUACUUUCCACUUGGUAUAUAUUACUUAACUAAUUAGUUAGAUUUUCAAUACAUAUUACACAUUAUCUUAUUUCCGAUUCAAAAUGAUCGACACCGUAUAUGAUUAGGUAAACCCCUUAUGGAAAGCAAUAGUAUUACAAUUUUGGCGAAACUUACUCGAAAACUCUCUGCACGAUGAGUAACGUGGAAAAGUAAAAUCAAUCAACACGCCAAUCCGUACCUAUAAAACAAAUAUUUCAAUAUUCUUUAUUUUCAUUGACUUUUAACAAGUUUGUAGUCAUCGAGAAAAAGUAAUUUUAUACAUUAACCAUUGGAUUGUUGACAUAUGAUAAAAUUUAAUCACAAAACUAAUAUUCCGUUUAUUUCAUGAUAAAUGAAUGAUUUAUAUUAUUUUCCUAAAAAUAUUAUUUAUAUUAUUAAAACAGUCAAUCAAAAUCAAUGAAAAUAUUUUUUAUUAUCCAUAACAGUUCACGUAUAAACCUUUUCGGGCGUGAUUAAAAUAUUUAUAAUUCGUUUAUUUUUAUAAAAAAAUAAUUUGAAGAAAAUAUUUUCGGCUAUCAUCGUUUUCCGAAUCUAUAUUUUACGAUGUCUCGGAGGGAGCAAGAUUCGCUGCCUCCAGUAGUGAAAUGCCAGUUGUACGCACAGAAGAGUCCAGCUGUGUUUGAUGCGGACGGCCGAGAUGGGGCCGGCCCAGAGGAGUUUGCACGGCACUGACACCUGAUUGGUUCCCCCACCCAAGUCCCCACUACCCGAAGAACUCCAUGUGACCACGUGCCUCCUCUUUUCGGAAUACUUUUGCCCACUCUGGCCCCAAAAAAAUGAAAAGUCCAAAAAAAAAAAAACACACACACACGCACAAAGCACAAAUCACAUUUUACAAUACAUUACCAAUUUUUUCGUAUUUAGUACUGAAGACAGGCCCGUAAAUUGCAAUGUUGUACGUUAAUUGAAUAAGGGUGGCUUAGUAAUUAUAUGGUAAAAACAUAUUUAUAUGCUAAAGCGCAUUAUAGAUUCACAUUUUACAACACAUUAUGAUGUUUCUUCGUACUCUGUUACAAAGAUGGGUUAUGAUGUUGUACGUUAAUUAAAUAAAGGCGGCGAAAUAAUUUAUGAGGUGAAAAAAAGAUUUAUUGGUUGGCUUCUUAGGACAUGCGCCUCAAGCAAUUUGGCACCACGUUGUCAGUUAAAUAAAAUUCACAGGUCUUCAGUGCCUCGUUUGGCGAAAACGAAAAAGAAAAUCCUGUCCGGGAAGCAAGUGGCAUUCUUUUAAAUUCCUGACACGAUAGCUUUGUGUUGGGCUUAGACUAUUACGGUCUCUCCCUCUGCCUUCGAGUCUUCCCACGUAGAUUGUAAAUUUCACCUUACGCCGCGCAACGUGGAUGGUUAUUUUAAAAGCUCAGCGAUGUACGGACCACAUAAACAAUUUCCAAUAUUGUCUUUGUUUACAUGCGCAUAGUCAACUUGAACAGCUGCGAAACUUUGUAACUUAGGGUGGUUCUGCAAAUCCUUUUAUGCAAAUUCUCAAACGAUGAGUUCACGCAAUGUAUGUUAAAUGCACUCUCAUAAGAAAUACCAUGGAUCGUCGUAUAUCUAUCUUGCGGUCACUCCCUUUCGAGCAAUUAUUGAAAAUAACAUUGUCGUUUUUUGGAUUCUUGACGCUCCAUUAGGGGUUCGUUUGUUGUUGGUUUAAGUGGAUUUUUAAAUGACUUGCCACAUAGCAAAAGUCAGAUUUUCCAGUAGGUUUGUCCUCAUAGUCAAUAUACUUUUGGUGUAGGGUAUACUUAAUACCAUGAAGAAUUCAAAAUUAGUACAUUGAUGACAAGUUUAUUAUAAACUAAUUUUUUUAAUCAUAAAAAUUUCAAAUUAGUACAUUUAUUAUAAUUUUACCUUGAAUUAUUUUUUAUUAUAAAAAAUUCAAAAUUGAUUCACUUGUGACAAUUUUAUUAUCAAUUAAUCUUCGUUAAAUUGGAUUAAUACAGUGAAAAAAAUUAUAAAUUGGUACACUUGUGACUAACGGAAAGUAAAGCCUUAAUUUGAUACAGCCGUCAAUUGUUAUGUGUUAUUCGAUUUAACAUUUUGACGGUAAAAUUUAAUAGAAAGUAAAUUUAUUAUAUAUAUACUAUUUUAGGAAUUUUGGUGGUAUUAACUUGUUUUUAUAUUAUAUGCCAACCAUUUGAACGUGCAUGAUACGAUGUAUCAAAUUUGUUUGCAUGAUUGGUCCGCCAUUGCAUGAUUUCCUCCAGAGAGCGGAACGACGAGAACAAGGGCAAACACGACAGCGAUGUGCUUAAAGCAUCAAACGAAGUAAUCAAACGAAGUAAUCAAACUCAAUGUCAUUACUUAAAGAAACUCGCAGCAGCCCCCUUCAGCAUAAGUGGCCAGCGAGUGACUUCACGUCCACGUGUGGGUUGAGAGAGCAGGUGAAAAUCGAGCUCUUUUAGCGAAAGAAAACAGAGAAUGACAUGUCGAUGUUUUUGUCAGGCACUGAAAAGGACAACGAUGGAGGCGAUUUAAAUAAUGGAAGGGAGAGGAGGGUGAGAAGUUGGUUCAAAUUUAGGUGGUGCUUAGGAUUCUCUGACGACGGGAGGAGGCCCCGGGUUUCGGUGGAGGAAUAGUGCCAAACAGGUUCACUGACCUUGAGGUACCACUGAGAGAGCCUGCGACCUGCUCUGGACGGUGCUGUUCACUUGCCACGUGAAAGGAUGCUGCAUGACCAGAGUGAGGCAAGCCAUUCCAUGGAGAGAAUGUGAGGGACCAAAAUCAAAAUGUCUCAUCUUCAUAUGAUAACUUAGGCUUUUUUUUUUUUAGGUUGGAAAAUUCUCGUACUUUUAACAUGUUAUUAGAAUCAAGUUGAUAAGCCCCGUGCCGUGAAGUCAUCUUUGCAUGUGAAGGAGGAUUUUGUAUUACAUGCAACUUAUAUUCACGGGUCAUGCGAUGGCCCCAAUGACGGCACGGAGAGGGAGAGAGAAAAAAGAGAACAUUGGAUUAGGGUUUUUGCUGAUGUGUGCAGUUUUUCACAUUUCAACAAAUUCAAGGUAUUUUUAGUGGCGUAACUUAAUCCAGAUUUGUCAUUUGGUUGCCUCAUGUAUCAACCAUUUAAGGAAAUUUUAGCUCUUUAGAUAAAGAGGGUCUCGAUUUGAAAAGUAAACUUGUAUUUUGCAUAUAAUGUACACGUGCGAAUUCGUUUGUUAACCCAAAAACCAGCCCUAGCGUGCGAGAAGAAUCAUUGUAUCAAGGAGUCUUACUCUCCGGUGGGGCCGAGCUAAUUUGAGCAGCUGCAAGUGUACUUCCGAACAUUUAAAGAACUUCAAUCUAAAAGUUACUAAACGGGGGAGUCUCUAGACGAUCAUAUUCCAAGGGAGGUCAUCUUUCGUCUUUUCCUUUUCUGCUCGUGCAGCCGUGCUUCACGGGAGGAGGAGCGGCGCUCCAGUUCAAUCCGCGGAAAGACCUACCGCACCAGCAUGUGAUUUCAAUGAUAAAACGAAAGCUCGCUCGUGAUUCCAUAUAUAAUUUGAAAACUCCGGGAAAGUCACUCGUGAUUCCGAUAAAGAAAAAGGCUUUAGAGAAAAAUUCACAUGCGAAACAUGGUGGACUUCCCUCCAGCACAGGACUGUCUUAGCGAAACAGGGGAUGAACAAAUCAUACAGUGCGUCGUGCGAACGGAGAUGCCUACGCAUACUUCCAGUCGCCUUAGGAAGUAGAGGAGAAAUCCCAAAAAGAACAUCAUUAUGUUUUUACCUCAACCAUGUUUUUAGUCGGGAAAAAUAGAAAAAUAUCAGUAGCAUAGUUGAAUUCUUUUCAUGCUAGAGUUCCAUGUCCCCAGUACAGGUGAACAUAAUUCUAAGGUAGAAUGGAAACUUGACAACGAACCAGUCGAAACUGGUCAAGUUUCAAGUUAAUUUGUUCUGAUAGAUAAGUUUAGAUUUUAGGUGGAAUUGGGAACUCGGAACUUAUAACAAGCCUUUGUGUUUUUAUUGUUUUAUGUCUUUGUGUGAUCUUGAGGCAUUUCAUAGCGUUCAAUAAAAAGUAUAUAAUCCAAAAUCACUAGCUUGAGCUUUAAUUUAUGGCGAUACCCAUGGUUGAGAUUUAGUUUGUUAAUAUUUUAUAUUCUCCAUGUGUCUAAGUGUGACCGUGUGAAUUGUGAGAAGUGGAUUGUAGUAAAUAGUGGUCAUUAGAGGUGAUGGUUUACCAAGAUAGAACUUGGGUAAAUCUUGGAAUAGACAGAACCUAAGGAUACCUUGGAACCGACCUUGAAACUCGGGUUCCAAGUUCCUAGAUAUAUAGGAUGAGUUCCAACAACCUCUAGGAUUCAAAAAUCAGGGAAUCUGUUUUGAUAGGUAAUUUUUUAAGUUCUAAAUAGAACCUGGACGGGACCUGAAAUGCUCAUCUUUAAUGCUCAUCUUUGAUUAUAAGCUACGAGCAUAUGCCAUCCUAAACUGCAGUAUAUCCCAGAGCAGGAUGAAGUCAUUGUCUCUAGAAGGAACCCUAAAAGUAUUCCAAAGAGAGAGAAUAACGACGGUGGCCAAGGAAAGGGACCGACGUCAGAGAAUCUCCAUCCCUCUCACGCAGUUCCUUUCUUCGCUCUUCAACCUCCCCACGCUUUUCAGACUCGAAGGUCGAAAGGUAUACGCAACUGCAACUCCUAAACAAUGGAAGCAUCCAUCGCAUCUCGAUUCUUAACUAUAAAUCUGGUCUCUGCAUAUGAACUCGUCGUCCAUCUUGACUUUGUUCCCCAAGCUUAUUAUUGGCGACAAUGACAUCACAGCGACUCGAGCGUUCACAUGCGAAGACUGGAAAUCUCGCGAAUGAAUAUGCGGGGCAUGAGAUCAGUAUCGGACCACGAGCUUUCCAUCGAUGUCAUCUCUAAUGUUUAACAAAGGUUCCGAAAAUAUGUCUGACGCGCAAUCUCUCGUUUCAGGCGGAAGAGAAUAACACGUACGUUGCUUCCGUGUGCUGAUCACUUCAAGUAUCCGAUUUUCCUAUUGAAUCAUUUGAAACGUUUAGAGCCUCUCGUCGGACCAACCCUCUUUGUUUUUACUUAGUAUUCCACGAGAAUUGCACAGAGGUAAGAAGAACGGGCAAAUCUCGAAGGUAAGAACACCUGAACUUUUUGCCUGUAGGACGAACUUCCCAUGGCUGUGUAAACGAACCCUUAAAAUCUCACAAAUUUUAUAGCCGAGAGGGGAAAAAAGUAUACACCCGUUAGUUUUUUCCAUUGAAGCGAGCUGAUGCCUCGUAUGAUGUGACCAACGACGUUUUAAAGCACCCUGAAAUUUAUGUGGAGCGGAUUAAUUUCAAUCAAGAGAAAUUGAAAAUGUUGACGUUUUUGUUGAAACGGGUUUCGGGCUUUUACUAAUAUGUCUUGUAACGUCUUCUUUACUCAUGUCAAUGCGUCAUUUUCUAGGUAUUAUGACAGUGUCGUCAGCCAUAUCAUGUGUCGUAUUAAAUGUAUGGACAAAAAAUUCAACAUGGUAUUUGUGCAUUUUCUUCUUUUAUCAUUCGAAAAGUCAGGAUAUUUAUAUUCUUGGAAUGUCAAGCAAGUGUGUGUUUAUUUAUUUAUUUUUUUUGCCCCCUCUGUUGGAGUUGGCCCAAGGAAAACUGGGAAAGCAGCAUGGAGUGUGUGCUAGUAGCGGAUACGAAGAAUUCGAUCCUCCGUACCUGCGAGAGGUCGCUGAGAUCGGGCCCACCCAGCCCAGGGGCAGUAGUCGGACUUGGGAAGGACAACCCGGCCCAUGGGCCCAUCAAAGAAGACUUUCAUAAGCCCGUUUUCUCAUAUUUAGCUCGAUUCGUGUCCUGGCUGUCUUCCUAAGUGGGUUAUCCCACCUUUCGAUAACCUUGCGAUUCAUUCAUUAACUUCAAUUCGGAGUCCAACGAACGAACGGAUGAUUUUCAGGAAUCAAAGUACAUUCGAGCAACUACGACGAUGACAAUAAAGUUUGGUGCCGUUUUGGCAACUGAGGUAUCUCCGUCGGAUGAUCUGGAAAUCAAUAUCGAAUCUCUUGAGAUUAUUUUGAUGAUGAGAGAACAUCAUUGAAUUGUUUGAUGAGUUCUUUGAGCGAAUGUUAAAACGAAUCCGCAGAAGAUAAAAUUUUAUCAAUUUUGCUUGACAGAUCAAAUCAGUUUACUUGACAGAUGGUUUCGGGAGUAAUUCCAUCUUGAAAAAGUUCUCUAGAGCAGAAAGUGAGAGUGCUUGGAGAAAAUUACUUUCGUACAAGGCUGUAGAGAUUAGGAUCCAGUCUUUUUGGGGUUUCUGAAAAUUGGAUCGAGGUUCAUAAGAUCUUACGGAUUUCACAAAUUGAAGCCUGAACUGUGAAAUUGAGACUUUGUUUUGUGCUAUUACAUGGACAACAAUCUUUCAUAAGCAAAUAUUGCUCCAUAGUGAAAUGAGUUCCAUAAACGUAAUGAGAACAGGCACCGAAUUCACGUCAAGGCUGAUAAACCACAAGAGCACAAAUUAAAUUCUAGAUUGAUCCAUUACACAAUUGAUUGUUGAGUACUUUAUUCACUUUGUUGUCAUUCAUUAUGUGAUACGUCAUACUAAUCAAACGUGUAAUUUUUAAUCACUCAGUCGCAUGCAUUUUUAAUCACUCUUAAAAAAAUUUCACCGAAAUGAGCAUAAGAAAGAGGAUAAGUCGGAUUUCUCACAACCAUCUAAGAAUGAUCAGAAUAGAUAGUUCAUUAUGCAGGGCUUAUUUGAUUGAAUUCAUCUUGUAUAUAGAAUCUCCAAGGCCACAUGGAGAAUUUUUCCCUUUCUCGUGACACUAGGCCAUGAGCCGUGACAUUAACAAGGACAUCGGUACUUUAUGCAGGCAAGCGUUGUCAUCUAUUGAGUCUCACAUCAACUGGAGUACUCGUUCCAAAUGCUUAUCGCCUCAAGCGGUCACGACCGAACAACUCUCGUGGGCUGUCGGGUUUAAGCGGAUCACGAGAGGUUGUUAUAUAUGGACUAACUUCGCUACCAAAAAAAAAAAAGUAAAAAAACUAUUCACCAAUUCGGAUCUACGAAAUCAAAAUGCUUUCCGUCGUCCGCCGUUCGUGGAUUACGUGUGAUCCACAGAAGAAAAAAAGGGAGAGGGGGUGACGUUUUCAAAGGGCCUCUCUUUUUUCUUUUCUCGUUUCUCUUCUCGCUCAUUGGGUCUUUUUUGGAGCUGCGAAAAUUAGGUGGACAGGAAGCAGCGGAGGACCAGCAGGAUGGAUUGAGGAGCGGAACAUUAGCCGCCACAAGUUAGCGAGGACCGAGGUGGCCCGAUCGAUGUCGUAGUGCAUCGCGACAAACGCCUCACCGCCACGCAUUACGUGUCCAAUAGCGUCCCGACACCGGAAGCACGGCCAAGAAAAAAGAGGGGGGCCAUUGCCAUUUAGGGCACGUGAACCACACCCGUUCCUUCGAAACCAACCACUGCAAGGAAACUCCCGACCGCCGUUCGUUCAUCUCUGUUGUUCUCGACACUCCGCCCCAUUAGGCACGUGAUCUAUUCUUUUUUUACUUUUAACACCGCCGGCUCGCGCUUUAAUGUCUUGGUCGGCGAGUGCGCUUUGUCAAAAUGGAGGGCAGUCGCCGUCAUCUUUAAUUGGGACGUCUCUGGUCGACGGGUUACAAAAAAAUUGCAGCGCCGAAAAGUCUUUCCAAGCGAAACCUUGAGCGUAACGUGGAAGCUGCGACGAAGGAACAAAAAGAGCGUGGAGAGCGCGUAGCAGAAUUCGAUACUUUUUUUUUUUGGUAACUUAGGGAACCUCCGCACACCGCUUCGCGGGGAGAGUAAACCCUGGGGCGCCGGGGUCCCCACCGCUGACCCCUAGAUACGCGGGUAAGUCGUGCGUUAUGCAUUGAAGUAUCGCGUCCACGAAGUUUCGAACUCCUCCCCUCCCGGAUAGAGUACUAAGCUCAAACCAGCGCGGCCACCGCGGGCGGUGGUAGCAGAAUUCGAUACUUUCAUCUGGAAAGAUAGGAAGCUUGAGUUUAAGUCCGUCAAUAUAUUCAAUCUAACUCAUAUUUACUUAAAAUCUUAAUAAAUUAAUUAUAAAUUAAUUAUGAUAUAUUAACUACUUUACACCAUAUUAAUUUUUUAAUGUGGUAUUUCUUAAACAUAAUUUAUCCGUGUAUCAUUAUAAAGAGGACGUCAGUAUGUGCUUACUAUUAUGAUUCACGAUUUUGAUAGUAGGAUAUGAUGGUUAAUUGAUCUUACUGUCCAACGGCAUCAUGGACAAUGGGUUAUAAAAAUUGCAUCACUGAAAAGUUUUUCCCCGUAAUUCGAUUAGUAUCGUGAGGGCAUCUAUGAGCAAAACCUCGAGUGUAACGCACAAGAUGUGAUGAAGGAACAAAAAGAGGACAUCGGUAUGUUCUUACUGUUAUGAUCCACGAUUAUGAUAGCAUGAUAGGAUGGUGAAUUGAUUUUACGGUCCAAUGGUAUCUUAGACAACGGGAAUAAGAUUGAUCAAGUGGAUAUGCAAAGAGCACAUUGCUUUCCUAAUUUAAUCAUUCUAACUAUAUUUGGUUUCGAUUUGUCUCAUCGCUGUUGAGAAUAAAAUUGUAGAAGAUGUGAAGUCGAUCGUUUUGAAAGAGUACCCCGCUUUUUUUGUUAUCAUAUUUUACGCGUUUGAUGUUAAACAAAACAAGUAUUGUUCCUUAUCUUCUUCUUGUUAUAUUGUGAUUCCAUGUUACAGCCACAUGAUGACCACACGUUAUUGUCGACUUUUUCAGCAAAGCUCCAUGCAUGUGAAGCAAAGCAAUCUUCAAAUUUGCGAGAAUCCACCCUUUAUCAUUACUAUUUACUAUCACUUCCGAAAGGUAAAUUAUUUUUGUGAUAAAAAAAUUAAUUUGGAAUAAAUUUACUAGUUUAAGGUUUUUGAUGAAAUUAACCCUUGAGCAAAACUUAUAAUCAAAGAUAAUUGUCCUCCCCUUUCAAUUGCUUUCCAUUGGUGAGCAGACAUUUUGGGUGUGUCUAGUUCAGCAUUCGCAAAGCUUUAUCGGCAAUUAUAAAUGUUGUUUGGCAAAAUUUUUGGGUUGCUUUAGAGAUAUGUAAAUUGUAAAUAGACUCUUUUUUUUCUUCCAGCUUUGUUUUUGCUCAAUUUCAUAAUACCAAAAGUGUCUUCGAAAACCCUAAUUUUGCCUCAACCAGCUUCGCCUAAACAAAACAAGUAUAUGAGUUUGUGAUAAAUUUGUUAUAAAUGUAUUAAUUUGGAGUUUUUCGUUGUAUUAACCUCAAACAAACAAGUAUCAUUCCUCAUCUUCUUCUUAUUAUGUCGUGAUUUCAUGUUAUGGCCUCAAGAAGACGACAUGUUAUCAUCGACCUUUUAAGCAAAGCUCCGUGCAUGUGAAGCGAAUCAAAGCAAUCUUCAAAGAUGGGAGAAUCCACCCUCUAUCGUUAUCGCUCUCACUUUCGAAAGGUAAAUUAGUUUUAUAAUAAAUUUAUCACAAAUGUACCACUUAAACAAAACUUACAAUUAAAGAUCAUUUCCACUUUUGAUUACUUUCCAUUGGAAAGCAAAUAUUUUGGGAGUGUUUGGUUUAGCAUUUAUGAAGCCUUAGGCUCAAAUCCCUUUUGACAAACGCAAAGUGCCUUUUGACAAAAAUGCAAUUGUAUUUCCAAAAUUCUCUAAAUGAUUUUAGCCCAAGGCAAGUCAUCAACUAUUUUUGAAUGCUGAUUUUCCGGAAUGCAAAUAGAUUUUUUUUUUUUUUCAUUUCAACUUUGCCCUCGCUCAACUUCAUAAAUUCAAAAUGUUUUCGAAAAUCCGAACUUUGGCAUGUGGCUAGUGCGUCAUUGACAAGCGGUUGGCGAGCCAUCGCCAUAUUUGCCUAAAUAAAACAAAUAUACGAGUUUUGAGUUUUUUCGUUGAAUCAUCCUUAAACAAAAUAAGUAUUGUUCCUUAUUUUCUUCUUGUUAUAUCGUGAUUUCAUGUCACGGCCUUCGGAAGACGACACGUUAUCGUCGACUUUUUCGAGCAAAGCUCCAUGCAUGUGAAGCGAAUCAAAGCAAUCUUCAGAGACGGGAGAAUCCGCCCUCUAUCGUCACCGCUCUCGCUCCCGAAAGGUCAAAGGGAAAAAAAGGCGGCAGCCCAAUCGAACCUUCAAAACUACAAAGAGACGGACGAAAAUAGAGGGAGAGAUGGAAAGCCAAAAAAGGAAUCGGCACACGCAGCCCAGCCACAUGGAAAGGGCGAGGCGAAAGGGCGAGGCCGAUCGCCAUCAUCACCACCACUCGAUCCCGCGAGCGAGCGGGCGAGCGAGCAAUGCGGUCGCGGGUAGGUGGCGGUGGCGGGGCCCCGGCUCCAACUCCUCUUAUCCCCACCACGAUCCUCCACCACCACCACCACCACCACCACCAUCACCACCACCAUUGGUCACUAUGGAACGAUUGAAUGCGAUGGACGAACGAAGGACGAUGGGGUCAACACCACAGACGCAACCCCCCCAAAAUCCCUUUUCCAUGAAAAAGGAGGGGGCCGACCGAAUAUGCCGAAACGACGGUGGAGACGUCGCCCCCCUGCCUUUGCUGCUCCACCACCACACCCUUUUUCUAAAAUUUUCCCCAUUUUCCCCUCUGCUUUCGCCACUAUAAAUUCAUUAUCCUUUUCAAUUCUCAAAUCCAUUUCCAGCCCCACAUUCCAAUAAAACCUAAAAUUAAAGAUCAUGGUCCUCCACUCUCGAUCGCGUCGUUCCAUUGGUGAGCAGACAUUCCCUCUCCAAUCGCUUGACCUUUUUGUCAACAGCUUUGAUCGCUGCCAUUAACUUAAUUAACCAACGCACACGUAAGAGGCUUUGGCAACUUGCUCUGAAGUGUGGCGAUUUCAAGAAGUCAGGACCCUUCUACACUGUCCUUUCUUCAAUAACAUUAACUAUACUUUAUCCCGAUGAUAAUUCAAAUUGUUUUUUUUUCUUUUGACAUUUGGAGAGUCGGGUUAAAUCACUUUGUUAAGAUCAUUAAACAAGGGUAAGGAAUUAUCGAUGUAAAUUAUAACACGCUAUAUAGAUUAGUUGUGUAAAUUAUCACUUUGGAUUGUUGUAGUCCUUUCCUUAUAUAUUUGCACAUAAUUAGGAAGGCUACAUAUGAUCACUAGUAAAUAGAAAUUGUCUCUUUUUAACUUUUGGCCUGUGACAAUAUUCUCUUUCCCCCACAAGAAGUAUAUGCAUUUCUAUUUUUCUCUUUGACAAAACUCUCCGUCGAACCGACUUUAUUUACCUAACUACAUAUGAUUACCGGUAAAUAGAAGUGAUCUCUCUUUUCUUCUAGCCCAGGAUGAUAUUCUCUUUCCCUCACAAGAACUAUAUGCAUUUCUAUUUUCCUCUCUAACGAAACUCUCGAUCGAACCAAUUUUAUUUACCCGAACUAUUUCCUAGGAUUUAUAGCUAAAAUUUGGAUAAUGGAUGAGCAAAAUAUGCUCAAAGAUGAAUAUCGACAUACGUAUGCAGAUGUCGGAUGUACCUACACGAGAUUAAAUUGGUAAGGUUACCCUAGUCGUCACGCAUGUCAUAUUUCGCACCCUCGAAGAAAAGAAAUUCCAGAGACACCUGGCCUCGUUUAAAUCGCUCGAUAUUCGGACGGCCGCCAUUCACCGCCCCCCCAACAAUCGGAUCCCCGCCGUUUAUUUACUCCCCGCGGAAUCCUCCCCCACUCUCUUAAUCAACCACACAUCGCCAUGCAAUUUACCCCCACUUUCUCUCUCUAAGGGCACUCUCCUCUCGCUCUGUCUCUCUCCUCUUCUUGCAUGGUCUGAGAAACUUUGAGAUCCCCUUUACCUCAGACUCGUGCUUUGUUUGAUCGGCGAGUGGAGUGGAAAGGCGGCUGGUCCAGAAGAUGUCGCGGAGUUGCUCGCAGUGCGGGAACAACGGGCAUAACUCGCGGACCUGCAUGGAUGGAGGAGGAGCAGGAGGCGGAGGCGGCUGUGGCGGGGAGGGGACCGGCGGCAUCAUGCUGUUCGGGGUGCGCCUGACGGCGGAUGGCUCGGCCUUCAGGAAGAGCGCGAGCAUGAACAACCUCUCGCAGUACGAGCACAGUCCGGAGUCCUCCAACGUGGUCGACGCCGGCUACGCCUCCGACGAUGUCGUUCACCCCUCCGGUCGCAGCCGUGAAAGGAAGAGAGGUAAUUCGAUAGAUGAAAUUCAUAGAACCGCAGAACUGUAUCAGCGUCGGCCCGAUUUCAUGAACUUUUUCAAGUCGGGUGAAGCGGUGGGGUCUUGGUAAAUUUUGUGUGAUUUAAUUCACUCACGGUGGUUUGUUUAUAGGAGUUCCAUGGACGGAGGAAGAGCACAGGCUGUUCUUGCUGGGACUCCAGAAGGUGGGGAAGGGGGAUUGGAGAGGGAUCUCUAGGAACUUCGUGAAAACGCGGACGCCGACACAGGUGGCGAGCCACGCCCAGAAGUACUUCCUCCGGCGGACCAACCAGAACCGGCGACGCCGGCGGUCCAGCCUCUUCGACAUAACCACCGACUCGGUAAACACAGCAUUAAUUGCAUGAUAAUCAACUUUUUUUCUAAAAAUUUGAACCAUUCUGACAUACUAUUGCUAGCUGUUGAUGAACAGCCCAAAUCCACUAGUUCUUGCGUCUGUCUGUGUCGUACAUGCCUGUUAAGAGGCUGUGAGAGCCAAUUUAAUAAACGGAUCUUGCUGGUAACUGCAAGAAUCCAUUGAAGUUUUUCUGGAUUUUCUUCUCCAUAAAAGGUAGAACAAUGCCAUAAGUGGAACAACCAACCCGUUUCCUUUAGGAAUUGCAAAGCGAAGAGAGUAUGGUAUCAACUGAGAAUUGUUUUUCCCCCUGAAAACUCAAACGUCGACUGAAAAUCUGCUGCAGUACUUUGGGGUUUCAAGCUCUACAAUGGAGGAGGGUCAUCAUCAAGCGCACCAAGUACCCAGCUUCCCUCUUUCCUUGCCUCCGGCGGUUUCACCGGGAACCGGCGAGAAACUGCUGGAAAGUCUGCGACUAAGAAAAGAGGGCUGCCAGUCGAAACCCACCCCGUCGAAGCCCAUCCGCCCGGUCCCGAUCCUUCCCAUCCCUCCGUCCUCGAAAAUGGCGGCUCUCGACCUCAACAAGGCGACCACAGCUUCGGAACCGGCGGAGCCCUGGCCCCUGUCUCUCAAGCUCGCCACGGCGAAACCCUCUGACGACCAGCAGGCGGCAGCGGCACCAGCGCCAGCAACAACCCCACACUCGUCGCCGACCAACAGCAUCAUCAGCGUGGCCUGAGGAAUCAAUGGUCUUGUAUGGUCAUAUCCAUAAUCACCAAAUGAUCGGGCUGCAAAGUUGCUAAAGUGGUGGGGGAUCUCCUAGAGCUUAGAUGAAAGUAGAGAUUAGGAAUUAAUUAGAAGGUUUAAGUAGGAGUCAUUGUUUGCUUUUGUACAUAAGCUAAGGGAAACAUCAAGAUGGUGGGGACAGGAGAUGCGGUGUCGUUUUCGUGGUGGUGGUCUACGUUGGUGUCCAGUUGGUCGGGGUUAGGGUUUGCUUUUUCGUGGGUAAAUGGGGAGAGUACCAGGUACCUCUUCUGGUCAUUGGUCCGGCUUGCUUUGGGAGCCUCAACUUAGGAAAAGGAAAAUAUCUGUCCGUGAAUAUUCUUGUCUAUAUGUCUCUGUUUUCUUCCUUUCUUUCUUUUCUUGUUUAAUUGAAGUAUUUUCGGGCGUUAUAAUAUGUUGUUUUAUACGUGCAUUUUGCAUGGUUUUUGUUUUGGUGGCGGUGGCAUUAGAAAUCUCUUCUUUUUGAAUUAUUAGGGUUUUCCAUUGACUCUGCGAGGUAUGCAAGCCCUGGCCCGUUUGUCGAUAGUAAAGAGACCUCUCGAAGAAUUUUAGAAAGGAACAGGAGAGGGAUCGGAAAAAGAGGCGGUGUUUGUAUCACGUGAAUGUGUAUGUAAAACUUGUCGUGGAGCAAGCAAAAAAAAAAAAAAAAAACGGAGGAUAUAUUGAUUGGAUGUCCUUUUAAGUUUUGUUGCGUGGAAAGUUCAAUAAAGUUCUCACAGUCGUCGCAAGUGCGUUGGAAGAAAUAAGUCCAUCGAUCGAGGGUGGGCGAUGACUUGAGGAUGUAUGGCUCGGCCAUUGACGAGCAAUCCGACAAGUAGUUGGCGUGCAAUUGACGAGUGAUUUGUGAGCUAUUACCACCCAACCUCAAGUCACUCGAUAAGUAGUUGGCACGCAAUUGACGAGCAGUUAGUGAGCCAUUGCCACCCGACCUCAAGUGAGGCUAGUGGCAAUCAAGUUCCAUUGAUGAGUACUUUGAAAUUCUUUAUAAAAAAGAAAUUAGCAAAAAUCCUUUAUAAAUUGUAUUGUGAAAGUUGCUUUUUAAUAUAAAUUUAAAAUAUAUCUUAUCAGAUAAUAUUUGUAUUUCAAAAAAAAAAGAAGAAGUCCAAAGGCCUUUGUACGACCAUGACAAAAGUUACAUAACAGACAACGCCAUCAACGGAACAAAUGAAUAUGGAUAUAUGCCAGACAAGAUAAAAAUUAAGUACGAAAGAUUAAGAAGGCGGACCCUCUUAUGCCCACGCAAAGCGCGAGCCGUUCGUAUGCAAUUUUUUAAUCGAUUCUCGUGCAAGUGGGCUCGUGGUGGGGUUAAUUCAGCACAAUUCAAGAACCUAAUUUUUUUAGGGAGCUGACGCCUUGUUACUUCUUAAUCAAGUUAAGAUGGUGAGGAGACAUGUAGAAUGAGUGGGUCGGGGAGUGGGUCGGGCAGUGAGUCGGAUAGGAUAAAAAGAUAAUAUUACCUAAAUAAAUCAAUUUGAUCCGUUUUGACUUAUUUUCAUGUAAUACAAAUCUAAUGAUUUAUAUUUGAUUCGACUCAUAUCUAACGCAUAAUCGACUUGGCCCAUAUUACUAAAACCCAUCUAAAUUUAAUCAAAUCUAGGAAAACUCAUAGUCAAACUAAUAACAAAUUUACCUUAUGUUAGUUUUCAUUAAAUUUUACUAUCAAAUUAUUAAGUUGAAUUAUUAUGUGUACCAAUUUGAGAUUUUAGUUUUCGUUUAUCACAGUUUUGGUAUUAAUCCAAUUUAACGGAAAGUAUAUUUGUCAUAAAUGUAUCAAUUUGGGGUUUUUAGCGGUUGAAUAAAUUAGCUUGGGAUAAAUUUAUCACAAAUGUACUGCUUUAAGAUUUUUAUAUGAUUAAUUGGGGUAUACUUGUUAUAGGUGUAUAAGUUUUGGGUUUUUUCAUAGUUAAAAAAAUAAUUUUAGGUAAAUUUAUCACACAUAUAUUAGUUUGAGAUUUUUUAGGAUAUUAACUCUAAUUAAAAAUUGUAUUCCCACUUUUCUUCAAUUUUUAGGCUUGAAAGCAAAAAAGUGUGCCUACCAAGAAAGUCAAGGUCAAACAUUUCAUCUCCAACGAGCACGGGGCCACUGAAACUGGCGGAUUCCUUUCUUCUCCAACUGGCGGAUUCCUUUCUUGGCCGAAUUUACUUUCUAAAAAAGAUGAUAGUUUGCCACACGAGAAAAUAGUUCUAGCGUGCCUUCUUUUAUUUAUUUAUUAAAAGGAUUUGUUAAAUAAUGCCUCUAAAACGCUUGUUAAUUAACUGAGUAUAAUUUAUUAUUUUAAAUGUAUUAUAUAUUCUCAUGUUAUGCAUAAUCACUACUUUCAAAAUUGAACAAUUCCUAAGUGGCCACCCUUCCAACAUAGAAGGGGGAGGUGAUGGGGUGGGGACGAGUAAGUUUCAGGAGUGGGUUUCGACUUCCAUGCCCUGCAAGAGGCAGGAUAAAAGUCUGAGAGUGAGUGUAGAGUAAGUAUAGAGUAGGACUGAAAAAAAAAAUUGAACCAUUCCUCAUUUAGUGUGCCUAAUGAGUGCUUUAAAUAUACUCGUUAAUAUGAUUAGUUUUCUAAAUCUAGGUGUUGUAGCUUCCCUCUAUCUUAAGAAAUUUGUUCUUUUAUCAUCAUCAAAUAUGGGCAUGAACCUUGAGGUUGGUAUAGUUCGUUGGCGUCACGAUAUUUCCAGUUUCAAAAUUAAAGAGUUUUCCAUUGAGAUUCCAAAAAUGUGUUCCAAGGAAACGUUCUCCAUUAGGACCACCCCAUUAGGAGUGUUCAAAAAGGCAUAAUAUCCCAAAAACUCAGACCACCUAAUUAACCCAAAUCAGUGUCUUUUUGGCUAAAAUUGGACCAAGUCAGGCUACCUGACCCAAUGAUUUCUUUCUCUUCAAGCCGGUUCAGGCCAAACAAAUUAGAACGUGUUAACCCCAAUUUGUUCGCUCUCACUCUCCCUUCUCAGACACUUUCUUUGUCUAAGGCUCUCUCACUUGCUCGCUCACCGCCAGUACCGCCGGCACCACCACCACCACCACCACCACCACCACUCAGUCUCGUCGUCUUUGCCUCUCAUCUCUAUUUGACUCUCGCAGUCCGCUCACGACAAAAAUUGUCCGCCGUGCAAGAUCCAGAGGUCCGACAACACGCUAGAUCCGGCUAGCUCGACCACAAGCACCACCAAAUUGAAUGUCGACGGCCGGGAGUGACUUCGAGAAUUUUUUGUGAUUUUUUGUUUCGUGGCUGUUCCCUUCUUCAACUAUCGACAGGCCCAUCGCCAUCUACCUCGAGCCAAAGCACGGGCCUUUCUUACCAGACCGGGCCGAGACCGUGCUCCAAUAAGCCCAGACCUAACCGAGAAUCAUUUGGUCCGGGCCCCUAUCCUUAAUUCGGGCCGAGCCCACUGUUCGGCCUCGGAGAAAUCUGCCGGACCAAAAUUUCAAUUUUAACGUCUCUUAUGGGACCAUAUAAGAAAAAGUAUUCCCAGUUCUCCUGGAUAUUAGUAGCUGACGCGAAAUUGAAUGGAAAUAUUGGUUGACACGUGGUUGUCGCGUUUUUAUUUAUACGUAAAACUAAAAUGAAAAAAAAUACAAGUAUAAUAUAAUUAUACAACAGAAGAAAAUAAUAUAAUAUUAUAAGAUUGGCUUUGAUUGCGAUUGUUCUCUCGUAUUUUUCAAUAUUCCUUUUCAACUCUAUAUGUUUUUUUAUUUUUUAUUUUUUGGUUCAGACAGCUCUAUGCGUAACUUCCUUAUAUAACGUUACACAUCGUCUAAGCAGCGGAUUUGGCUGAGAGAAUAAAUAAUAAAAGUUACGAAUUUUUUAACAUAAUUUAUGUAAUUUUUGAAAAUAAUUCUUAUGCACAGUCGUGAAUUUGUUCGUCAGUGUAAAUUAUUUGCCAAAUUGUAUUUUAUUUCAUGUGAAUCUUCGUAUUUCGAACAAAACAAAGGUGGGAUUCUCCAAUCGCAUGAUAGAUUACUUCCAAUAAAGACAUUGAUAACGAUACUUACAAUAAAGGCAUUGAUAACGAUUGGGAAAUUCCUAGUUGUCAUACGUGACAUAGGGAAGUUUAAUAUGUGAUUAGCUAUGUUGAGAAAAAUAGCUUAAACAAAAAACAGUUAAUACGGAGAGUCACAAAAAAGGAUUUUCGAUAAUUGCCUAUCUAUAGUAUUAAGGACUUGUUCGGUAAUCAUUAUGUUCUUUGUAACAAUUUAUGCUUAGAUAUUUUUUUUUUGUUUCCUGAGUUUUUUAGUAUUUGAAGGCAUUUGGUAACUAUUCAAAAUUUUUAUUUUCAAGAUAGAAAUGCAUUUGAUAAAAUUUCAUUUUUUUUGUAAUUUAUAAUUUAUUUUAAUUUUAAAAAUAAUUUAGUUAUCUCUCUCUCUCUCUUCUCAUUUUCUUAUUAUUCUUCUUCUUCCUUCGGUUGGCGACCUCGUUGAAGCAUCGCUCGGUGAAGGCAAGCCUCGUCGACCAAGCUCGCCUAGCCAAGACGAGGUUGAGCCUACCUAGUUGCUAACAAAGUUGGCCUCACCUAGGCUAGGUGACUCCAACUACCAACAAGGCUCGGCCUCGCCGAGCCACCGCAAGGCAAGCUUGGCCUCACCAAACUUGGGGGAGACUGAGCCUUGCCUAGUCGUCGCCCCUUAUCGCCGGUUGCCGAAGCAAGAAGGAGAAUAAGAAAAGUAAAAAGGAAAAGAAAGAGGGAAAAAAAAAGAAAUUAGACUUGACUUUGGAGUUGUCUUUUGAAAUAAAUAAGCAAUUUAUUUAUUUCUUAAUUCUACAUUAAGUCUAUUCUUGGGAACGAACAAAAAAGUUACCGAAUAGAUUUUUAUUUUUAUUUUUAUUGUGGAGAAUAAAAGAAUGAAAUAUAUACUGUCUGAUCAAUUAUUAAACAGGCUCUAAAUCUCAUUAAAAUUGAAUUUCUUUUUAUCGAACAUAGCUCAUGUUAUUAAAAGGGCUCGGCACGGAUCCUAGUCGGGAGCAAAAAAUGAGUGUACCUUGUAAUUUAGAGUUUUAUACGACAGCAACCUCAGUGAAAUAAAAAAGGGGGAAUGCCAUCUGUCCCAAGCGAUCGACUGUGCCCCCACCGUAUCUCAAGGGGCAAGCGUAGAAAUAUGGCCUUGACAAGUAGGUGUCACAUCUUUAUUUUACGGAUGACAUGGAAUAAAUUAAAAAGCACACCCCCAAAGAAAAAAGAACAAACAAAACAAAGACAGGUAACGAUAAAAUCAGCGCGUGUGUGUGUGGGGGCAAGUCACAUUUGUCCACCCCAUGUACAACGACAUACCAAAAUUUAAUAUUGGCAAGUGAGCCUCCUCUGGUCAAACAUUUGCAGCCUUAGAUAAGUUAAAUAAGUUAAGGUUGUGUGUAGCAAUCAUUAUAUUUCUCUACUUUUUUAAUUUUCUGUUUUCAGGAACAGAUUUUUGGAACAUAAUUGAGAGGUAAAAUUUUUUAACUUCCUGAAUGAGAAAUAAAAACUCUCAUCAUCGUUCGCUUCUUACUAUUAAUUGGUGGUUUAGGAGAGAGAAUUUUUAUUUAUUUUCAUUCAUGAAAUAGAAUUUUCAUGUCGUUAUCAAACACUAUUUUUUACUCAAAAAUUUGCCUAAAGAAUAGAAAUAAUAGAAUGGAUUAGUUAUUUUUUUUUUUGGGUAAGGAUGGAUUAGUUAUUAUUCGUUUUCUAAAAUACUUAUAAAUCUUAAUUAUUUUGGGGGCCACUCGAAUCCCUCCCUAACCUAAACCAAAAGCCCAACCCCACCACAAGAAACCACCAGAAAACGACACCGCAUCACCGCCACCUCCAGCACCUUCCUCCUCCUCCUCCUCCUCCUGCUCUUCUUCUUCCCCCCGUCGAGUAGGGUUUUGGCCAGAGAAAAUGAAAGAGAGAGAGAGAGAGAGAGAGAGAGAGAGAACGCGCAAGUGAAAAACGCGCAAGUGAAAAACACGAAAAAACGAAACACGAUCGAAAGCAAAACGACGGCCGACGACUGACGGCGUCGACGACGACGACGACAAAAGAGAAAAAAAACUAAAAAUAAAAAAAAAAACCAGUCAAAAGGUCGCGCAUCUUCCCUUCCCACCCGCUUCCCUCAUCAUCCUUCAACUCUCCCUCUCUCUCUGACCCGGUCAAUGGCCGCUCUCUCUCCACCACCACUCCUCCUCCCCUCACCUUAAUCUCUCCUCCGAUCCCACACCAAAACCCCCGCCCCACCUCCAUGGCGGCCUCCUCCUCCUCCUCCUCCUCCUCCGUCGCCUCCGCCGCCGUGUUCGCCCUCCACUCGCUGCUGCUGCUGCUGCUGCUCGCCGCCGCCGUCGAGGACGACGUGCUCUGCCUCGAGGGCGUCAAGCGCUCCCUCGGCGACCCCCAGGGUUCCCUCGCCGACUGGACCUUCGCCAACACCUCCGCCUCCCACAUCUGCAACCUCAACGGCGUCGCCUGCUGGAACCUCAACGAGAACCGCAUCAUCAGCCUCAGCCUCACCGGCUUCGGGGUCUCCGGCGGCCUCCCCGAGUCCCUCAAGAACUGCCACAGCCUCCAGACGCUGGAUCUCUCCCAGAACAAGCUCGACGGCCCCAUCCCCGCCCAAAUCUGCGAGUGGCUGCCUUACCUCGUCAAGCUCGAUCUCUCCUCCAACUCGCUCGCCGGCCCCAUCCCCAGCCAGAUCGGCGACUGUAAGUUCCUCAACAACUUGAUUUUGAACGACAACAAGUUGACCGGCCCCAUUCCUUACGAGGUCGGUCGCCUGGACCGGUUGAAGGUGUUCUCCGUCCGGGGCAAUGAUCUCUCCGGAUCUAUACCGUCGGAGCUGUCCAAAUUCAGUUCCGACGAUUUCUCCGACAACGACGAUCUGUGUGGUAGGCCUCUUGGGUCGUGUGGGGGGUUGAGUAAGAAAAGCCUCGCUAUAAUUAUCGCUGCGGGUGUUCUUGGAGCCGCAGCAUCUUUGUUGCUAGGGUUUGCGCUCUGGUGGUGGUACUUUAGUGGAGCCAGUAGGAAGAAGAGAGGAUACGGCGCUGCUGCUGAUAAGGACGAUAGUAGUUGGAUUGAGUGGUUGAGAGCACACAAGCUUAUUCAGGUGUCUUUGUUUCAGAAGCCCCUUGUGAAGGUCAAAUUAGCUGAUCUUCUUGCUGCCACUAACAGUUUCGAUUCUCGGAACAUCGUGAUUUCCACGAGAACCGGGGUUUUUUAUAAGGCCGUGUUGUCUGAUGGUUCGGCUCUCGCCGUGAAGAGGCUCAGUGCCUGUUCGAUUGGUGAGAAGCAGUUCAAAUUGGAGAUGAACAGAUUGGGGCAGCUUAGGCAUCCCAAUUUGGUGCCUCUUUUGGGUUAUUGUGUUGUCGAGGAUGAAAAGCUUUUGGUGUAUAAGCACAUGCCUGGUGGGACUUUGUUCUCCCAUUUGCACAUGAACGGUCAAGGCACCACUGGUCAGUACAGCUCAUUGGAUUGGCCUUCCAGGCUUAGAAUAGGCGUGGGUGCCGCGAGAGGGCUCGCUUGGCUUCACCAUGGGUGCCAGCCCCCAUAUUUGCUCCAAAGCAUUAGCUCUCAUGCGAUUCUCCUUGAUGAUGAUUUGGAUGCGCGAAUCACUGACUUUGGGUUGGCAAGACUAGUCAAUCCUCGUGAUUCGAAUGACAGCUCAUAUCGCAAUGGAGAUUUGGGUGAGUUUGGUUAUGUGGCUCCUGAGUACUCGAGCACUAUGGUUGCAUCUUUAAAGGGCGAUGUAUAUGGUUUUGGAGUGGUACUCUUGGAAUUGGCUACUGGGCAGAAGCCAUUGGAAAUCUGCAACGUGGAGCAAGUAUUCAAGGGAAAUCUGGUGGAUUGGGUCAAUAAUUUGACUAGCAGUGGUCGAAGCAAGGAUGCAAUUGAUCGAUCUAUCUGUGGGAGAGGACACGAUGAUGAAAUUGUGCAGUUUCUGAAAGUUGCUUGUUCUUGUGUGGUUUCUAGGCCAAAGGAUAGGCCUUCCAUGUAUAAUGUAUAUGAGUCGCUGAGGACCAUUGGUGAGAGACAUGGUUUUUCAGAAGCAGAUGAUGAAUUCCCAUUGAUCUUCAAACAAGAUUCCGACAAUAAAGAGUAGCCUGAAAUCUCCGCAUUUGGGAAUCUUUUCAUCUUAUGCUAUGUUCUGAAUGAUGUCUUUUGCUGGUUUCUACUCCAUGGGGCUAUCCAAUUCUUCUGGCAAUUUUUGGAUAAAUUCUGUAUCAUACAUGAACCAUCAUCUGAUGUAGCAUUCUACAUAGUUUGGGGAAGUAAUGUUUGUCAAUCUGAAAAGGUACUUCCUGUUCUUUGGGUGCUCUGUUGUUCAUUCACUAGGUACCUACCGGUAUACUUUUGAAAUGAUGCCUCUUUAGUGUCUACUCAGCUAUAUUUGUUUGGCCAUAUUGCAAUUCAUGUUUCUUCUCUAGCGCGGAGUUCUUCCGUCCAUUAACUUCCUUUCGUGAACAUGGAAUUUCAGUCUACUUUAGAUCAGUGGAGCAGGUCUGAGUACAUUGCUAUGUACUUCUGAUUCUGAGGUGUUGGGGAUUCUUAAUCCAAUCUGAUGUUGUGUAGGAUUUUCAUGAGAAUCAUUAACUGAUAAAUCUUUCGUUUCUCCUCCCCAGAGAAUCAAUGUGGCGAUAUUAUGGAUUAAAUUGCAACCUUACUUAGAAAUAUUUAUGUUUUUGAAAGUUUUCAAUGGAAGAUAGAGUGAAGGUUCUUCCUUGAAUUCAUUGCUGUGGGAAGAUAAUUUUCUGGAAGCAACCUUUAUCAUGACUGAUUCUCGUCUUAGCUGUGAAGGAUACUCUAGUUUACCUGAAUUGAAGAUGACCACAUGUAUGGCAAGGAAAGUUUGCUAUGGGGAUUUUUCUGCUUAACCAAGUGGUGAAUAAACAUGGCAUCACCGCUUGGCAUUAUGCCAUCGAUGGCACUGUCGCAGCAUGAGACUUCCCAUUAGACUGCAUAUCUCCCGUCGUUUAAACUUUGCUUGCAUGUUGCCUUUGGACAUAGUCUUGCCUAAAUAAACUAAACGGAAAAUUUUCCUGUGUUAACGAGCAAUCCACUAAUUUGUGGAGGCUUAUUAAGGAAAAACAAACUAAAGGAAGAAUAGUUUAGUGCAUAUUUAAGCAUAGAGAAUGGAACGUUGACUGGCUUGCCGAAGAAUAAGAAGCGUGGAAGAUUGACUGUUUAAAGAACGUCAGCUUUUGAAUGAUAGAUAUCUUGGAGCAUUGUUUGAUGGGAAAGGUAAUGGUCGCCUAUGUCGAAGUCUUUUGCCAAAGCUUCCUCCUUUUACUCCAUCGCUAGGACGAAAGCUUUGCUUUUACGUUCGUUAAUCAUUGCUCUCCAAGUCCAGUUAUGUCUGUAACGCUUUUAUCUUUUUUUGAAAUGAUUGUCCUUGAGAUUUCAAUAAUUGUUUUGUAGGAAGUGUCGUUCUGGGGUUGUUGGUCCCAGUCCCAUGUGAUAAUCUUCUUUAGAAACUUAGUAGGCUCGACACACACACGUGGCAGCAACAACAUUUAGUAUAGGAAUCGACGUCUUUGGCGCAGUUCUCUUCAAAGUCUCCAUGGUGUUGUCCAAUCGCCGUAGGGAAUUUAGUAAAACCUCAAUUUAAGGGGGGUUCUUUAAGUUGAAUUAUCCUUAGAUACUCCUCUUCCAGGACUAAUUUCCAGGAUUCGAAGAGCAAUCAGAGUGAAUUAUUCAAUCCUCGUCAAAGCUUUCGUAAAGUUUGGGUAAAGAAUGCCUCGGACACUUUGCGGUCUCCAAACACAUCAACUUUUUCAGUGGUGUAUAUUACUAACGCUUCAUAAAUCGAAUGUUUCAAUAGUAAUCCAUGUACUUUAUUUAGCGACGAUAUUAGUGUUUAAUUAUUCUUCAGUGGGAUUUAAAAGUGCUAUUGUCAUGGUUCCAUCCUGCGUUAAAAAUAGACAUGUCAAGUCAAGUCUUGCUAAUAAAAUGUUAUGAUGCUUGCGUGUCCUAAUCUGUCAGUCCAAUCAAAUUGACCACAUUGAAAGUUUUGGGUCCCGGUUUGAACUCACUCUCUAGUAGACAAGAUUCACCCAUCCUAAAUUAUGAACAGUUUCGGUUAAGUUAUGUUCAUUCUAAUAGUGACAAGAAAUCUGUUUCUAAUGCGAGUGUCCACCUAAAUUAUUCGCUUGCAAAGGUUUCAUCUAAUUACUUCUAAUGAGGUCAUCGAUCUUGACUAUUUCUCCUUAGCUAACCCAAAGAUUGGGAAGAUGGCCCUGACUUCAUGAUUCUGUCUGUGUCGAGGAGCAACCCCCGUUUAAGACUCAGGUACGUAUCUCCUCGCGGGGCUCGUUUUAUUUUGUGGGUCAUAGAGCUCGUCUUCCAGCUCCAUGUUUUGUAAAGGGGUGGGCAUAGACUAAAUUACAUAGGCUUAGACUAUACUGGCCCCCACGAGAACCAAUUUUUUGACUAUUUCAGAUUGAAUUUUCUUCUCGGCGUGAAUUUGGCCUCCCCUCGCCUCCUCUUUAUUCAAUAAAAAAAGCCUCACUCUCAUCCACGUGGGUCCACUUCAAUAAAAGUUAUGAUUGAUCUCGUGGGUCCACUUCAAUAACAAUUAUGAUUUACGUCGUGUUUAAGUAAUCGAUAUUCAUUUAAACCACUGGGUUCCCUUCCAACAUAAAAUGAGAUGGAGGGUUUGAAUCUCCACUUUUUUGGAGGGGUUAAGGUUGAGACGAAUUAAUUUUAAGUGUGGGUUUCAAUUCUCAUGCCUUGCAAUGAGGUAGAACAAAAGUUUAAGAGUGAGAGUUAGAAUAGAAAUAAAGUAGAAUCGAUAAAAAAAAAAUUGAUAUUCAUUUUACGUUUUCAAUUAUGAUAAUAGCAUUACAAGUAUUAUAGUUUUUUAUGAUGUCUACUCGAGUGUCCUUACAUUUUUUUUGAUCACUUGAAUAUCAAUGGUAAAAAAUUGUUCGUUUAAGUGUCUAUUUUGACGAUUCGCCUUAUGGGGCUUUUUAAAAAGAAAUUUAUGUUCAAAGUGGAAAAUUGAACAAAUUUCUAAGUCCAAAUUUUGAGUCCGACGUGCCACACCUGCUCUUAUUCUUCGUGUCUUCGUGCUCAUCUUCUUCGGUAGAGAAUUGGAAUGAGGAGGAAACCAAAACACACAGCUCUCUGUCCCUCUAUUCACUCCCCAUACAAACAUCCGCGAUUUCGCGAUGGCGAUGGAAUGGCCGCGGUGAUGGCAAAGCAAGUCGAGCUUGCAAAGCUUUGCAGCCUCUUGCGAUAAGUCCAAAGCGAAUCCUAGUCCUCGAAUGGCUCGGCUUCGUCGUGUGCAGUCCAAGACAGUUUGCGAAAAACUCAUUCGUCGGUUUGCGUUUGAGUGAGAAUACAAAGCAGUGGACGAACGAGAAGUACCGAGGCCAUACUCCUCUGCUCGAUCAGAGGUUUGAUUCUAGAUUCACAGAUAACGAAAAGAGAGCAAAAUCACUGUUUUCCACUUCCACUUGUCUAUUGCCCUAAAAUAUAUAGAAGGUUAUUUUGCCCAAAAUUAAGAGAAUUAGGGCUUUUGACGAUUUCGGAAUGGGUUUCUGUAUAAAAAGGGGAAUUUUUAAGAAGAAAAGAGGAGCGUUUGAGGCCAAAUGUUUCCCUCUUAAACAAUGAGAAAGCGUGGGAUUCCACAAAGACAUGACCUUAAAUCAGCAAACAUUCGGGCUUCCAUGUCCAUGGCUGCUUUUUCAAGUUUUCUCUGUUUUUUUUUUUUUUUAAUCUAAUAAUAGGGCCAAAAUGAGAUCGUUUUUUGUGAUUUAACCGUACUGGCUAAUUUAAAAUAAAUUAAUGCCAGAUUUUUUGGCCACAAAAAUUGCUGAUGACACUUGUAAUUGAUUUUUUAGUGCUCUUUUUUUUUUUAAAAACAAUUGGAUUGAUUUGAAGAUGGGGGACGAUUGUACCUAAAUUCUCAUCGAUAAAGAGCAUAAGUUUUCAUUUUGUAAGUAAGAAAAAAAAUACAUUAUGGCAUAAAUUCUAGAUCAUCCAUAGAAUUUUUGUCUGGCCUUAAGGUCUUAGUCCCGUACAGUGAUAAAGUCGCACUUUUCCAUUCUAGUCAGUUAUAUUCAAUCGUUAAUGACUUCUGUCCUUUUUACUACAAAAAAAGAAAAAAAAAAUUAGUGGAAAUUUAAAAUACCCUGGAGAAAAUGUUGCACCUCCUUUCUCCUCCAAAUUUUUUAGAUUUUUCUAUGUUAUUCCAAAUAUCUAGAUAUUUUCUCCUAAGAUAUUUUAAGUGGAAAUAUAUGGCUAAUAGAUAGACCAUAUUUAGUAUUCUUUAGAUUUUCCAAAGCUAUUUCUAGAAUAGAUAUUUUCUUGUAAGAUAUUUUAAAGUAAAAAUGUGGGGUGAUAGAUUGGCCACAUCUCUCUAGAAAUAUCUAGGAAGAAGGUACUCACACCUCCUUGUUAGGCCUAUAAAUAGCCAAGUUUGUGCCUCUUCUAUCUUGUGUAAUGUUAUUGGUUUGUUAAAUUUGAAUUUUUCUUCUUGCUUUAACACAAUUCUGGUUAUAUGUACCACUCUUUAUCGGUAAUUUAAGCCUCUCUGUCUUUCCAUAUAAAAACCAAAAUUGCUGACGCCUUCAAUUAUUGACAUGUAGAAAUAUAUAUACACGUUGCUAAAGAAAAGUCAUUAAGAGUCAUGUACUUUUAUGGAUAUAUUGAGUGCCGAAACAAGACUCCAAUACUACUUAUUAAGAAAAGCACAAAACCCUAUUGAAAAAAAACACUUUUUUAUUAGAGGCAAUUUAUACAAUAACGAUUAGGAGAAAUUUUUACGUGCACAAACCCUUGGAGCCAUGCACGCGCACACACAUUUACAUGGCGCCAAGCACACACACAAAUGAGCAUACUUCGGGCCCGUUUGGUUCGGCUUUGGGGAAAUGUCUUUGGCCAAAUGCAAAUAUCUUUAGGAUAAGAGGGUUUUCGGGAAUACUCGACCGUUUGGCAAAUUACGCAUUGGAAAGUUACUAGUGCAAAAAUAUCGUUUGGCAAAACUUAUUCCAAAUGGGCUUUUUGCUUUUAAUUUUUUUUUUUUUAAAUCUGAAAAUCAAAUCCGGCGGUCGGCGGUGUCGGAUGGCCAUAUUUGGCGGUCCAGCCACCUUAGGUAGUGACCUCAGGCGACGCCGUCGCCGCGACCUCAAGCACCUGGAGGUGCAGAGGCUAGAUCUGGCCGUCCGGCGACUAGAUCUGGCCUCCGGACCGCCAGAUCUGGCGGCCUGAGGUCGUAGAGGCCAGAUCUGGCCUUCAGACCGCCAGAUCUGGUGGCCUAAGGUCGCGCGGACCUCAUGCGGUGUUGACUAGUUCCGAGCGAACCAGGCAACGAACCAGUCGACGCCGCCUGAGGUCUGCGCCGCCUGGGUCGCGCGUCGUGGCACCCCCAGACGGUGGUCACCGGCGACGCGCGACUCUCAGGCGGUAGCGGCGGUGGCUGUCGGAAGCCCGAUGGCCGGGAAGAAGAAGAAGAAGACGAGAAGAAGAAAAAUGAUGAACAGUAACCAUGGCAUUUCCCAAAUGUCGAAUGCCCAAUGCUGCCCCUCUCCAGCUUUGAGCAUUCCAAAUGCUCAUAUUUGAGCAAAGGAGCUUCCAAAAAAUUUGCUAACACUAAAUUUUUUUCCCAAGGGACCCAAAGCCUCUUGGAAAUGCCCAACCAAACAGCCCCAAAUUCCAUAUGACUUUCAUCUAUCCAGCAAGCGGUGCCUCCCGUACCCAACAACUGCACCUCUCGAUAUCUACUCCUUGCUCUUCCUGACAAGUCAGAAAGAUUCUGAUGUCCAGGUAAGAAAGUGGAUAACAUGAGCUGUUGUCCUUCCUUUCUCUGCAUCAGCACAUGCUCUUCUGGGGCCACAUCCGAUAUCAUUGCCCAAAGCAACAAGACCAGAGUGCUUCCAAAUCCGAAGACACUGCCAAGAUCUAUGGACCCCUUUCCCACCCAAUCCAUUGAUUCUGAAUUUUUGACUUACUCCUGAAGUGCCAUAUGGUCGAUGGUGCUUGAAUUAAAUUGAUACUCAGUCUGAAAGAGAAAAUCUAGUGACAGUAGGAUUUUCUCAAGGUCUCUUCUUGUAAUAUUAUACGAGUCGCCAUGCAACUAAACAAUGCUUGAAGCUUGACCACGAGUCAUCGAGUACGGAGGCACCAUCAUGAGAAGCUUUCCUACAACUGAUGCAGAACAGGCUAAAUGACCCUUUAAGAAGACUAGAGAAAAGCAUUUCAAUGUCCCCAGAUCAAAGAGAUUUGGAGCCUCAAUUUCCUGUAGGUCAGCAAGGAAAAGGAAUUUCAUUAUUUUAGAACUUUGUGACUUUUAAAACUCAGUAAUAAAACUUAGUAGUAUGGGACGCUAAGGAUGCGUAUGGUAACAUUUUUACUCUCGAGAACAAUUUUUUUUAAAAAUAUUUUUUUCUAUUUUUGUAUUCGAAAAUAGUUUAUAAGUAUUGAAAUGUGUUAAGUAACUAACAAAAUUUCUAUUCUCGAAAGAGAAAUGCAUUUAUUACGACCCUAGAUAUUUUUGUGACUUAGAAUUUCUUUUAAUUUAUUAAUAAUUUUAUUACAUUUUUCUUUUUCUUCUCCUUCCUUAUUUGGUCACGGGCCUUGGCUAUUGCCGGUUUGCAACUAAUCAGAUGAGGGUCGACGAGGUCACUAGCCUCGGGAGAGCCUUGCCACGGCUUGGUGAGGCCGAUCUCAAAGUGAUUAGACGAGGUAGAGCCUCACCAUGACAAGGCUAAGCUUGCCACAAGGCAACUGGUCAAAUAAGGGCCAACGAGGUUGCUGGCCUCGGGAAAGCCUCGCCAUGGCUCGGUAAGGCCAAUCUCACAGUGGUCAAAUGAGGUAGAGCUCAAGGGGCCUUGCCGGUGGCCGACGAGCUCGGGGGGCGAUCUCCCCGGGGGCCGAUGAGGCUCCAGCAAGGUCGCUAAGCCUUGUCCGGCCGAUUGCCGGCCUCAACUAGAGGAAGACAGAGAAAGAAAAGAAAAUGAAGAAAUGAAAAGAAAAGAAAACAAAAGCUCAUUUCUUAAGUUAUUCCUGAAAACAAGAAACAAUUUUUUUUUUGUUCCUUAUUUUUAUUUCAAAUCUAUUCUCGAGAACAAAUUGCUCCCGGAAACAAAAAAAAUAAUGAACAUGUUUCUAUUCUAUUUCUGUUCUGGAGAACCAAAAAACAGAAACAAGUUUUUCCUGCCACGUUACCAAACAUCUUAAUAUAUGAAGCUUCCGUGCAAGCAGAUUCCUUUGCAGUCAAUUCAUAGAAGACGUUUAUCCAGCGAAAAGAAUCCUAAUGGACUUUACUUCGAGCAUGAAGGAAGAAAUGCUCCGAAAUAGUUCAUAAGCAGUGUUACAGACGAAGAACCAAAAACAAUUUCCACUUCACGGCUCAUCCACCCCGCAAAACAAACUUUCAAGAACCUUGUGCCAAUGAUGCUCUCUAUCCGAGUAAACUCAUCACAGCUCUUCGGUCUGCUAAAUUUGAAAAUGGAAAACUUUCAACAGCUUCAAAAAUUUUCUACUCGGGUUGAAGAACGAGAUUAGACCUUAUUAUUGCCACCCCCAUUUUUCGAUGAAUAUACAGGACAAACAAGAACGCCGAUGCCUUCCAUCUGGUUCUUCAAGUUCCUUGAUCUCAACAAAGACAAGCUGCAAGGCGGCAAGACAAGCUCCAAACAGAAGAAUGGCAUUGCUCGUCACUCUGAAGUCUGAUCUUAAAGAUGAAAUUCUUUUUCCAUAAGACAUACCAACAGCAAGAUGGCGUCAAACCUGAAUUACAAGCAGCAAGUACAUUUCUUGAAUCACAAGAAAUAAUCAGGAGUCUUGCGCGUUGUGUCCGGUUCAAUUUGACGUGGUGCUGGUUCAAAUUGAAGGAAAUUCUGAUCCAUAUUCUCUCCAAUCUCAAGAAUUGCAGCCAUAUUUCCACACCGAUAACAAUAAUUGGGAGCACUAAAUACAGUGACCACAUUUUUUUCCUAGCAAGAUGUGAAUGAGCAUAAAGAAUGAGUUAGACAUGAAAUGGCAAUACAUGCUACUAGAAAAGAAAAGAGGAACUCCCUGUUCUAGUUGACAGACCUGACACCAAUUGUAUCCUUCCAUGACAAGCUGAUGGGCUCUCGAUAUCAGAGUGAGACCAUUGGUGUGGUUAAAAUUAGCAGCAAUGUCCUGACCAAAGGUAUAACCAGCACCACGUGGAGAUAUUCCCCAGCCACAGCGAUCGUCUGGAUCAGACCACAAGAGGUCGCACAUUGGUCCUUCAUGAGGAACCUGCACAAUGUACAAUGAAAUUAGGGCAUGCAGUUCAUGCAGUGGGAACUUAUAAUGCAAUGGUCAGACUGAAAUAUGCUAAUUUUGGCGAAAAUGGUUGUCAUGUCAACAAAAUGGCAUCGGAAAGGAAAGAAAUGGAAGGAAAAAGUUCAUUCGAUGUGUAUACAAUGUGACAAAAUGACCUACCAUGAAUAACUAAGCAAAAGUUUUGUGUAUUACAUAUUAAACAAUUAGAAAUUACAUAGGCACAUGUUCUGAAAAUAUAAGCACUGAAUUGGUUAGGUGAUAUCGCAUGAUGUCAAGUGGCAUGUCACCAGACAUUUUUAAAAUCACGACAAUCACCAGCAAGAGCACUAUUUUAUCCAGAGAAGAAAAUCGAUAUUCUAACCAGGGUACAUCUCACUUUAUUGCAAUUUUUGCAACUUUGCAAAAGUUAGGCUAAAAUAUUACUUGUAGACAUUGCUCAAUCCCCCUCUCUUGAGGCAAGUACAUUAACUUUCAGAAACACUGAAUUCAUACUGUCAACCACAUAUCCACAUCUUCUUUUGGACAGCAUGUCAUACAAAAAAUUGUAUAUUUAAAUGUUAAGCAAUUACUUGGAUCCAUACCUCUUGUAUACGGUCCAGGGCUCGGAUAUUGUCUAGUGUAUCCAAAGAGGGUGAUAGACCUCCAUGCAAACAAAAGAUCUAGAACAUGAAAGUGCUAUAGUGAGUAUAUAACAUGUAGGGAGCUCAUGCAGUGAAGUGGGAACAGGUCACUACAAACCUGACUCUCAAUAAGAGCAGUUAGUGGAAGAUAAUCGAACAAGUCGGUGAAAAAUUUCCAGACAUUGGCAUUUCCAUACUUUCUCAAGCAUUCAUCAUAGAAACCAUACCUGAAAUUUAUGAAAAACUUAAGUCAAGAGUAAAGCAGACCUUAAAAGCUUAACCAUACUACGCAUGUUCAUGAAUGUUAAGUGAAUGCCUGUACUGUGUGCAUGCCAAUCCAUUUUGCUUUAUUUUUUGGUUGUGUGUGUGUGUGUGUGUGUGUGAGAGAGAGAGAGAGAGAGAGAGAGAGAGAGAGAGAGAUCCGAGAUUUUCCUCUCAUAAAAGAAUGUUGUAUAUUAGCAUUUCAGCAUUUUCAUUUCUGAAACUAAGUUUUCAUAAAACCCAUUUGUAGAUAGUCCAAACUCCAAAGCCCAUAACUCAUGUAAAGCUAAAUCACUCUUAAAACAAACUCUGAUUUGUGAGAUUUUGGUGGGACUAUUGCCAAUUGUUCUAAAAGCUUAAACUGUUAGAUGAAAGCAUAGUUUAUUUUUUAGAUAUUCUAACACUUAUCCUAAGUGUGGAAAUAUUUAAUGAGGAGACAAAUGGAGCUUGGAAAUAUUCGAACUUAGAAUCUCACUUUGAUACCAUGUGAGAUUUUGAUGGGACCACUAUCAAUUAUUCUAAAAGCUUAAGUUAUUAAAUGAAAGUGUGGUUUAUUAUUUAAUAUUCUAACAUAAUUCAUAUUCCAAGCACCCUACCCUAGUUACCUUCUUUUUAAGUUGCAUAGAAGCGAUAUAUUCCAAUUUUUUGGGCAGUUCAUUUUCAUAUGUCACUUUUCUUAGCUAAUUAUUCAUCGAUUCAAACAGCCAGCUGAAUAGUCAUUGGUUACACUGUUGGACAACAAACAGAAUAACAAUGGAGAUAGAAUAAGAGAGUUUUAGAAUUCAACUAGUACUCUGCUAGUUUUAUAAGGAUCAGAUUAUUUUAUCACACAGAAUGCUAACACAUAUCUUACAUAUGUAAUGGACAAACAAAAAAGGGGAAGAUACAGCAACAAAGAGUGACUGAAAUUUCUGGAGCAAAGAGUCUCACAAAUAAAAUUAGAGACAACAUAAAUCAGCACUAAAGUGGACAUCCUGAAUCAAUGAAAACCAGUAAUCUUGUUAUAUAAAUAUCCAAGAGAAACAUCUUGCUACCAUCUAGCACACCCAUGCCAUGGAUAGUAUAUACAGGACAAGCAUUAUUGUGCAAAACUGACAUUGCUUUCGCAUGACGUAUGGUCUUCGAAAACUAAGAUAAUGCCUUACACUUGUGUUAUUUGCCGACUUUCAUGAUUUCCCCUAAGGAUAGUGAUUCUAUCUCUAUAGCGAACUUUCAAAGCCACUAAAAGCGUAACAGUCUCCACUGAGUAGUACCCCCGAUCUGCAUUUAUGAAACCACAAAUACAGUUAAAUACUUUCUGUACAAUCAUCUACCACCAUAAGUGGCAUCAAUUACAGGUGUCUCGAAGGGAAAUGUUAUAAAAUAUGGAUAAAGCUGGACACCAAGGAUACCAUCCCACAUAGGAUACUCCCAGAGUCGUAACAUAGACAACACGAACAAACCAUGGACAACAAUAACAUGUGAAUGAGGCCUAUAAAAAGUUACUCUGCCAAUAAUAUUCCUCAACAGCCAGUGAAGGCACUUCUUUGGUUGACCUUAUCACUUUGCUAGAAGCAUAUACCCACGCAGAAUACAUCGCAAAAACAAUUUUCAUCCCCACUGCGUUGACUCCGGCUCUAAGUAAAUUGAAGUUGCAACCUUGAUCAACCAUGGAUUCCAAACAGGUGAAUCAUGGCUGUAAUUAGUAACUAAAAUGGUUUCAAGGUACUGAAGUGAGAUCUCACGUCACUAAUUUCCAAUAUGCACAUGACCAAAAGACAAGUUCCUAACACAGCCAGAACACCUAUACCGCCCAACCCCAAUCUUCUGUUUCCAAAAACUGCCAGCAAAAUAAAUUCACCAACAAUGGGAAAGCAUAGCGCGUGGAAUAAAUCCAUAAGGUAAGCAAUAAAGAAAAGUAAGGCUUAGACCCACCGAGAAAACUACUUCCAAUCCAAUUAUGCUUAUGGAAAUUCAAAAACAACCAGACAAUUUUUACAAGGCAAAGAACCGCAAUUUACAAUUUCUGAUCCACGAUGAUUUGAAGAAAUAGUGAUCCUUCAAAUCCUUCAGUGCUAUCAUGCUAAUCGAGUAUCACUACCAGUAUAAAAUAUGUCGUCGCAAUACAGGGUAUUCUAAAGUAUUGGACCGCAAUUAGAGAUGAAUGCCACGGUGGUCUCCAUGCUACCGACACUCCCAACAAAAGUAAAUUUUCUGACCUGCGCAAUGACUCUAACAUACCCACAGACAUUACUCGUUCCGGUCUUUUAACAAUAGAUUCAAAGAUCACACUAGAAACCAAUAAGCGCUGAGCAGGAUCAAGGUUGUCAAACUUCAUAUGCAAAUAACACCCUGCCUGCACAAACAUACUUCGGCAAGCCCUCAAUCUGGCGCUAUGUAAAUGAAUCCAGAAACUUUGAAGAAGAAAAGAAAAUCCAUAAUCAUUCUUCUUUCUUUCCGUCUCUUGUAAACAAAUUAAAAAAAGAAAAAAAAGUAAUUCCACCAUUGUCGUCGAUCAGUAUCACAAAUACAAGCAAAAGAAAAAUUGAAGCAAACAAUCCACCCACCAUGGCAGAGAGCGAUCUUCAGAUCACGCGUCAUCACGCACAACAUAGUUCAACGUACAUAAACUCAAUAAUUCCACAUCCUGGAAACCACAUAGCGCGCAAACGAAGCUAUGUAAACAAACAUAAGCUCAAGACCAGAAGAGGCAGGCGGAACCCAAAAAAAGAAAAAAAGGAAAAAAGAAGAGCUCACCAACAUAAUCUCCCAUAAACAGAUAAUUCGUAUCAGGCGCGUUGCCGCCUAUCCUAAAGAGCUCGAUGAGAUCGUAGAACUGGCCGUGAAUGUCGCCGCAAACCGUGACCGGGCACUUCACCGGCUGCACGUUCCACUCCUCCACGAGGAUCGCCCUCGCCUGAUCGCAGAGCGUCUUCACCUCCGCCUCCGUCAGCGGCUUGCACUCCAUCAGCUGCUCGAUCUGGUGGUCCAGAUCCGCGUGCGACGGCAUAUUUCCCAGGCGCCCCGACCCACCACUCCUCGUCCCUCGUCCCUCGUACCGCUCCCGCAGAUCGCAAAUGGCAGGCGGGGGGCGGAAACAACCGCGCGAUCGUCGACGGGAGGCGGUUUUCUCCCCCCACUCUCACUCGGCUCCCGUCGAAGGGAACGGCUCGCCGGGCGCCGGGAUCGGGAUUCCGAAUCGGAACGAGGCGAGAAGCGGAUCUCCGAGCGAUCGAGCGGGUCGCGAUCUUUCAAUCAUCACUUAGCUCCGCGAAUUCACCUGCGCCUUCCGCCUUCCGCCUUCCGCCUUCCGCCUUCGCAGUUUGGAUGUCGCGCAGAUGUUUCGACCGAUGAAAUUGCAUGUGAGAGAGAGAGAGAGAGAGAGAGAGACCGAAAUGAAAUUCGAAUGCGAAUGCGAAUGAAUGGGGACAAAAAAACCGUCCUUUUGUCUCCCGGUGGCUCCGCCGGGUCAAAUAGGGAAACCGGUGGCGACACGUGUCGAUCCGGGGGAAGACGAUUCAGACAUCCCCCGCGUGGGGGCGGGCGCACCGGAUCCUCCCCCUCUCUCGCUGACCUCGUCGCCCGGGACUAGGAUUGGCUUCGCGAUGUUUGUCCCAACCAUUGAAUCUUUUAGAAUUAAAUCCGGAUGCAUCGGAAGGCGUCGUUUUAUUCGAUCGAGGAAUUAUCAAUGUUGCCGUCGAAUCAUUAAAGUAAAAGACUUUUCAUCCCGCGGGAAAUUUAAGGUGUCUUUCCCUCUUAAGUUCUUGCAUUAAUCUGACACCUGUUCCUUCGAGGUGGAUGGAAUUUUCAAUUAGUCUAGCUUUUCUUCCUUAAUUUUUUUUAACGUUAAUUAGAUUUGCAAAUCUUUUUGGAGUCUUUUAAAAUUGGGUAAGAUUCAGAUUAAUAUAAGUAUCAAGUCCAAACACAUCUAUAGACGUAAACUAAUAAACGGUAGGAAACUCAACUGAAUACAAGUUGAAAUGAUGUUUUACUUUUAUGAUUAUUGAGAUGAUCUGCUAAAAUAUAUUAAUGUGAAGUUGUUGUAAUAUUUAUAAAGACAAAAAGGUGCAAAGGAAAUAGCAAAAUGACGACCCACUUCCAUUAAAAAUCACCAACAUUAGAGUAAGUCACGAUUCUAUUUCAAACUUUUUUUAAUUCCAUAAAUAGACACUCGCUUUCAUUGUGUAUCUCAUUGUUAUUUCCUCCCUUUUUUCUUUAUUCUUUUUUUUUUCCUUUUUGCUUUAUUCUUCUUCUUUUCACCUCCGGAAACAAUUAUAACACUGUGGACAACAUCCAAAGCACCACCACCUUACUGCCGUCCCAGUCCUCCGUCCUUCACCGCCUCGCUGCCAUCCACGACCACCAUCCUUUUAUUCCCCUUUGGCACAAAAUCAGAUUUGAGUAUCGUCAAAUCUGAAGUCGCAACCUCCCUUGAUGGAGGUUGCCACCCGCGACUAAGGUGCGCGGCCUCAAAUUUGAGGUCAUGCAACUAAGAUAUGAGGUUGCGCGACUCAAAUUUGAAGUUGCGUAAUCUAAAUUUGUGCUCGAGCAUUGCCAUUAAUGGAGUUUGAAUGAUUGGUCAUGACAUCCACCGGAAGACCGACGAUGAAGAUACAGAGGAACCCAUUCACACUAGGAACCCAGACCGAUGCUUGAAGCUUCUUCUUCCCUCCAAGACUUGAUGCCAUUAUCCAGAGUACAAGAUUCCAAAAAUGUAUCCCAUGGGAUAAACAUAAGCCACAGGAGCUAAGAAGAAAGGAAAUAAAAAAAAGAUGAGUUUUCUUUCGAAAAUGUAUAAUUUGGCUGAAAUCUCAUCUCAUUAAUGACACAUGGAGGGAGAGAGUGAGAAAGAUGUACACGUGGAAUUGACAGGUCAGACAUUUAACACAAAAAGUGGUUUUAAAUUGAUGGAGGAUGGAUUUGGGUACUAAGUGAAAAUUGAUGAAUUUUUACGAGCGAAAAAAAAAAGUUCAUAUUAGAAUUAGGACUUUAUCUAUAUUUUGUGGGUUUUAGGAGAAAUUAUGUUGGGAAUGAUAAUGAAAAGGUUUUCUAAAAUUUAGGCAAUAAUGUAAUUAUGAAAAUAUACUAAUAGCACCGAAGCACUGAUUUCACUUUUAUGGAAAGUUGAUAGAUUAGGUUGAAUAAAUUGAAAAUUUAGAUAUCACGUUGAAUAUUUAGGAAUAAUUUAAGAAUUACAUUAAAUGAAUCUAAAGUUCAAAAAUGGCAUUGAAUUAAAGUUUAUGGAGUAUUAAUGUCAAUCUUUAUUACCCCAGAUAUCACCUCGAUAGCCUGACCUAAACAAUGAUGAGAGCAAUGCUAGAAGGAAUGGGGCUAUGGCCACCGGUUGAACUUCAGCUAAGUCAGCUGGAGACAGAGUCACCAACUGGUUGGCCACGGGAUCAUGUGUUUCGGAGGCCUCUUCGGAGCAAACCAGUAACAGAAGAAUCAAGCUCCUCCUGUUCGACACCUCAACGUGAUCAAUGAUGGUUGAAUAUCGGCUCAAGAUAUGUUGGUAGCCGUCAUGGACAGGACACUCUCGUGAGAAGGUGUCCGCCACAAUGCCAUCGGCGGCUAGGCCUGUGGAUGCUGCAAGGUACGCAAGGGUGAUAGACAUCGUGCCUUCUAGAAACAUAAAGAAGUUGAAACACUUGUCCUGUAGCACCACCGAAAAAGUACAGAGGAGGUGGUUGUGGAAGUCUUGUUUCUCUGUCGACAGGCGGAUGGGAUGGAUUCUCAGCUUCUCCCGAACUGAACCCUCUUGCCUUAUCAGGCAUGCGACCCACCUUGAAUUUUGAUUAUCAGCAGAAACCCAACACCGAGGAACCGAUUUGCUCCACCCUGACAAAUCACCCAUCUUUUCAGGCGACAUUGUCGGGGAAGCUUUGUGGUUUUCGGAAUACUUCUCUUUAAGGGUGUCCUUCACUCCUGUACAGUCCGGGUUAAAAACAGGCCCUGUUACGUCAUUGUCAAUCUUCUAUCAGAUUGUUGAACAGUGAACUACUUGAAAUUCUCGACCUCGAUCUGAUACAACAUGUUUCUUGCUUUCAACGGGUUGGCCAUCGCUCUUAUUAGAACCUAUCCUUGACGAGCUUCACAAAAGUAACGUCACGUGUGCUUACAACCACUGAUUUAAAGAUUCCAAAUGAAGAGACGAGCAAUUAGGGAGGGAGGGAGGCAAUGAGAGAGAGAGAGAGAGAGAGAGAUCAAAGUGCUCGAAUUGAAAAAGUAGAGACUUCACGGCUUAAGUACGUUUUUAUCUAAAUGGAGAUGCUGUUACUUUCUGGCCCAUUACUGAGCCAGCGUGGGGUCAAAAUAAGGGGGCACAUGUUGACAUUAGGCCCAAAAUGUGGGCCCAAAUCUAAGAGAAGUUAAUGGCCUAAAUUGGGAUAUGACAAUAUACUUAAAUUACGUUUGGUCAUCCAGAUAAAAUAAGGUUGGAUUAUAAAUCCUCCAAAUAUUCUUUAGAUUGUAGAAAAUCUGAUCCAAGAUAGGAUAAAUUUUUUUUUUUAAUGAAAAUCUCACUUGCCUAGUACAAUCUCUUGUCUAGAUCUCACUGCUUCAUUGCUUGAGUUCCCUCACUGAUAUUUGAAACCCGCUCUUUCUAGCUCCCUUCGGUUUGUCUCCUUCCUUGCCAAUUUCACUAGAUCCACGGCCAUCUCACCCUCUGGCCUGAUUUUUUUUUUAUCUAGCACUUUAUUCAGGUAUAUCCGAUUUUAUCUAAUUUAGGGAACGUUGCCAAAUAUUGAAUAAGAUAUUUUGUUAUCCUAUCCGAACUACUAGAUGUAGCCUUAACUCAUAAGACUAACUCAAUAGCAUGCUUAAUAAGUUCAUUAUGUCAUAACAAUACGAUUGGCUCAAAAAGCACUUUGAUGGAAUGUCUAACAAGCUCAUCGAUGAUGAGUGUUUAAUGGAUAGAGUUCAAGGGAAGUUCAUGACGUGUGAUGCCAAUCAAUUGACUUGAAAUAUAUCAAGAAGUUGAAAACUAAGUCAAGAAUGAUUUAUCGACCAAGGAAUGGUUAUACUUAAAGGAUUGGGAGUGGUUGCAAAUUAUUCGUAAAGCAUUGCAAGUCAAGAGGCAAUUAGUGAAUUUUGUUGAAGAAGAUUGUGCAUAACAAAAUUGCAUGCAUGAUGGAUAAAAGGACGCACCUCUCAUUGCACAUUCUACAGUCACAAAACAUCAACCAAGGCAUCAAGAAUCGUGAGAAGGGCUUGUCAAAUUAGAGAUGCAUGAUGGAUAAAAGGACGCACCUCUCAUUGCACAUUCUACAGUCACAAAACAUCAACCAAGGCAUCAAGAAUCGUGAGAAGGGCUUGUCAAAUUAGAGGUGAGUAAUUCCAAAUUCCAUAUAAGUUUUACCUAGAACUUGAAAUCUAUUUGUCAGAACAUGUUUCUCGUUUUUUAGAACCUGAAACCCACCAUGUCAAGGUUUUGAAGUUGGUUUUAGGGUCUACCCACUUUCUAUUUAUAUUAUCAAUUGAACGAUUGCAGUAAAUCAUCACCUUUAAUAAUCACUACUUGCCAUUACAAUUUACUAAUCAUAACUUUUAUUUAAACACACAAAAGAUAUAAAGUAUUAACAAAGUAAAAGUCUCAAUCAUAAAAAUGGAAAUUCAGACCAGAGGUUUCAGAUUAUACAUUUAUCAUCGAAUAUCAUAAAAUACUGUAGGAUCGUAAUAAGACAUAGACUAAGAAAAACACAAAAAUUUAUUCUAGUUCUAAGUUACAGGUUUUAAGUUCCAUUAACCUAGAACUUGGAAUCUACCAAUUAAAAUAGGUUUCCCAAUUUUUGGAAUCUGGAAUCCAGUAAAUCUUGGAACCUAGAACUGAAUAUGUUCUCAUUAGUCCAGUUUUCAAAUUCCAAGUUCUACCUUGAAACCAUACUCACCCCUAUGUUAAAGUUUGAAGAAAAUCAUUUGGAUUAGAUUUCACCAAAGUUUGAAUGUUCAAUUUGAAUUAAAUUAAGUUUCCUAAUUUCAGUAUUGUACUUGUCUUUGAUUAUAAAAACUUUAAAGUAGUGUCUGCCUUUUACUUUUCCUAUGCACUUAAUCGAUUUCUUUUAAAAAGCUUAUAUCCAAUCUUAGUCAUCGAGCAAACAUGCUAUCCAAAACUGUAAGCCAUCUCUGAUUUAGUAAAGUCUUUUUGUCCACGAAUUAUAUUUAUAAUUCAAAUUUUACGAAGUCCUUGAAAUUUCAAGGCACAUUAUAAUCCACUUGCUUUUGAUUUAAAGCCAAAUUUGAUGCUUUAACAACUUGACAAAAAUACACGUGACACGUACAUAGAGAUUUUUUUUAGGACUCUAGUAUACUUUUCCACCUUCCCUUUUUAAAUUUUGAAUGUUCAAAUUUAUAAUUCUGGGGCUUUCUUUGAUGUCAUCCGGUGGUAGGGUUGGAAAUAUAAUGGGGAGUCAAAGUCUUAAAAAGGAGGUCAAAUAUACAACGCAUCUCAGUAUUUUUAGGUGUGUAGUGGGGUCGAUUGAAACCGGGUCAAAUAAGGACGCUCCCCCACUAAUCUUGGAUGGGACCACAUUGCAUGGUCACCCCAAGUUUUAAGAAUAGAGCUGUUUACCAUCACACGAAAGCCAAAUCUCAAAGACGAAAGACGCCCACCACCCAAAAACUUCCCCAAUUCAUCUAAAAACGCAGCCCCAAUUUUUUUGACAAGGAUCUAGUACAUGCUUGUCUUUCGUUGGUUGCGACAAGAGCACGUUCUCCCUUUUCUUUUGUCCUUUUCGGAAGCUGUCCCAAUUCGAACCUCGCUUGCUUCAGACUCAAAACUUUGCUUCUCAGCUCAACCCCAAUUCAACAAGCAAAGAGAAAAGGAAAAGACACAGAGAGGUUGGGUAGAGAGCCCGCCCACUACUUUUGUGCCCACUUUCAAAGUGUGAUCUUGUGCUAUCGCGCGCUCCCUUUUUUCUUCUUUUAAACGUUUGACCAAUCAUAUGCAUAAAUAAGAUAAUUGGUUAAUUAUGUGGUUCAUGAGAUGUUAAGAGUCCGUUUGCUUGAUAGAACAUUGUUCCGGACAAUUGUUGUCCAACUUCUCGGUGUUUGGAUGAAGGUAAAACAAUCGAUUUACAAAAAUUAUUUUUCAUUAACUGAAAACGAUAAAUUUAGAUUGGAGGAAAACGACUUUCCUUUCUAGUAAAAAAGGAAUUACUUUCCAUAAACUACUAAAUAAAUGAAAUCUAAGAAAAAUGGUUUUUUUGGAAAUUAUUUUCUUUUACCAUGAACGUUUUCAAUGAAAGGAACGUCUCCUAAAUUGCUAUAGUUAAUCCACGUGGAGGGUCCAAGGAGUAACGAGAUGUGUAUAGUUUGCAUUCUAAAUUAAAAAGAUUGCAGUCGUUCCAUGAACCCGAGAUGCAAAGGCUUUCUACCGAUCAUGCGUGCCCCUUUAAUGUUUUAUGGUGGGUUCGCUUUUAUUUUGCGCACUUCCUUUUUUUUCCCCUCCCUUUGAUAAAAGAAUUCUGUGUACUUAUACUGAUGCCACCUCCUUUUGACCAGCAGAAUCAGCAUCUGAGAACAGACAAUUUACGGACAACAACCAGCGCGUGUGGGAGACUGUUGGCCGCUAAACAUUCAUGACAAGACAGCCCCCAAAACAUUAGCCGGCCACUCAUUAAGCAUUUCAAAUAAGGAAAUGUUUGAUUUUCAAAGUAUCGCUGAGGAAAGAUCGUCUGGUACUUGAUUGCUUUACAAGGGCCCUUUUCGACGACACUCUAUUUCGAUAAACAGGACAAAUCCGAUGUACAUCGGACCUGUAAUCAGGCAAGAAAAUACGGAAGAUAAUUUAAAGUAGGGUUUCGUCUGAUGAGUUGCCCUGGAUGAUUUAUCUUUGGAUUCUGGAGAGCAUAUUUUGUGCGACACAAGCUUCCAAUAUUCUUCGACUUCCCCCUAGUGCUAGCCACGAAGAAUACAAUGCUUUCCGGAAGAGAAUAUACGGCGGGCAAUCAAUCAAGCAGCAAAACAUUUGGUACUGGAGUGUUCUCAAACUUUUCUAAUUAACUUUAAUUACAAUCCCAUGUCUAGACGAACUUAAGCAAUCCUGCACACACAUUUCUGUCCGUCUCUUUCUCUCUCUCUCUCUCUCUCUCUCGAUACCUAUGCUUGACCCGGAGGUUGUUUUGAGUUCCCAGAUCUCCUGAAACCAAAGGAAAAACACAUAAAUUUAAAGCCACGCAUUAUUUUUUUAUAAGUGAUAAAAAGCAAUGAAUGUGCUUUGGUUCUCUUGGUUGUUCUCUCUAGGGUUUUUUUUUUUUUUCAAUUACCCUUUAUGUUGUGAAUAAAAGUGCCAGCUUCCAAUAUAUUAGACCACGAUUUUCAAUGGCAUGUUUGAAGAUGCUGCAUGUGUGUUCUAAAGGGACGGGAAAGUGAAGACCAAAAGAAACAAUUAAAGCUUCAAAAGGUUGCAUGUACUCUGGACAUAUCUAUAUUUACGUAAAGCUUUAGAUAAGCAUUGAAAUUGAAUAAAGCAAGAGAACAUCUUCCCUUUUGAUGGCAGGCACAUAUUAGAUUUAGCUCCUUUGUUAGAGCAUUAAGUAAAUAGCUGACACAAUAGUUUCUUUUUUCUCUAUGCAAUGAGAGGGAAGGGUACUUAUUCUGUAGGCACUUGACGAAAAUGCACCCAAUAUAACAGACUGUCAAAUCGUGUGAGACGUGAAAGAUUCAUGAUUGAGUAUACGGGUUCUCACUAUGAGUGCACACGUAUAUAAUGUCUUACAUGCAAGUGUUUUCAUCUAUCUCUUAGAGAAAUCAAAAGAUGAAAGAUUAUAGAAUUGGGAUAUAUUUAAAUUGUUGAAUUAAGCAGACCUUUUGUUUUGUUAGUUACCGUUGAUCGUAUUUUCAAGGAAAAGACAUUCAAAGUAUAAAAUUUCAUCAAAGGGACAUGAUUGUGAGAUAUUAUGUCCUUAUUUGGUUUAUGAAAUAAAUUUUGACAUUGGCAUAUGCUGUAAUGAAAUGAAUAGAAUGGGAAUACUUUAUAUAUAAAGGGAAAAGUUGAUUUUUUUUAUAACUGGACAUCCAUAUGAAUCACUCUGAAGAUGAUAAUAUAGUUAUUCUUAGCUGUCUAAAACUUUCGCAAAAGCAACUGUUUCGUAGGGGAGAAAACUUUAGCAAAAGAGAAAUUCACUAUGCAUGGAGCAAGAAGCACUGACACAAACCUUCGGGCUAUAACUCUAUAUUAAAAACAUAAGAGAAUCACGUUAGCUCUUUUCUAAAGCCCACAGCAAACCUCGAGCCUAUUAAAUACCGCUGGCUCAAAAUCACUAAUCAUGUCAAAUUUUAUGAACAUUGCGUAGAAAUGCACUCAUCACAUCACAAACACGGCUUCAAGUUUUCAUGAAUCCAAUAAAAUAUAUCUCCUGUCCUUUCUGUAAAAGAGAGAAAAAACUUCAUGUACGGUACCUGUUAUGAAUAGGAUCAGAUCCAUUAGGAACUCUCCUCUUGCUCAUGUAGUAGAGAUCUGACCGCGGACGGAAAACAAGCUUCUUCUCUCUAUCAAUCAACUCAGAGUUCCUCGCCUUCCCCUUCGACCACUCCUUCAAGGGCGGGGUUGGUGGUGCUCCUCUACCGCCAGCUGCUUCCGCCAUCGCAAACACCAAAAGCCAAACGAGACUCAGAGCUGCUAGUGCUCUGAGUAGGAACUUUGCGGAUAGAGGACAAUUCUUACCCAUGGGAUAUGCUCCUUAUAUAGUCCUCUAUACACAGGUUUCCACUCUCUCUCUUUUUUUUUUUUUUUUUCCCUUUUCCUACAAAGAAAAAUGCUUAGAUUUCUAGGAUGACUAAGACGAACGACGAAAUAUGGCAGAACUCAACACCAUCAUUGCACAAUGAUUGCCAUGCAUGAAAGAGAAAAGAAGACAGAGAGUGAGAGAGAGAGAGAGAGAGAGAGAGAGAGAGAGAGGAGUGCCCGGGGGGGGGGUGGGGGGUUUGGGGAGUGGGCUAAGGCAAGAAUUCUAUUUUUUGGGUGAUGGAAGUCUUCCCUAAUUUACUUCGUGGGCUACGGAUGGUUUGUUUUCUUUAUAGGUUGAAGCGAUUCUAUUGCGCUUUCUCGAAGAGAGAGAGAGAGAGAGUGGGCAGGCUUAGCUGGCUUCUUUGGUGACAUGAAAAGGGACCUAAGUUUGCUUUAUACUGGUGAAUUUUAAUACGACACUGCUUUUAAGCUUCCAUUUGAGUUUUUUCAUGCACAUGCACCCACAAUGCCCGAAGAGCCUUGGUGCCUCUCCCUCCCCAUCCCAUUCUACGUUACGAAUAAAAGCAAAGAUAUUUGGAACGACAAUUGGCUCCUCUCGUAUCUCCUGCGCUCACGUGGCAAUCUGUUUUUAAAAGGAUUCACAUACAAUUACCUAUGACAGAGCACCGAGGGGUACACGUGACUAUGUGAGUUGUGUUAGAGGAUUCCGAUAUUGAAAAUUUAGAGUGCAUUUGGUUCAAUUUUCUCAAGGGGCAUUCAAUCAAUGCCGGGGUGUUAGACAAAUUUUACGUAGGGACUUUCAGCCAAAUGCCAGCCCUGGGAAAAUUGAAAAUCCAAUACUAGUAGGGACUAACAUUGAGCCUUCAGUAUUUAACCAAAUGGUAAAAAUUAGAUUUUUUUCUUUCAAAACUACUCUCACCAAUUUGUUAGUUUUUUGAUUUCGCCCAUUUGUACAACUAUUAAUUUUUUUUGAGCGACGGCAACUGGUGAAGCCAAAUUUGGCUAGAGAAGGGUUGGUGAGGGUCACUCGACCCGGUGACCCCUGCCAAAGGUUGCACAACCUUGGGCGACCAUUGCCUGGGUCUCGCGACCUUAGGUGGCCUCACUUGGGUCUUGCAUGAUCCUAACAACCUAGGCGGUGGUCGCUUGGGUUGCAUGCCGCCUAGGUUGUGCCACACUCCUCAGGCGACCUCAACUAAUGGCCAUUGGCAUCAGACUUGGCUUGUCGGUGGCCAUAGCUCUUCGUUAGUUCCGAUGAAAGGUUUAGGUUUUUAUUUUUUAAUAAAAAAAUAUAAAAACAAUUGCCAAAACUCAUUGCAAAAGGUUUUUUUUUGCCAAAUACUCCUUGAUCAGUGGCGCUCCAAUGUGGAUCGAUAUUUGACUUAAAUAUCUUCCCUCGAAGGAUUUUGACUUUCAGAAUUUACAUUACACCCAAAGUUCAUUUGCAAACCUGAACCAAAUGCACCUUUAGUAUGUACGAAGCAGUUUGGAUACCUUAAUUAGUCCAUACUACGUUAGUUUAAGUUUUUAAUGAAGUAGUAUCUAACUAGAUAUGUUCUUAGGUUAGGACUUACGAUCUCUCUCACAAAUCUUCUCAAGUGCAGGUAUUGGAAUUCUGCUGCAACUUUCGAGCCCAAACAAGCGGUAUCCAAACCUUGAUCAGUGGCGCUCCAAUGUGGAUCGAUAUUUGACUUAAAUAUCUCAAAAACGAUAUAUCAUGACCAACAUAGAUUUUGGUGAAAAUUUUCAUCUCGAUGUGUUUGGCAAAAAGAGACUAUGGGUGAAGGCAGGUAUCGAGGUAGAGCAAUUUUAUUCCAUGUACAACAAUGAUGUUUGUUCGGAAGCUAUCCCGUAACAAAGGUGGAGAUGCAAGUGUGAGAUUGUUUGAGGUAUACAUUUAAAUUAUGCGUCGGAGAACUCUCACAUAAGAAAUUUAGUGUUAUGUGAAAUAGUCAUUUUAUCUGAAAUAUUUAAAAAUCAUCGACUUAUACUUCUUAGUGAAAAUGAAAUUAGACAUAUUGAUGGGAUCAAAUUUAGACUCUUUUCUAAAGAUCUCCUCUAAAAGGGUAUAGGACUUCUGCUACGAGUCCUAACAUAGGGAUUGCACUAUUUGGUUUCUAUUUAAAUCCCAAACGCCUUUCUUCAUCAAAUAUGUAAGCUGAUAUUGGUUUUACCAGUUAGGUCAAAUUGGGUUAGUACAACCCUAAUAUGACCCGAACUACCCAAAUUGCUUCAUUAAGAUGUUAAAUAGCUAUGAUGGAUUUUAUUAAUGGGAUUGAUGUGCGUACUGGGGAUGCAUAAACAAAACAGAAAUAUUUAGGGAAAUGUUAAUAAAAUUACGAAAUUGAUUCCUUUUUUUGGGCUAAUUUACGAAAAACUCCAAGAUAUAUUAUCCAAUACUAUACCUACAAAUAUGAUCUAAUAUAAAUAAUUUAUUGCAUACCAAUAUUCAUUCACAUAACAUAUUAAUUGGCAAGGAUGUACCAAAUUAAGCGCUCAAGCCAAAUAGGUUAAUGUAGGUCAAAUCAAUAAUCCUAGCAACAAGAUCUUGACAAAUUCAAUUAAAUAGAACAUACAUGUAAUUUUCAGGUGACAUUAGUUUCACCUUUAUAUGGCCCAAUUUAUAAAUCAACUCAAAUGUAUCGUGACAAGAUUAUGACACGAAACACGAGUAACAUAAAUUUGAAUCCACUAGACUUCCACUCGAGUCAUGUUUUCAUAUCAUGACAGAAAUAGAUACUCACAAGUUUAAUUAACCUCCUCUGGUCCACUUUAUGCCUUAAUCACUUGGACCACCCUUAGUUGGACCGCAAAAAAUUAUACUCUCCCAAAAAUGGGGAUAUGUGAUCUUUAGGAAUAUGAUCACCCAACACAUAUAGAUAUAGAUGUACAUGAAUAUGAAUUAGAAGCUGGUUCCACCUUUAGAUGGUUGAGGACCUUUUGAUUGGGGAAUAUUGUCACUCCUUACUUCGAUGGUUAAAGCAUAUGGCCCAUUUUUUUUGUCUUAUCCAUUCUCUGCAUGCAUGUUGGAGUUAUAAUCAAUAUGCUGGCAAGAAUCCAAUGCUUGUCACUAGGAAUGGCUUCUCCUAGAAGGAUGAUAUAACUAAGUACAGUAUCCUACAACAUUUUUUCUUUUUUCUUUUGAUUUGGGUCAGCGGCCGUAAAAAGUGCCGAUGGUUCCAAGAUUAUAUAAUCGUUGAGAACCUGAGAUUUGACAUGCAUCAGAAUGCAACUUUGGGUGUCCAAGGAAUAGAACCUGAAUGACCAAGAAAAAAAGAAGGAAUAGAACCUGCCUUGGUUCCUCAAUUAUGAAUUCCCUUUUGUUACCUAGGCUACGUUUGGUAACGUUUCUGUUCAAAAAUUGUUCCAGAAAUAGAAAUAGAAAAAACUAUUUCUGUUCUAGGGAACAAUUUUUGAACAGAAGAACGCGUUUGGUAAACUUGUAUAUUUUUUUUUGUUUCUUUUAAUUUUUUAAUAUUUUGAUUUUGUUAUUCAUUUUUUCUUUUUUCUUUUUCUCUUUGGCCGGUCGCCGACCACCGCCGUGGUGGGCGACCGGCUAGGCGACACCUGACGAGCUCGCUGGAAGCCAGCUUUGCCCUGGCGAGCCUCACCAAGCCUCGCCCUGGCUUGGUGAGGCUCCGACGAGCUCGCCGGUGGCCUGGCGAGAUCGUUGCUGGCCAGGUGAGCCAUGCCAAGCCACCGGUGAGGCUCGGCCUUGCCCAGGUGGCGGCGUGAGGUCGGCCUCGCCCUAGCCUAGCGAGGCCCAGCCUCACGCCGUCGGCCGGGGAGGCCGACCUCGCCCAGGCACCGGCGAGGCUCGGUCUCGCUAGAUCUGGGUGAGCUCAAGCUCACCUAGCCAAGGCGAGGCCGACCUCACGCCGGCACUUGCCCAGAUCUGGCGAGGUUGCCGGCCCUCGACGGCUGGUCGUUGGCCAUGGCCGAGGUCGGCGAUCGGCCAAAGAAAAAAGAAAAAAGAAGAAGAAAAAAGAGAAAAAAAGAGAAAUAAGUUUUGUAUUUUUGUUCUUUUGUUUCUUCAAAAAGUGUUAUUGGGAACAAAUAACAAGUUUUUCUUGUUUCUUGUUUCUGUUAUCGGGAACAAAAGUGUAAAUAAAUGCGUUUCUGUUCUUUUUUUGUCCCCCGGAACAAAAGAAUAGAAAUUGUGUUUCGGGGAACAAAAAAAGAACACAAACAAACAGGCUCCUAGUAAAUGUCGAGAAAUUUAUUUACACAAAUGUGUAUUGUGAUUUCAAGACACGCAUUGUUCAUGUCAAUUCAUGUUAUUGUAAAACAUUAUAAUUUUGGUAAUGUAUUGGACAAUAUUAUGAAAUCAUGAUCAUAAUUUUGGUAAUGUAUUGGACAAUAUUAUGAAAUCAUGAUCAACUAUUUUAAAUAGCUUAAACAUUAAUUGUGAGGCAAGGCAAGAGUAGCAUUAUUGGGUAGACAAACAAGGAGGGCGUGUAGGCUAGAGUAGCAUUAUUGGGUAGACAAACAAGGAGGCCGGAAAAAUUGAACUCAAAAACUCCACUUUCAUUCCAUAUCAACUUAUGUGGGAUCACAACUAAACAUUCUAAAAAAUUAAGUUGUAAAUUAUUCAAUUUUCUUAACAUACACACCAAAAUAAUUGAACUAUAAUAAUAAAAAAAAACGUGUCAAUUCGUGUCAUCAUAUGCAAUUAAGCAUAUUUAUAUAAGGGUUUUCUUGUAAUCUAUAUUUCUUCUUGUGUCAUGUUUAUAUCGUGAAAACAGGUCGUGCCCAAUGUUCCCGAUUAUGAUCCUCAAUGUCCGAGGUGUCCCGCAGAUGAUAUAUCAAUAGGGUACACAAAUCUGCAUGAUGAUGGUUCCAAACAUAUAAAGUCAUCAGCAGAUCAGAUCUCACAAGAAACAUAUGGAAUAUCACGUAGCUUGAUAAGAUCAUGUCCUUUUCUAGCCCCCCUAAAAAAAUGAAGAAUUUACCAUUCGAAGUAUGAGGCUUCUAACAAUUUUACUAUUCACAUUAAAUAUUUUUUUUUAGGUGACCCAGGAUCCGCCAGGUCCGACUUUUGCUUACGCUAAUCGCCAACCCACGGCCCGUACAAUGCAUGAUGCACCUUGGACCAAGCGUCAAUACUUGGGGGGAAAGCUAGCAUAGGACCCCACCAUCAUGGCCCCCCACUUAAGAUGUGUUAGCAGUUGCAGAGUUUUGACCUUGGGACCUCUGCGAUGAAGUGCCCAAAGCCGAACUAACUCAAUUGCCCACCAGUGGGUUGUUCACGUUAAACAUUUAUACAAUAAGAAGCACGCAAAAGGAUAUGUACAUACUUAGUUUGUAAUUCAGUGAUUGAAGUGAUGGGUUAACUAAAUAUGAGGAUAAUUAUAAAAAAAAAGUCAAAAACUUAUCAUAUGGUAAUCAAUUCAGUCCUAACUAUUUCAAUUGUCCAAUUUAGUUAUAAACUUUUUGAUAAUUUGUCAGCAAAUAUUGGCUAGAAAUCGUUCAUGUGGAUGUUGGCCAUUUUACAUAGUACGAUUAGUGUUGACAUGAAUAAUUUUUGUAACUUUUAAUUAUGAUUUUUUUUAUUCUUUAUUUUUUUCUAACUUUGACUCAGCAGGGAUUUGUUCUUUCUUUUUUCCAAAUUUGUGCCUGUGAAAGAAAUGAAAAGGAAAUAAAGGAAAUAAAUUUAAAAAUUUAAAAUAAUUGUAAAAACUGUUCACAUCAACACCGGUCAUGCCAUAUAGGUCGGUUGAUAUCCAUGUCGAUGAUUUCCAGUCAAAAUUGACUGAAAGGAUUAUACUGACAAAUUGUCAAAAUAUUUAUGAAUAAAUUAGCCAAAUGGAAUUGAACAAAAGAAAAAAAAAGUCAAAUUGUAAAGUUUAAGACUAAAUUGAUCGCCGUGACAUAUGUUUAGAAUUUUUUUGGUAAUUUUCUCACUAAAAAUGUUAAUGAGCUUUGGGCACUCGUCUCGUAAUCUUGGCAUGGACUACUACUAUAUUUCCUAACAAGUGGUAUCAAAUGUGAUAGAUUGGGCCCACAAUUUCUAUGGAUGUCCGAUGAAUAUCUAGAGAAAGAAAUCACCAGAUACGCAUAAGCAUGUUUCCCACUCGCUGAGAUUGUUAAACCAUCGGUGCUUAAUAAAAGAGUGGAUUGCUGGAUGCUUCAUUACCAAAGGUACAUGUGUGAGAAUUUUGGUUAACAUCGAAUCUCCCAAAUGCUAUUUGAAGUGUAAAGAAAACUAAUAUAUCUAGGUUGCUUGCUCGAUAGCUUAGACCUCUGAGCGAAGUUCCCGUAUGCUAUUUGAAGUGUAAAGAAAACUAAUAUAUCUAGGUUGCUUGCUCGAUAUCUUAGACCUUCUAGCGAAGUUCGGUUUAACUAGAUAUAAUAAAAAGCAAAUGACACUAGGCUCUUUUUGAGUGAUCUUUUCAACCGUGAGGUCGUGUCUAACUUAGUGGUGUUGAAGCGGACAUUAUCAUGGGUGGAUUGGAGUCGAUAGGCCUCAGGUGCGAAAAUUGUCCAAGAAGUCCAAAUAUAUUACAUUUUUGUCAAUUUAGUUUUAAAUUUUUAAAUUUUGUCAAUUGUUAAUUAAAUCCACUUGGUCAAUUUUAGCCAAAAAUUGCUUAAGUGGAUGCAUGCUAUUCUACGUGGCAUGGCUGGCGUUAGCAUUAACAAUUUUUAUAAUUUUUUUCAUAAGCAUGUUUAUUUAUUUUCUUUUUUUCUUCCGACCUCGGCGGGGGUUGACUGCCGGUCAUAGGCGACGCCCAGCCAACCCUUGCCUAGUGAUUGAUGAGGGUUGAGUGGACUUGGUAGAAAAAGGAAAAAAAGGAAGAAAAAGAAAAAAGAAAAAAAUUAUAAAAAAUUGUGUACAUCAAUGCCGGCCAUUUACAGGCCACUACCAGUGUCUACGUCAAUGAUUUUCGACUAAAAUUAACCUGAUGAAUUCAAUUAAUAAAACGUGAAAUUUUUUAGAACUCAAUUGGUAUAAUUAAAAUGUUUUGGGCUGAAUUGUUGAAAAUACAAUAGGUUUAUGAUUUUUUGGAUAAUUUUCCCGACAAUAUGUGUCCCCAACGAAUAUCUUAAGGUGUGCUUUUCCUAGAUCACGGUGGUUACCAGAUGAGGAUUACCAUUUCGAUGAAUGGUCGAGAGAUUCGAGGGAGUUGAACCAUUAAUGCAUAUCCCCCCCAUGACGGAUGAGACUUGUUAAGGUACUUGUAUUGAAUGCUAAUGAAAAUAAACUUCUCUAAGAUCAAUGAAAAUCGAUAUGUCACGGAGCAAUUGAUCAAUCUAAUUGACUUACUACUUGAUGACUGAGAAUUUUUUUAAAGAUAUUGCAUCCACUCAAUGUUGGUAAUGAGCUUGAGUUUGGACUCCAUUUUGGUGAUCUUCUCAUCAACGAGGCAUUGUACAUUUGUUAUCCAUUCACAGAUGAUCAUAUAACCCAGUCAUGUGAAUAUUUGCCCCAAAGGAUUUUGGAAGUUCAAAGCCCCAUGAAAAAGUUGGACUAAAUAAAACAAUAGAAAGAUAUGGAAGAUCUCUUUGCAUGCACACACACCAUUCGUGAGUGAAAUCAUCUUUUUAGUGGAUUCGUACACGACAACUUUGAUAGGUGUCCUGGAAUCUCGAUUUGUUUGAUUGUGCGUUACCCGACAUGGGCCGAUUCCAUGCGAUAAAAAAGCUCUAGAUUUGGGUACUUGCACUUCAAUUAUAAAAAUGCUUGAUCACGCAUCUCCCCGAAUAAAACAUGGUUUCAAUGCCAUUACUGUGGCCAAUACUAAAGCACGGUUCAUCUUUCAGUACAAGUUUCUCAGCAUGAUGCAUGUCCUGUCCAGCAUCCCCCGAUGAGCUUCUGUGUCUGUGUAUUCGGUCAAACGAUGAAUGGAUAGUGCGUAGAUGUCUCCAAAGAAACAUCUAUGGUUUGAGUUCCAUAACCUCACAUGUUAGCUAUCGGUCAACCGAGUCAUUAACAUUUUAAAUGAAUCAUUAUUUGUGUACAAAGUUAAUUUUUACUUUAUUCAUCCUUGGAGGAGUGUAUGUAAUUUACGAGUUGGAUAAAUCCGACAAACAUACAAACUAUACUAAUACAGAAAUCUCACUAACAUAUUGUUGCGUCGUUCCCAGGAACUUCGUGUUAAAAAUUCUUACAAACAUGGGAUAAUAUUAAUUGUAUAAUAUUUUAAUUAUUGAAGAACAAGCUGUUGUAAAGUAAAAUCUCUAUUCCGCAAUGUAAACAUGUUACGGUUAAUCCAUCAUGGUCGUCCAAGGGAGCACAAGGAGAGAAGGACCUAGUCCCAGAUUUGCAUGUCACCGUUCGUAUUGAUUGAUUCGGUGAUGGCGAUCACUCUUCUUAGCCUGGACAAGUCGGGUUCGUGAUUUCAAUUUCCAUUUAGACCUAGUAUUGAUACCUAAAUUUUGGUGGUCCAUUUAAUCAUUUGUUGCAUAGAAAAAUUAGAAAUCAACUCCAACCAAAACAAAAAUAUUUUUGAUUUGCAUGUUAGCAACUUCUUUAUUUAAUUACGUUAGGCUCACACAAAUUGCAUAAAUGGACUGAUUUAAGCAGAGACGUUUCGAGCGUAAUUAAAAUUUGAAGAUCUUGGCCAGCCCAUGCUUCAAUUGACCAUGAUUGAAUUUCACGCGUGCCUGAAUUUAUUAUCAAAAAAGUUAUAAAUUUAUUACAUUUUUACCAAUUUAGGUCUUAAUAUUUCAAUUUGGCCAAUUUAAUCCUAAACAUUUUGGAAAAUUGUCAAUGUAGUCCAACCGGCCAAUCUCAGUUGAAAAUUGCUGAUGCGGACGCCACUCGCCUCAUUUAGGUAUAGUGCACCAUCUUUUGGGUCCUGACAUUCAUGCUCUCACUUGAACCCUUCUUAGAAGAUCAAGGUCGAUCACCAGUGCACCUAGAAGGGAUCCUACCAUCAACUUCCUUACGCUUUACGGGUUUGCCACCCAUUCACACAUGUCAGACUCCCUACAUGGUACUAUUGAUGUUGAUGUAGACAAAUUUUUGUAUUUUUCAUUGUUUUUUCUUAUUUUUUUCUAAUUUUUUAAAUAAUUUUUUAUUGUCUUUGUUUCCUUCUUCCUCUGGGAUCACCAAUCUCCUUGAUGGUCAGCCACAAGUGAGUGCCGACCUCGUAGGGGUGAGGUCACUUGAGGCUGGCAAGGUCACCUCGCCGAUAUUUGGCAAGAGUUGACCUCACCAACCUUAAGCUCAACCUCAAGCAAGGCUUGCCCUUGCCAAAUCUAGUGGGGUCUAAAGCUAGCAAGGCCAACCAUCACCUGAAGCUGGCGAGGCCAACCAUGGCCAGCCUCAAGUGAGGUUUGCUCUCACCUUGCACAUGAUUAGGGAAGUGGAUUUUGAUGAAGUCUGGGGGUGGUAACAAUGCAUAUUUCCUUCGGAAAAUCCAUUUAACGUGAAGGCAAGAAAAUCGACUAUCAUUAAAAACUGGGGAAAUAAACCUUGGUCGAAAUUCACUGGACAUAUUCACGGCAAGGUAAGGUUUCCGAUGGGAACAUAAGCUUAUGUAUCUGGAAAAGUUUAGCAAGCAAGAAGCAUCAUGGGCAUAUCGAAGAAAACGUGGAAGAGAGAAAAUAUCGGGAGAUACACAGAUAGUAGCCGAAACACGAGGAAGCUAAGAGGGAAAGGAAUAUUGAGGAUUCAAUGAAAGAUAGUAUUAAACGUGGGGGCAUAUAUUUAUCAUAUUCUUUGAUUUCAAGACAGAAAAAGCAAGAGCAAUAUAUGCUUAUUUUAAAACAAGGAAGAUGAGAAUGAAAGAAAAGAUGAAACUUUGACGUGUAAGAGGACAAGGGGGACUACUUUUUGAAAAAGAAAAAAAAAAGUGUCCGUUGGUUCACCAAAACAGAGAGGCGCUCGUGUUUGCUCUCUUAGUGGCCAGCUCUCGUCACGAUCGCAACCCCUCGGACACAACCACACACGGAGCAACGCCAAGUAAAUCCUCCAAAGUGUCGGUCCUGCCAUGCCGACGCCAACGCGGUUACUCGCUGCCCCUUCCCCGUCGUCGUCUCUGUUUGGACCCUGUGCUGCAGCCCGCACGCUCAUCAGUCCAAUAGUCCAGGCGAGGUUCCAGAGGAGUCCUUGCCGACGAAUCGACAGCAGCCGGCCCCAAGUGAUACUCAGGGUGUCCGAUUUUCUUUGCUGUUUGUGAAACUUUGUUCUGCACGUUUUCUUGUGGUCUUAGCAAACUGGAUCGCUCAAUCCUCAACUAACUCAGUUGUAUCUUUCCACGAGCCCUACCGUAGAAAGGAGGUUCAAUAUCACAAAAAACCAAAAAUUGAUAUACUCAUGACAAAUUUAUCCCAAAUUAAUUUUUUGAUAGUCAAAAAUACCAAAUUGAUACAUCUUUAGUAAAUUUACCUCAAACUGGUAUAUUUGUGACAAAUUUACUCUCUUAGUUUCCGUUUAAUUUUACUAUCAAAUUGCUGAAUUAAAUGACACGUGAUAGUUCACUGGUCCCAAUUUGAGAUUUUAUUCUUCUUUUGUCACAGUUAUAUUCGUUUUGUGGCUUUUUGCAAUGUUAAUCUAAUUUGACGGAGGGUAUAUUUGUUAUAAAUAUAUUAGUUUGGAGUUUUUGGCGGUAAAAAAAAAUUAGUUUGGAGUGAAUUUAUUAUAAGUGUACUAGUUCAAGGUUUUUUUGUGGUCAUUUUUGGGGUAAAUUUGUCAUAAAUAUACUAAUUUGGGAUUUUUGAUGGUCAAAAAAAUUAGUUUGAGGUAUAUUUAUUACAAAUGUACAAACUUGAGAUUUUGCGUAGUAUUAAACCUAGAAAAUAUUCAAUGGUUUGAAAUCACCACGUCGUCAUCUUACGUGGCAUGUGUGUUGGGAGAGGCAAUGUGCUAGAGGUAGAUCUGAGCAGUAUUAACCCUAGCCCCUCCUGCACUCCCGUUGGCUUUGCUCCCUCCUCUUCCUCUUCGUGGGCGUCUUCUGCACCUUUAUUCUCCAAUGGAUUCGGCUCCACACUGGCGACUUCAGCGCCGAUGCUCUUCGGUACAUUGUCGUCGGUCGCAUCGGAGGAUUGUCGCCCUUUGGAAUGGCUCAGCCUAUCGCGAGCUCUAGUCUGUCGCCGUUCGUGUCGAGUUCCCCUUAGCCAUUGUUUGCCUCGUUGGGGAGCUUUGCUGCUUCUCUGUUCGGUGCACUUGCGCCUUCUUCCAGUGCAAGCCCAAGUUCUUCCUUGUUUGCGACGCGUGCGCCUGUGCCUCGGGCAUGGUCAAGGCUCACCGGCUUGUGCCUAUACUUGGAGCUUGGCCAAGCUUCGAUGGAUAGAAUCGCUGCAGAGGGAGGUGAGGUCAUCGAAGAUGGCGGUGGACUGGAGGAAGGGGCGAUGGGUUAGGUGGAGAGGCGGCUGGGAGAGAAGGAAAAAAAGGAAAAAAAAUAAAAAAUAAAAAAAUGUUUAUUUAAAAAUUUGAUUAUUUUAUUUGAGAGAAAGCAUUUUCCAAUGAGGUCCAAAUAGGAAAGAAUGUUUUCAAUGAUAUAUACUAAACAAAGGAAAACUAAUCGUAUUACUAGAAAGUAUUUUUCAAGAAAAUAUUUUUCUCAAUCGUUGAGUUUUCCAUGAAACAAACGCACCCUUAGUCUUUUCUAUUUUCCAGCUGGUCCAAGUGAGAGACACCUAUUUUCUUCUACUACCGUGACUGCAAAAACUCCAGCAAUCCUCCCAAUGCUCUUGCAAUGAAACCGUUCUAGAGUAGCCGAUCCCAUGUUUCGGUUUUCCAUCCCCAUAUUCGGUUUUCCGUCCCCAUAUUCCUACCGCAAGUCAAGCUCCAUCAUCGUUGCUUUGUCGUUCACGCUCAUAGCCUUGCCGAUUGCGGUUCAUCAUGGCCGGCCAUCGUUUGAUCCAAGUUCAAAUUAGGUGGCUUCUUAAUUUGAACUUAAUUGAAUAUACGAUUGCCUAAUUUAGAUUAUUUAGUUCAAACUUUGAUUUGAUUUGAGUUUAAGGUGUUCCCUUAAUAAGUAACUUCCCCACUUCAUUCAUUGCCUAUCUAUGCUUGAGUCAUGCAUAUAAUUGGGAUUUCAAUGCCUAGGAUCGGAUUCACGAUUAUCCUUAUUUCCUAUUAUCAAUGUCAUGAGUACUUGAUUGCCUGAGUUUAUAUAUUGCAUGUUGUUAAUUUAUGAAAUGUUAUUAUUACGAAGAAUGCAAAAAAAAAAAAAAAAAACGCAUUCAUGUUAGCAUAGAUUGCAUUCAUAUUAGUUCCCUAAUUUAAAAUUGCAUAUGUAGGGGCCAUGUAAUUAAUUAGGAAAUUACCUAAUUUAUAUUAGGAUUUAAUAUAAUUAUUUCCUAGUUGAAACUAGGUAAUUACAUUUUAGGUGGUUCUCUAUAUUAGUCUAAAAAAACACAUAUAUCAGUUGUUACAUCAUUGCCCCGUCCUCAUGUUCGCCAUGUUGCCACAUCAUCACAUUGCCAUGUUAUCAUAAUAUCGCGUCAUAAUAUUCAUGUCAUUGCAUGUCAUGUUAGAUUAAUUUAUAGUUCUUUUACUUGACCUUUGAAAUAGCUCGCAUAUAAAUUGUAUCUCAUGCAUUGCAUAUAGUUCAAUUUUCAUUAAAAAGACAAACCCAAAAAGAAUUAAUUGAUAUUACAUUUAGAAAUCAUGUUUAGGUCAUGCAUAUAUUAUUUAGUUAACAUUUUGUAGAACACUUGGUGUAUUGAACUUGAUGCAGCUUCUGCUUUGCUUAAUGCGUUGAUGUUUUUGCCCACAUUCGAGUAAUUCAUUUAUUAAUUUGUAUUCUUUCUUGUUAAAAUCUUGGUUGUGCAUUCACAUGACCACCCAUUACAUGUUAGUGGUUUAGGAUUAGAAUUGACUAAGAUUACUUGCAAAAUAUUUUUGAAAAUAAAAAGAAAAUGCACAUAAAGGGCAUUGUGUUAAUCUAGCAUAACCAAGUCUCCAUAUUCAUGCAUCUCUAGUUUGUAAAAGUAAAGUGUUCUCCCACACUUUACUUGGAUUUCUAAUUGACCCAUAAUAGAUUAGUGGUGAUUUCUAAUUAAAUUGAAUUGCAUAUUUAAUUGAUUAAAUUAAAAUCUGAAAGUUGUGAUUGGUAUGAGUUUGUGAGAGUCCAUGUUAAGUUUUUGGACUUAAUAAUCAAUGAACUUUCCUUCUAGUGGUCACAUUGAAGAAGGUCGGAACACUUAGGUAUUUUAAGAAUGUUCACCUAGCCUUUGGUCUUUUUUGGUUUCCUGACAAUGAAUUCUCAAAUGUGAUUUGUUUCGCUGAAAAGUGUCGAUGAAGUACCUUUUAAAAUAUGGAAUGGUAAACACGAAUCGACAAAGGUUGUGAAGGCAUGGCCACCUUUGUACGUGGCUAGCAAGGUUGGCCUCAUCCGCUUAUGGGUGAGGGUCAUAGCCCUCGCCAGCUAUAGUGGGAAAUAAAAAGAAAAAAAAAAAGAAAUAAAAAUUACCAAAAUAUAUAUAUAUAUAUAUAUAUAUAUAUAUUAUCAAAAAAUUAUAAAAAUAAUGUCAAUGUCAAUUCUAGCCGUUCCAUGUAAGAUAACUAUUAUCCAUGUCAACAAUUUGAAAUUAGUCAGAUAGACUUAAUUGACAAAUCGUAAAAAUGUUAGUAUUAAACUGAUCUAGUUAAAAAGUUUAUAACUAAAUUAAUACUAAUGUAAUAAAUUUAUAAAUGUCUUAAUACUUUUUCCAAAACAAGCUUUUUCCAAUUUGACGUUUCUAAUAGAAAUCCUAGUACAAAUACAAUAUAUCGGAGUAAUGUCAGUAAUUAUUACUUUGGCUGUAGAGAGGGUAUAGUUGGUGGCUAGUCUUAUAAGUAAAUUUGAAAGCUCAUAUAAGCAGCACCUAGCUCAGCCUUAUUCACGAACUCCACAACUUGGUUUCUCACUUAGGAAAAAGAACGCAAAUGCUGCAACUUGAACUCCACUUAUAAGUAGGGGAAGUUUUGUUCCGGCUGUGAUAGCUGCUAUCGCAUUUUUUUUUCUUUGAAAAGAUUGAUUAUUAAAAUGUCUUCACUUCUUUAGAGAUCAAUCCAAUCGAAAGUUAAAUUGGGGCUGUGUACAUUUAAAAGCUUAUGAAUAUGUCAAAUGACAGUCCUCACAAAGCAUAAAAAUCAAUAAUAAUUGCAAUUACCAUGACCCAAUGAAGGGGACACGCCUAGCAGCAGUGGUUGGGGAUUAAGGGUCUGUUUGUUUGUGUUCUUUUUUUUUUUUUUUCCUCGGAACACUUUGUUUAGGGUGUGUUUGUUUAUGUUUCUUUUUUUUGUUUUUAAACACUUUUUCUGUUUUUUUGUUCCUGGGAACAAAAAAGGAACAGAAACGUGUUUGGGUGCGUUUCUGUUCCUUUUUUGUUCUUUUGUUCCCAGGAACAAAAAAGAAACAGAAAUAAGAAACACAAAUUUUGUGUUUCUUAUUUCUGAAACAAAUCUUAAAAACACUUUUGUAUUUCUUCUUCUUUUUCUUCUUAUUUUCUUUCUUUUUUCUUUCGCCGGUCACCAGCCUCGGCCAUGGCCGGCGACCGGCCAAAAGAAGAAAAAAGAAAAAAAAAAAGGAAAAAAAGGAAAAAAUAGAAUAAAAAUAUUAAAAAAUAAAAAAAUUAUACAAAUUUACCAAACGUGUUUCUGUUUAUUUUUUAUUCCCGGAACAAAUUUACCAAACGCGUUUUUUUGUUAAAAAAUUGUUCCCCGGAACAGAAACACUUUUUUCUAUUUCUGUUCCCUGGAACAAUUUUUAAACAGAAACGCAAACAAACGCACCCUUUGUUUUUUUGUUCCGAAAAACAAAAAAAGAACAUAAACGCGUUUGUUUACACUUUUGUUUAAAAUCUAUUUUUUUGUUCCUGGAAAUAGAAACAAGAAAUAAGAAACUUGUUCCCGGGAAUAGAAACAAGAAACAAGAAAAAUUUGUUUCUUGUCCCCAGGAACACUUUUUGAAGAAAUAAAAGAAUAAAAAUACAAAACUUAUUUCUUUUUUUUUUCUCCUUUUUCUUCUCAUUUUUUCUUUUUCUCUUUUCUUUGGUUGGUUGUUGGAGCGUUGCUGGCCCCCUGCGAGACUUGGCCUCACUGGGCCACCUCUAGGAUGGCAUCGCCUGGCGGUGGCCCAGCUAGGUAGGCCUUCCCAGCUGGCGCUAGGCCGAGCCUCGCCGGGGCCAGGCGAAGGUCGGCCUCCCUAGCCGGCGUGAGGCUAAGCCUCGCCGGGGCCAAGCUGGCCUCCGGCGAGCAUGUUGGAGUCUCGCCAGGCUAGGGUGAGGCCCGACGAGCUCGCCAGAUGUCGCUCAACCGGUAGCCGGCCACGGCGAUGGCUGGCGACCAACCAAAGAGAAAAAGAAAAAGAAAAAGGAAAAAGGAAAAAGGAAAAAUAAAAUAAAAAUAUUUAAAAAUUAAAAGAAACAAAAAAAUUAUACAAGUUUACCAAACGUGUUUCUAUUUUUUUUUUCUAUUCUAGGAACAGAAAUUUUAUAUAGUUACCAAACACAUUAUUCUGUUCAAAAAUUAUUCCCCAGAACAGAAAUAGUUUUUUUUAUUUCUAUUCCCUGGAAUAAUUUUUUAACAGAAACAAAACUAAACGCAUCCUAAAUUGCGUGCCUUGCUUAAGAUUGAAACAAACAGCAGUAAUUGUAAGUGUACCAGUGAUGCUGCAUACUGUAAUCGGAUAUCUAUAAUAUUUGACGAAUCUAUUGUUGAUGGGGGAGAAAGUGGGAAGAUAAUGACCGUAAUACAUGGAUUUGGAGAUGCGGUUGUUGUUGUUUAUCUGCACGACAAGGACAUGACAUGGGUAAAAUGUGAAUUAUAGAGUGAAAACUCGAAUAUGACACAAAACGAUAUGACAUACUUAAUUGCAUAUGCUAACAUGAAUUGCCAUGGUAACACAAUUUCAUUGUAAUUAAAUCAUUUGACUUUAAUAUCAAACAUGACACAUGAACAGGGGAGUACUAACCCUAAGAAGAGGCCCCUAUCAUUGUCAUCGUCCCUCCUUAUUUAAGUGAUGACCUAUCGCAAGUAUGUCACUUAAUAUUGGAGAUAUGAAAAUUAAUAUUCUAAAGUAAUUUAUUAAGUGAAGCCGUGACAUAUAGAUGGAUUUUAAAGUUCUUAUAUCCAUUUAAGCGCCAAAUGAAAUCUGCCAUAUUUUGACCAAAAAAAAUAUAGAGAAAAUUGUUCAAAAAAUCCUCAUUUUUUGUAUGACAGUCAAUUUGAUUUUAAACUUUAAACUUUUCAAUGAUACUAAUUUAAUCCUAAAUUUUUUGAAAACUUAUAUUUUGCAAAGCAUCCAAAUGUUUUGCAUACCAUGCAUAUCUUGUACUUAUUAGAUUUGCGUUUAAAUCAUCGACAAAGCACAUUCAAUCGGGAAUACUCCGAUUUGGUUUUGAGGCCGAUGAAUUAGCUAAGAUAUCGAAAUCAAGCAAUACAAUCGUCACUCUUUCCAUUAAAGUUCUUCCUCCUUGUGGACCCCAAGUGGAAUCUAAGGAGAAUUGAUUAGCGAGCAUGCGGAGAGAAUGAUGAUGGGUGGAGAAAUCACGCGAACCACGCAAAAGCAGCAAACGACGCGAACCACACGGAGGCAAAGCCAAUGAAUGAAUCGUCUAUAUUCUUUCGCCCCAAAGCAAGGCAAAGGCAAAGCAAUAGCACUAGUACUAGGCGUCAUAAAAAAUAUAAUUACAUAUAUAUGUACGUAUUAAAUUUAAUUAUUUUAUCAGAAUAUCGAUUUAGAUAAUUGAAAAUAAUGGGACGCGUCUGACAUGGGUUUUAAUAAUGGAACGAUUUCAAGAAAGUACGGCUCUACUUCGUUCCUGCUUCCUGCAUAACCAUGAGCUCGAACCACGAAGCUUUCCCUCGAAAUUUCUCUCGAACCCCGGGGUCUUACCUUGACUCGUCGUUUACGUCUUUCGACCGGGCUCUUCAUUCGCCGACGAGGAUGAUGCGAUGGAACUACAGGUCUCUUUUCAGUGAACAGUCUCUUGCUUGGCCAAAGUUUUUCCUUGGAUGCCUUUGUAUGAUCUCGAAAGCAACUUCCUGCACGGGCACUGAUUAGAUAAAAGCUUUCUCCCUACCUUCAAUCGAAUCAAAGAAUAACUUUCCCGGUUCUACCUUCCUCCCCCCAUCUGCCCUGUCCGAUCGCCCGUCACUAUUGCGACAACCGAGCUUUCAAGAAGAUGAUACCUGGUUUCGGUUUCGAAUUCUCCCUUUUCCACCUCGCGAGGUUGAAGACCGUUCUCUUGACUCUCUGGUCAAGUACCUUCAACCGAAUUCCCUGCCCGGUCACCUGUGUUCUUCGUUGAUCCCAGGUAAACCGCUUCUCAAUAGCCUAGUCCGCGUAUUCCUUCAAGAUCUCAUAUGUAAGCCAAGUUACACUCGUUUCACACGCCCAUCUUUCUCAUUUUUAGCUACGAUUCAAGCACCCCCCAGAAUAGAAUGGAGAACGGCGUUGCUGCAUCGACCCAGCCCGAUCUGAGGCUGAAGUGGGACGUGUUCCUGAGCUUCCGAGGCGCGGACACUCGCAGAACCUUCAUCGGCCCUCUCUACGACGCGCUCUGGAGCAAAGAAGUCCGGGCCUUCCGCGACAACGAGGGCAUGAACCGGGGUGACCAGAUCUCGCCGAGCCUACUGGCGGCGAUCGAGGACUCCGCCAUGGCGAUCGUAGUGAUAUCGCCGAGGUACGCGGACUCGCACUGGUGCUUGGACGAGCUGGCGAAGAUAUGCGAGUGCCGGAAGCUGAUACUGCCGGUGUUUUACGGGGUCGAGCCCUCGGAUGUGAGGCAUCAGAGAGGGCCGUUCGAGGGCUCGUUCGGGAGUCAUGUAAAGCGGUUCGGAGAUGCGAGGGUUUCGGCUUGGAGAGCUGCCAUGGAACAAGCUGGUGGAGUCUCUGGUUGGAUCUCCAGCGACCAAGACGAUCAGAGGUAAAGGAUUCUCGAGCCUUUCAAAAUUAUCCCAAUUAAAUAAUUGACACAUCAAUAGGAAUAAUUUUAGUUACUACCAUACAUUCAUAUCUUUUUUCCUCUUUUAUCUACCGUUUUGGUAAAGUUAAAUCAAAUGGUUGAGGUAAUUGAAUCUAAAUCGUCAUUAUGGGUUGCUAAAGCGGCAACAAUUAAUUAAAAAUAGGAUAAGCUUGCAUGUUUAAUUUCUCUUUAAAUCUUAACAAUGAAAUAAUCCAUAUGUUGCGAACAGAAUGUGGUUCUUGAACACAAUAGUAAUUUAGUGGGCUCUUGUGGCUACUGUUCAAUGGCAGGGGAAAUUGUCUAAUUAGUUUUAAACUUAUUGUAUGAAUAUUAAUUUAGUUCUAAAGUUUCUUAUUUUGCCAAUUUAGAUUUAAACCUUUACACGAAAUUUCAAUAUAGUACUUCUAGCCAAUUUUUACGAAAAAUCGAUGACAUGACACACCGCCACGUAGGAUGCUUGGAGAAGACUAAAUAGCUAUGUUAGCAAUUUCCGGCGAAAAUGUUUGGAAGGAUUACAUUGGAGUUUCGUGCAAAAAUUCAGGACAAGAUUGACAAAAUUAAAAAUUUAUGUCUGACUUGGUAUCUAGAUAAGUUUAGGAUUGAUUGGCGUAAUUUUCCCUUCAAUGGUAUGGUGACGACACAAGGUACCUUGUCGGUGCACCUAGUCCCAAUACUAUAAGAUUAGGGGGUAAUAUAGACCGAUCUCUUUGAAGGUAUUCUACAUUCUCUAAGUGGUUGGUUGUUGUGAAUUAAACCUUUCAUGCGAAACUAACUUUUUUCCAAUUUAACGUUUCUAAUAGAAAUCCUAGUACAAAUCCUAUAGAUCAGAGUAAUGUCGGUAAUUUUUGGUUUGGCUAUAGAGAGGGUACAGUUGGGGGCUAGCCUUAUAAGUAAAAUUUGAAAGCUCAUAUAAGCACAGCUAGCUCAGCCUUAUUCUCGAACUCCACAAUUUGCUUUCUUAUUUCGGAAAAAGAAUGCAAAUGCUGCAGUUGAGAACUUAAACUCAACUUCUAAGCAGGGGAAAGUUUUGUUCCGACUGUGAAACUUGCUAUAACAAAUGCUUUACAUCUUUUGUUAUAUUAAAAUUAAUAUACUAAAUUAAUUUAUUUAGUGAAAUCGCCACCUAUAUAUGGAUAUUGAAGUUCAGAGAUCCAUUUAAGCCCCAAUGAAAUCUGCCAUAUCGCUUUGCGAGCCAUUUAAUAUGUCACUUUUAAUGUUUCUAUCGUAAAAUAUAUCCCUGAUUUUCUCCAUGUUAGGACACCAUUUUCAAUAUGUCCGUUGCCUAAGCUUCCUUGUCCGAGUAUUAUAUAUCUAGGAAGCCAACUUAAGUGAGUAAAUCUUGAGUUUACAAAGUAAUAUCACUAAUCUCAUGGAUCAAGUAAGAGCGAGUCUAAAUCUUAGGUAAAGGAUGGAAUUAUUUUUACUUACAGACGUACUCAUUACAGAAUCAAACUUGUGAUGUGGGUCUAAUUCACUCAAACUAAUUAGAUACUUAAUCACUAAACCAUCCUUAUGGGUUAACUAAAAAAUGUUAGGGUUGUCUUAGUGUUUUUUUCCUUUUUGUCAGCAUAGUUAACUUAGGACGUAUUCGGAUGGACUCUCACUUCUUAUUUUUGCGCUCAGGCACUUUGUUAUUUUAAUAUUCAAAACACCUUUCACAAUAGACAGAAUGUACAUUCGCGUAUAAGUUUUUGAAAUUUGAAUAAGAUUUUUAAUUCUAGCGGAGAAGGGAAAAAAGUAUAUAUAUAUAUAUUUUGCUAGGCCUGAUAGGUGUUUUCUCUCCUGUGAAAUAAAAAAAUCGUAGUAGAUGAACUGUAUAUUUCUUGUUUUUUUCCUAUGAAAACGCAUAAUUGUAAAGCCAAUAUUGGUAGAGAAAAUACAUCAUCAAUUGAGAGUGUGGUGCAAGACUGGGUGACCAUUAAAGGUUGAAUGAGUGACUUGAGUAACUUAGAGUUAAUUUUGUAGGCAAAUUCUUUCACACGUUAGUAAUUAAACAAUAAUUGUGUGAAUUAAUUCCUAUCCGACCAAAAAAGAAAUCCAAAUUUAAAGUGACGUUUACCCUUGGAGAGCUAAUGAGCUAUAUAGUUCUCUCAACCGGAAGAGGGUUGUGAUCCCGCGCACAGAUCCCCCCUACCGUCCUUUUGGCCAACGUGUAUCUAGCUUUCAGACGCAAUUACAAAGCUGGCCAUCUCAACCUCCAACGAUACCCUUGCUAGCCAUGGAUGGAGGACCUUUGCCGCCACCCCAGUCGCCAUUGCCUCUGCCGUCAACCGCCACAGCCGCCUCAGCUUUCCACCACCUCCUCACAAAUCUCCACCACCAACAUCUCUACUCUCAGUCAACACCGUGUCCUCUACUUUCGGCUCGUGCAGCUGCAAUUCGUCCUUGCUCUUGUUGAGCAAGAGGUCUAAGUUCGAGUGAGCCCUAGAUCUCUGGUUGAGCACCUCCGAGCCAGACAUAAGGCUUGUGCUUGAUCUUGGACCAAGCUUGUCGCCGUUACCAUCUCCUUCUCCUUGAUGGGCAAAGUGAUGCGAUGGAAGGUCAAAGGGCUGGUGUGUAAUCCAGGUGAGUACCAAGGGGUAGAGAGAGGCUUGCUGGUAAUUCAGCAAGAGAAAAGGGUGAGGGAGGAAGGGAGCGUAGGCAGCGGUGUGCGACAAUGUGCUAGGCGGUGGCGUGCGGUGGAAGGGUGGUCCUAAUUGUCCAGGCAUUUAAAGUACAUAUUGAAGAGGGGCUUGAGGUCUCGAGGAGAAACUAGGUUGGGUAUUUGGAGGGAUAUAUGGCACAAAUCCUACGGCAAUGACCAAACUCGGGCAAAGCUGGAAGGCCUGGCCACGCGGUUGUUGAGGUCGUGCGAGAGUCGUGCGAUCCAUGGCAACCAGCCACCGAGGUCAUGCGGCCCUGGGUGAGGUGAUGCCAAGUUUGGGUGACCUUAGGCGGCCCUAACUUGAGCUUGCUAGCAUCAUGUGAACUCGAGUGAAGGCUACCGAGGCCGUGUGACCCCAGGCCACCACUGCCGAGGUUGAGCAGCCCUAGGCGAGAUGAUGCUGAGGUCGUGCGACCUCAUACAAGUCACAUUUGACGAGGUUGACAAUCCUUGAGUCUUGAACUCAACUUCGUUCAACUAGGGCUUGAGAUUGAGCAUGAGCGUCGUGUGACCCUUGGCUGGUGUUGUGCAAGCCUUGGCAACCCUCAAUUCUCUGGAUCUUGUUAUGACCGUCUAGAUCUAAGCUUGAUCGAUCCAUGACUGUCGAUUGUGGACUGUUUGGCAACCAUCUCUUGGUUCAUGUGCUCUAGGAUGAUGAUAUGUUGAAUUAGUAUUCUCCCCUUCUGCAUUGGAUAAUCAACCCAAAACUAGAGAUGUGCCGGAAAAUGCUAUGGCUUUGAUAUCAUAAAACUAGACUGCGAUAUGAACCACAGAAAACCAAAACAGAAUUUGUGAUAAGUAUGCUAUCUCAUAUGUACAGCUCUUCCAGCUUCAAAAUAGGGUCUGCUUGUUAAUCACCAAAUUUCUUUUCAUUUGAUGACUCAUAUCAUAAUUUUUUUUAUAAUUGAAAUUGCCAUGGCUCUAAUACCAUAAAAUUGGCUUAUGAUGUGAACUGGGGAAAAUGAAAAAUAUAAUUUCCGGUAGGUAUGCUAUCCCACACGCACCGCUUUUCUGGUCUUAGAAUAGUGAUUGUCUUUACAUUGCCAAAUUCAUUUUCAUUUUUUUAUUCAUGUUAUAGAAAAAUUAAUGAUAGUAAAAUUUUAAUGUACAGGUUCCACAUUGUGGCAAGUACAAAGGAUAUUAUCGAGAUUAACUAGAAUAUUAUAGUUUAAAAAAAUCAUACUAGGCAAAAAGAAAGGAAAGAGUUUUAAAUAUUCAUAAAGCAAACUACAUAAUAUUAGCUUUUAGGGAGGGUGCGUUCUGCCUCUUAGCAUUAAGCAUUGCCUUAUAUAUGUACAAGACGAAUACCGAACACUUAAUUAUUGGCAAUAGUAUUGGAGAUCACCAAUAAUUUCUACAAACUCCUUAUGGUCGACAAUGGCCAAUAAUUUGUACAUGUUGACUCUUACACUGAUAGACUAAUUUUAUAUGACUUUCGUGUUUGAUAGACUCUUGUUACACAAUUUUUGGUUUUGCUACAUUAUUGCCACAGUGAUGAACAAUAUUGUUACAAUGCUAUAAACAGUACAUGGACAGUGUUUUUGCUGCAGUAACUCAAACUAAAUUUUCUGCAUUUGCCAGCACCUUCACGUCGUAUUUAUGAAUUAAUUUUUCAGUGUUAUCGCCCGAGCUGUUUGAGCCACCUCCAUUUUUCUGUCUUCUUUAUUAUUUGACAAGUCUUUUAACUUUUAGGGCUUCCAGCUAGUCAUAUUUUGUGGACUUUAGGGGUUGAUGAGAACUUGAUGGGCUAUUAUGGACUUACUGAAAGUACUUGUCUUAGGUCUAUCUUCAUACUAUUGCCCACAUCCUUUGAGAAGCUUCUCCACUUUUUCAAUUUAUAAGGCAACUUCCACUUUUAAUUCAAACAACUUUUGUCUUUUCGAAGACUGAUGAGGACUUGUCGGAACAUUAGUAGAGCUUGAUAGAAUGCCAGGUUGGGGUUGAUACUUGAGCUGUAGUGAUGGGCUUUCUUUAUUGAGGCCUAAAUUGAGUGUAAGAUGUAAUUCACUAUAGUCAAAAGGAUCUUUGGACAAUGGUCCUCCCCAUGGAUCUUGUGAUGAUGAAGCUUGAUCUUGUGAAGAUAUUAAUAACACAAUAUUGUCAAUUCCAUGGUGUCUUCCUAAGUAAAUAUCGAUUGCAUUUUGGGUUGCGUGGUAAUUAUCGCAAUGAUCCCAAGAAAUAUCAUCAGCUUUUGUUGGCUAUGCCUUUGGUGGAAUGACUCGAUUGUAUUGGCAUAGUAUCCUUUGCAGUUCUCAAUAUUGUCAAAGGUAAGCUGAGAUUUUACAAGGAAGAGUUAUAAAAAUCUCAUUUGAAAUGGGUUGGGGUUUAUAUGAGAAUACUCCAACAUCACACGUAUCUCCACUAGGUUUGACAAAUAGCCAUGGCAUGAAGAACAAAACAACUAUAUGGAGUUUUAGGUCAAGUCUGCUUGCUCUGAGUUGUGUCUAGAAAUUCUCCUUUCUCCGAAUGGUUUACACUAACUAAACAUUUGCCCAAAAUAUUUAUGUUUGCCUUCUUCUUGGAUAAUCCUGCUAACGAUAAAAGGCAUGAUGGUUGUCAAAAUCUUGAUGGCAGUGGUAUAGAUAUUAAACAAAUACCAAUAAAACUUUUGAGUUUUUAUGGGAAUUUCUCAUUUGGGAAAAAAGACGGGAUGAAUGAAUGGAUACUUCAGGUGCAGUCUACUUGGGGGAAGGAUAAGACCACCAUAAUCACUAAAAUUUUAGAAAUGGCAUUGCCACAUGAGUAUGUCAAGAUUUUCAAAGAGAAUGUUGGCUUCAAUGGGUAGGGCUUCAUUUCUCUUGUCUUGAAACUUCCUUUUGGAUUUCUUACCAAAUACAUAUUGAUGGAUGUGGUAGUGAAAUUCUUUUGGUCGGGACAGAAGAUAAGCAAGUAUAUUAUUUUUUCCUACAAUAUAUUUGGUUUCAAAUGAAUACUUUGAGAACUAUUUGACCUAUCUAAGAAGCUAAGAAUGUGGUAUCCAUUUCUACUUGAAUUUCAGCAUUUGAGAAAAAGAGGACAUAUCAAUUUCUGCAAGGAAAUGAUGUCCUAUAAGAUGGAACUCCAACUUCUCAAUGUCAUAUUUUAUUGCUAGGAUCUCGUUAAAUGUACAGUGGUAAUGCAUUUUCGCUUGUGUGAAUCUUCCACUUUUGUGUCCACAUGCUUUACGCUUUCCAUCAAUUUAUUCAAAAAAGACUACAACCCAACAUUCAUCAAGAAGGAAUUUGCAUUGGGGGAAUUUGUUGUAGAAUGUCUCUGAGUUUACUUAUAGACCUAGUUUGCUCUGGCCCCCGGAGGAACAUCUUUUUUGAGCAUUUGUUGUAGUGGACUCAAGAAUUUUUAUGAUUUUUGGAACAAAAUCCCUGAGAUAAUUAAUUAUCUCAAGGAAUUGUUGAGCCUGUUUGUGGGACAGAUAAUAAUCAAGAAACUUUUUUAAUUCUUCAGCAAUAAGUCCUAUCCUUGAGGUGCAUCCCAAGAAAUUUAAUUUCUUUAUUUGCGUUGAUAAUCUUUUUCUGGGAUAACAUAAUCUCAUGCUUUCAAAUUAGCUUUGCAAAUUGAGCUAGUAAUUUGCAACUAGAAUCCUCAUAUGGACUAUAGAAGAGUAUAUCAUCGAUAUAAUUUGGGCUUGGAGUAAAGGUUGGAAAAUCUUGCAUGUACGAAUAAGCUAUUUUGAGACCUAAAGGGAGCAUCAUCCACUAGAAAUGUUGAUUUUGAAUACAAAAUUCAGGUUUGCCCAUGUCUUUAGGAUGAAUUCCUAGUUGCCAAAAUCUAUCUUUAAGAUCAGGCUUGGAGUAAACUUUGGCUUAAGUAAGGCUAGAAAACAAUUGAUUGAGAAGCUAAUAAUUAAUGACUGGUCUUAUUUUUCCUCCAUUCUACUCAGCACGUUUAUUUACAUAAAAUGCUUCACAAGCCGAUUGAGAAUUUGAGAGCUCAAUUAAUGUCCGAACAUUCAUUUUGCUCUAAAAGCAAGUGUUUUGGAUUCAUGCCUAAUUGAUUGGCUUUGGUGGGAUUGACAUCAUUGUUCUUGUUGAAAGGAAGAUAGAUGAAAAAGUCAGGGUUUUCCCAUAAAGGAUUAGGACAUUUUUGGACAAUAUGCAAAUGAGAUUCUGCACAUGCAUCCAAAAUGAUUUGCAUGAUGGGGUCUAACAUGCUCAUAUGAAUGACAAAGAAUCUUUAGAUGUCCACAAAUUCGGUAAAUUGUCCUUUGAACCUUAGUUCAUUGGACAUAAUCCUAAGUUGAGGAAUUCAUGUGAGGAUAUCCCAAUUGAUGAUGAUAUUUUUAUCAAGGUGAGCUAAAACGAAGGAUUUUGGUGGUGUGGGACACUGUUGUAAUGCUGUUCAUGGCAUUGUAGCAAUACUGUAGCAUCAUUAUAGCAUACUGAGUACUGAAGCAGAAGUGAAAAUUGUGUAAUAAAGGUUCAUCAAAUGUGAAAGUCAUGUAAAAUUAAUUUGUAGUGUAAGAGUCAGCACGGACAAAUUAUUGGCCAUUGUUGGCCAUAAGGUAUUUGCAGAAAUUAUUGGUGAUCUUCAGAACUAUCACUGAUAAUCAGGUAUUCGAUGUAUGUCUUAUGCCUAUAUAAGGCAGUACUUGUAAUAAUAAGGUGCUGAAAACACCUUCCUUAAUAUAUAUAUUUUGUAUGGUUAGCUAUGAAUCUUUAAAUCAUUAUCCUAUCUUCCAUUCUAUCUGGCAUGAUUCUUUAAAGGAGGAGAGAGAUGAACAAGGCUAAUUUCAAGGGUAAAGAGGAAUAAGAAAAAAUGGUGAGAGCAAAAUUAGAUUAAAGAGUUCCAAUAAUGAUGGGCUCCAACAUUCUGAAAAUGGUUAAUGCCCAAUGCAGUUAAGUAGUGACUUUGAGGCAAAGGCCUUCAGAAAAUUUUAGACAUACGAUGCAUUUGCCAAAAAGUCUUUAGAGGCUUAGAAGGGAAUUUGUUCCCAAAUGCACCGUAAAUGGUAUUGGAAGUGGGGACAAUACCCUCACUUCCCUCUUCACUUAGAAAAAUUUAAUCACAAAUAAAAAUUAGGGUUUAAUACCCUUAAAUACUCUAAACUUUGCCUAUGUGAUACUAAUAGUUCAAAUAUUUCUAAUGUCAUCAAAUACCCUGAAUUAUGACUAUUGUGACGCCUAUACCUCAAGCUUACCCGGACUUUUGUCACAUUACUGCAAGUUUGGGUAUCAAUGUUACCAUGGGCAAAUUUUAGGAUUUUUGGUUGUAGACAAAUGGCAUUUUUGUCAUACCAUUAUAAGUUUUGGAUUUUGGUGACCAAAAAAGAAAUGCGAGAUAGUGAUGUUAUAUUCGGCAUAAUUCAGGAUUUUCGGUAGUGUUGUCUCUAAAAUUAAUGAAGAAAAUAACGAAGCUUCAACAUAUAGUAUUACCUAAAGAUUAGAGAUUUUCUUUGAUUAUGAAGACAAAUUAAAGUGGUGAAUCAAUGAAAAAAAAAGUUGGUAAAAAUGCAUAAAACAAAAUAGACAUUGGUUAGGAAUUUAAAUGGGAAUCGAUGACUUAUAAAAUUAGUUGGUGAUUUAACUAGCAAAAAAAAAAAAAAAAUUACUCGGCAAGUCUAAGGUGUUGGUUAGCAAAAUAACUAUAAGUUUGUGAAAAAUAAGAGAAGUCAUUUCCUUUAUAGAUAAAAGUCCAUAAUCAAACGUUGGUAACUAAUUUUAAUUAGAGUUGGUAAGGUUGACUAGUUAGUAAUGUAAUCAGAUCCAAGAAGGUAAUCAGUCUAAUUAAGAUAGGUAAUUUAUAAAUAGAGUUGGAAAAUAUGACUAGUUGUUAAGUAAAGCAAAUAAAAUUAUGUAUCUCAAUAAAAAAGUUAGUAAUUUUUGCAAAACAACCAAAUGAUUAUUGUUAAGAAACUUAAUGAGAGUUGGUAAAUAAAACUGGUUGGUAACCUAUUGGUAAGCACUCACAAAUAGAUUUUGAUAAACUCAUAAAAGUUGAUAGAUUUAAGCUGAUAAGAAAAACAAAUAAAUGUCGGUAAUACUCACAAAAGUUUUUUUUUUUGGUCUGAACUCACAAAAGUUGAUAAAUUGAAAAAAAAAAAAAAAGAACAUUCAUAAGUAACUCAAAUAAAAAUGGUCAACCCAAAACUAGUUGGUAAUUGAAUUGGGAAAGAGUUGGUAAGUUAAAUAUAGAUAAAAUCAUUAGAGAAUUGCUAAAUCAAAUAUGUCUAUCAAAGAUAAGAAGAGUUGGUAAAUUGCAAACUAUUGAAAAGAAAAAUUCAUAGAAAUGUCGAUAAGUUUCCUCUAAGCCGCAACAAAAUUAAAUGACCGAUAGUGUUUUUCAGACCGACCAACUCUACUAGAAAUGAUGCAGAGAAGAAGUCUAUCGGUUCUAUUUUGUCUUACGGGACGGUAAUAUGGUUUUUUAUUUUACCUAUUUUCCAGGGAAACAGAUGUACGACUACGUAGAUGCGCAUUGCAUACUUGAUUUAUAAUUCCUUCCGGCCGCUCAUCCACUCCAUCCUCACUCGCAAUGUAUUCUUGACUUCAAUCUCUAAUUGCAGAGAUAUGUUGCUGCUGAUUCAACAGAUCGUCCGCAGAAUUACGGAUGAACUGAAAAACGUUCCGCUCUAUGUGGCUCCUUUCCUCGUCGGACUGGACUCUCGCAUCGAGCAACUCCUCGGUGUGUUAAGCGUCAAAUCCAGCGGAGUCAAGUUUCUUGGAUUGCACGGGGUUGGCGGUGUCGGCAAAACCACCCUUGCGAAAGCGCUCUACAACAAGCUCGUCGUGCACUUUGAGAAACGCUGUUUAGUUGCGGACAUCAGAGAAGCUUUCAUGCAAAGCGGUGGCUUGAUCUCUCUCCAGGACAAGAUCCUUAGCGUUCUCUCGCCUCACUUGCCUCCUUUGGAUGACUUUGGUUCUCGCAAGAAUGCGAUUAAGCAAGCCCUUAGUACAGUGCGAGUCCUGCUCCUCUUGGAUGACAUCGAUGAUGCCAGUCAGCUCGACAUGUUGAUCGGCAGAAGAGAAUGGUUCCACGAGGGAAGUCGAAUCAUCAUCACAACCAGAAAUAAAGAGGCUUUGUCCGCAAGAAACUAUGUGAUCGAGCAUUACGAAGUGCCAGAGUUGUUCUUUGAUGAUGCGUUGCGUCUGUUCAGCUACCGUGCGUUUUCAAAGGAGAAGCCGACAGAUGAGUUCCUAGAACUGUCCAAGCAAAUCGUGUCUCUGGCUGGGAAUUUGCCAUUGGCCUUGGAGGUGUUCGGCUCUUUUCUGGUCGAUAAGAGGAGGAAAAGCGAAUGGGAAGGCACGUUGCAGAAGCUGAAAGAGAUUCGCCCUGAUAAUCUCCAGGACAAGUUGAAGAUCAGCUAUGAUGGGCUCGAUGAUGCGACCAAGCCCAUAUUCCUCGAUGCGGCUUGCUUAUUUGUUAAGACGCAUAUGACGAGAGAGGAAGCAAUAGAAAUAUGGAAAGGCUGCGGCUUCCAGGCUGAGAUUGGGCUCCGAGUUCUUGUCUCGAGAUCCCUUAUUAAGAUCAUGAAGGACGACCAUACACUAUGGAUGCACGAUCAACUUAGGGACAUGGGGAGACAGAUCGUGAGGCACCAGAAUGCCCAUGAUCCUGGCACACGCAGUCGACUGUGGGAUCGCAAUGAAAUCAUGGCUGUCUUCAAGAAUGGAACAGUAUGGAAAUUUUGUAUCAUCACAGCUUUCGCUUUCUCUGUCGUUAACACCAUUGUGCACACAUCCCAUGUCGUUGUUCUUGAUUGUUACUAACAGACAUGAAUAUGAGAAGGGAAAAAAAAUCAUUGGUCAGACUGCAGACUAUUCCAGUUGGUAGAUUUAUCUUUCAUUCUAUUGAAUAAUCUUACACUUUUGUCAUCGCAGGGGACGAGGAAUAUAGAGGGGAUUGUCCUGGACUACCCACAUAAGCCGUUUGUGAUGGACCCAAGCAGCGAGAGGCUGUCGCGACGCAAUUUCAUUAGAACGCCCAACCUCACUUCCGCCAUUCAAUGUCUACAAGAGAUGUUUAGGGCAUUUUUUGAUUUUGGAGCAGAGAGAGAGAACGAGGCUGUGCUUUGUACCGAGUAUUUUAAACCGAUAAUUAACCUGAGACUACUUCAGAUUAAUCAUGCCAAAUUGGAAGGGAAAUUCAAGUUCCUGCCUCAGUCACUGAAAUGGCUGCAAUGGAAAGAAUGUCCCUUGACCGUUCUUCCUUCUGAUUUUUGUCCACGAGACUUGGCAGUCCUUGAUCUCACCUACAGCAAGAUUGAACGUUUGUGGAAAACGAACAGUAAUAAGGUGCGUCGCGGUCUUUGUCACUAUAGCUAUAUUUUGUCAGUAUACUGUUUCAUAUUCAAAUGUUGUUUAUGCUAAUUUUUCUGAGCAUUGUACUAAGAUGUUUCAGUUCGCCUUGUUGUCUCUUGCUUGCCCAUGGAUUCAGCAGCAAUUCGAAAGGUUGACCUAUUCAGGAAUCUCCGGAUCUACGCUAAUUUUCAAUUCCCCGAAGCAUUUUAUCCAUACCAAAUCCAAAAUUGGAUUCCUGAUCCAACCCCUUUACUUUUCUUUUUUAUUUGAAUUUAUCCUUCUUUUUCAUUCUUCAUUCUCUUUUUUUCUAUAAACUACCGCCUUCCUUCUACUACCGUUCAUGUGCUUCUUUAUCAUUUGUUUAUGCCUAUAUGUUUCUGCUACCUUUCAUAUGCUUCAGCAACUACUUAUGAUGGGUUAAAAUUUCAUGUCCACCAGGCUGGGGAGAACUUAUUGAUUAUAAAUCUUCGUGGCUGCUCUAAUCUUGCUAGUAUUCCAGAUUUAUCAGCAAGUCGAAGCUUGAAAAAACUUGUUCUCGAGCGGUGCACAAGGUUGACCCAAGUUCCUGAGUCAAUCGGGAGUUUGAAUGCUUUGGUCCACCUAAACCUUGAAUGGUGUACAGAGCUUGCUGGACUCCCAAAAGACGUAUCCGGGCUCAAGAAUCUGGAAGAACUCAUUCUGUCCAGUUGUGUAAAUUUGAAAGAACUACCAGAGGAUAUAGAUAGCAUGAAAUCUUUGAAGUUACUUCUCCUCGAUGGAACUCCUAUAAAAAGGUUGCCCGAAAAGAUAUUCCACCUCACGCAACUUGAAAAGCUUAAUCUAAAUCGGUGCACUUCAUUGAAAAAGUUACCCACUCACAUUGGAAAGAUGGCUUCUCUCAGAGAACUCACUCUUAAUGAUACCGGAAUAGAGGAGAUACCUGAUUCGGUGCGGUCAUUGCAGAAUCUUGAGUUGUUGAGCCUUAUGAGGUGCGUCUCGCUGACUGAGCUUCCUGAAUUUGUUGGCGACUUAAAAUUGUUGAAGGAAUUAUCCAUUGAUGGAAGCGAAAUCAGAGAACUGCCUGCUUCCAUCUGUUCUUUGCGGUACCUAAAGACCCUUUCAAUUGGAGAUUGUCGGUUUUCAAGCCAUUGUCCUGACUCAAUUAAAGGAUUGCAUUCGCUUACAGAGCUUAGUCUAGGUGGACCAUCAAUCACGAGUCUACCGCCUCAACUUGGAGCUCUGAAGAUGCUUAGAAGGUUGGAAAUCCGGAACUGUGAAUCACUUGAAAGCUUACCAGAAUCGAUCGGAAACUUGGCGGAUCUCACUACCAUGAUCCUUUACAAUGUGAACAUUACAGAGCUUCCACAGUCAAUCGGAGAAUUGGAGAGCAUCGUCAUCAUGAGGCUUAACGAAUGCAAACGUCUCUGCAAGCUUCCGCCAUCCAUGGGCAAUUUGAGAUCAUUGUACCACCUGAUUAUGGAGGGUACCGCGGUAACAGAAUUACCAGAAACCUUCGGGAUGCUCUCAAAAUUAGUAACAUUGAGAGUGGGCAAAAAACCGCAUCCUGUGGUUAUUCCUCAGGGCAACACAGAAACAGAGAAUCAAGAUUUGAUUACAGAGGAAAUUGCUGGAUCGAUUCUUCCAUCUUCAUUAUCGAAUCUCUCUUGGCUACAAGAACUGAAUGCCCGUGCUUGGUACAUGCAAGGAAAAGUUCCUGAUGAUUUUGAGAAGUUAGUAUCGCUAGAAACUCUAAAUCUAGGAUACAAUAACUUUACGAGCCUUCCCACAAGCCUCAAGGGACUUUCCGUCCUUCAGAAACUUCUGCUGCCGCACUGCAAGGAGCUCAAGUCUCUUCCGCCCCUUCCAUCGAGUUUGGUAGAGGUUAAUAUUGCUGGCUGCGUGGCAAUAGAGACAAUCUCUGACCUGUCUGAAUUGGAGAACUUGCAGGAGCUGAACAUGGCAAAUUGUGAGAAAGUGGUGGAUGUCCCAGGACUUCAGCGCUUGAAAUCCUUGAGAAGGCUAUAUAUGAUUGGAUGCCGAGUGUGUUCCUCAGUAGUCAAGACGAGAAUUUCGAAGGUUCUCUCUCUCUCUCUCUCUCUCUCUCUCUCUCUCUCAAAAGAUGCAUCUACACUGAUCAAGUCCAAAAACUCUGGAAGAGGAGAAUUUUAUGCAUCAACGGACAUGUUUAUAUAGCAGUCGCUAUGGUUUGACAUUUUGCAGGUUUCUUUGAGGAAUUUACGCUUUCUCAGUAUGCCGGGGAGUGAAAUUCCAGAUUGGCUAAACGAAGAGGAAGUGAGCUACACGGCAUGCAGAAACUGCAAGCUCAAGGCUGUUCUCAUAGGCGUAGUUGUUUCCAUCACCAGUGACUUCCCAGAAUCUUUGAGAGAUCAUAUUCCCACACUCGUGGAUUUCGAGGCAAAGAUACUCAAAAUGAACACGUCUAUCUUCGGCACCGCAUUGCCCUUGAAGGGGAUACCGAAAUUAGAUGAAGAUCAGGUUCAUUUGUGCCGGUUCUUGGAUUUUCACCCGCUGGUUUCCAAGUUGAAAGAAGGGUACAAAGUUCAGGUGGCAAAGCGGAACCCACCAUUCAUUCCCGGAAUGCAGCUGAAGAAAUGCGGGGUACGUCUGAUUUUUGAGAGAGACGAUGAAUUUGAUGGAGAUGAACAGCAACUGGAUGAUGGCUAUCAGUCUUUAUCUGAAAAGCUUGCCCGGUUUUUCAACAGUCUGCAGUAGCCAGUUCACUAUUGUUUAGUUAGAUAUAUAUUUAGAUUAGAUAUCCAGAAGAUUAUGAAUAAUCUAUAUGUGUGUGUGUGUGUGUGUGUAUCUAAAAUGUUUAAAGUUAGCCUCUGGAAAACGGAAACGGAAGACGGUGCCAAAGAUUGAAGAGAAGGGAACGAGCUUGCUCCUGUCAAUUGAAAUUUCACUUCUGGAAAUGUAAUCUGAAAAUACCAGGAGCAUCGCUGUCUCCUGUUCUUUCAUUCUGAAGGCUUUUCAAUUUACCCUGAGAUGCUCCAUUUUAAUGUCCACUUUGCUUCAAUUGCAAAGUUUGAGCAGUUCUGAGGUAGCUGUAUUACUCAUUGAUGUGUCCCCUUAAUACAAGCUCAGAGAAAGAACCCGGGGAAAGAAAAAUUCAAAACUUGGGCGUAGUUUCUUGAUCAAACAUGUGAUGAGAAGAAAAUGAACUAAAUAUUGAAUGAGGUUUCAUGAUUGACCAUAUUUGGUGAAUGAAGUUAAGGGUAAGCAUGAUAAUUAUUUCUCUGUCUUUUAAUUUUUCUAUUCGUGGCAAACAGAUUUGAAACAACAAUCCGUUUGAUAUGAUAAUCUCAUUUUUCUAUUUCUAAGAUAAAUUUUAGCUCAUAUAUAAAUUUGGAACAAAAAUGAGAAGUAAAAAUAUUCUACUUCUCUAUUUUCGGAAUAUAAAUUAAAGUUUUUUUUUGUCACUCACUCUCGUCACUUGUUGACCGGCUGCCCUCCCGCUGUUGUUGCUUUUCGUUGCUAGCCAUCCGUUGUGGUUGGCUGCCCUCCCACCGUCCCUAGCCGUUGUUAGCUUUCAAUUCAGUUGAUUAAUGAUGUUUUAUCUUAGGAGAGGGUCGAGUAGUACAACGGAUGGAAAAAGAGUUUGGGAAAGAGAUAUUUAAGAAGCCUAUUAAAUGAAUUUUUUUUUCGAGGACAGAAAUUUAAUGUAAUCAAAUGCAUAUCUCUACUAAGAAUUUCCUCCGGUAAAUAGAACUAGAACUAGAAAUUAUUCCUCAGAAACGAAACCAUUAUAAUUCACGCCUAAUCUUCCCUUGUCCACUUAUUUAGUAGUGGAUAAUCCAUUCAACUUCCUGUCCCAUGGCAUCCUCCGUGUCGCUGCUCAAAACGGAUGCGGUCAACCCCAUCACCGCCUUACCUCCAUGGCAGCACGAGCCGCAAUUUCGUCAGCACGCAUAAGCAACCCGACAAGCAUCGCUCCCCUGCUGCGCUCCCCGCUCGCGCCCCCUUCGGCUCUCUCCUUCCCCCGGCGUCCGGCCCGAGGGCCCCGGCUCUGCACGGCUCGCCGCCCCGAGUCCUCCCUCCAUGACCCGGCCGGCGAGCCGGCGGAGGACCUGGACGACGACGACGGGUUCUUCGGAGGCGACGGCGGGCCGAUGACGGAGGACGAGAGCGACGGCGAAGAGGACGCGGAGAGCAGCGUCGAUUUGCUCCUCAGGUUCUUUCAGAGCAUGUUCAGGAAGGUGGCCCGGCGAGCCAAGAAGGGCUCUCGCUCCGUUCUGCCCGACGCGAUACCGCCGCAGCUGGUGAAUUCUCUUUCUCAAUCUGCUUUGGCUUUCGGUGCUUAUGCAGGGUCGGGAGGAGGCGAAACUGAGAAUUGUUCAUGUCCUGUUUGAUCUAAUUCCUCUUAAAAGAGCAUUUCGCGGCCUGUGUGGUCUAGGCUCGUCGUUAAUUUUUUAGCUUAAGCCCAGUACCGUAGAAUGUCUUCGUACGCGUUUAUUUUACUAGUCAAGUCGUGAUGGUAAUGUCGAAUAGAGAAAAUGUUGAAUUUUGUUAAUCCUAUGUCGCGAGUCUAACCGAAGUUGCGGCGUAAGUAACUAUUAUCCGCUCAUCAUGACAUUGCCUUGCCCUUGAAUAAGAAGUUUGUCCUUUGGAUUGUAACGUGCAAGAUUGUAAACCCUUAAAUGUUAGUUUACACUAUACCGGAACUGUAAACAUCAAAAUUUUCAUCCUAAUCAACCUGACUUCAUCAAGAGAUUUAGGCACCUGAGAAAUCAACUCGCUGGCCUUAUCAUGCCGUGAAAUAAUAAUGGAAACUGCAUGAUUUGAUUGGCGUAAAGAAAUUAUUUAUGAAAUGGUUGAAUCGGGGAAUUCAGGUAACUACAGUAGCUUCAGUGGUGAAAUAAGCAGUCUGCAGAUUAACUGAAAAGAAUCAGAUAGGAGACAGUUUUUCUUUGUUCCACUGUUUGAAAAAGGGCCUGUCCUUGGAGCAAGUUACCGAUGAUCUGCUUCAAAUUGUUUUCCCCCAUAUAUUAUCUUCAGCAUCGUUUAUUUGAUCAAGCUGAUGGCUUUCAUCCAUUUAGUAACUGAAGUGGUGUACUCAUGUUACUAUUACUGUUUGAACAGCAUGCAGCUUGUGCUUACCCUUUUUUGACUGUCACUGACGGUAGUUCUCGAAUGCUUCCCUGGAUGGAAACUGCAGGUUUCCUUUGCGGUUGAUGGGAUUCUACUACUAGCGUCACUUUCCAUUUUGAAGGCACUUCUUGAGGUACUUCAGGAACUUUUUAUCAACAAAUAUGAAUGACUUUGUGGAUUCAAGAGGUUCACCUCAAGUCUGGUGACUGUAUGUCACUAAAAAUGUAUUAAGACUGAUGACUGUCUAUAUUAUGUAUGUCAUCCACUCCACAUUUCUUCCAUUUGUGCCCUUAUACGAGCAUUAAUCUCCAAUGGCAUUUCUAGAGCGAUAGGCUCUUUGUUUGUUGAAAAGUUAGAUAAUGAGGAAAAAUGUGGAGGGCAUUUUCAGAGUAAGAGUUGAUCAUUGAGUAGCUGCAACUUCAUCUCACUGUGCCACAGCAUAGUAAAUGGAAUUGGCUAUAACUAGAUCAACUUUUUAGAAGGAACAGCCUUUGGCUUUGACCCUCGACUGCUGAUGUUAGUGUUGGUGGUGGUUUCAGGUGGCUUGCACUCUUGGUGGCUCUGUAUUUGUGGUGAUCCUCCUCCUGCGGGUGAUCUGGGCGGCUAUCUCAUAUUUCCAAUCUAAUGGGGGUGGCUUGAACCAAGGUGGGAAUACCUUUGGUGGGGCACGACCUAUAUGACAGACAACUUCAUUUUGGGCUGAUGCAUUUCUCUAUGACUACUUCAGAAUUCUCCUUACUUCAACCUUGCUUAUGUCUAUAAGUUGAACCACUAUGUCUGUACUCCGAAAAUUUAGGUUCUCAGUUAGUUAUCUGUCGGCUGUGAAUACGAGUACUGCUAUACUUAUAAUACUUGAGAAUUGUUUAUUAGAGAUUGUACUAAUAUCCAUCAUCCAUUAUAUUGCAAAUACAUCCAGUGUUCCAUUUGUAUUGUUUAAGGUAAAACCAUACCCUAUACCAUUUAACAUAAACCGUCCCCAUGGACAUAGAGUUUACAUUGCUUCCACUGUAAAAUCCACUUCCACAUCCUAUAAUGGAAAUAUACUCAGCAACAUGCAUAAAAAUGACUUGAUGAGGCAAAAUUGUUCAGUUCGUUCAUUUUUGGUUGUGUCCUUGGUUAAAAUUGGUCAUAAUUAAAAAUUAAGAUGAAAAGGCCUAACAGCUUUGAAGCUCAUUUUCUUGAUUUGGAUCAGUCAACUUUUCCCUGAUUUUCGGUUUACGACGACAAUAAUCGAGCCUUUCCCUCUUGUAUUUUACUGUUAUCUCAUAUUAUAAUGUUCUAAUGAAUUUCUGAGUAGCUAUAUGAAUGCAAACGGCCAAUGCAUGACUGCAUGUCAUAGAUUGCUUGAAUGGCUUGGUAAUGUGAGGCUGAGGCAUAAACUUUGAUGAGUGGAGCUAUUAUCCGCAUCUUAGUUGCUGCUUUUCUCACUCUUCCCGGGGAAAUGCAAGUAAAAUGUCCGUGAUUCUGUGCAAGCAUGAGCACAAGUACGGUUUUUGGAAAUCACGAGUUCUUACGAGAUGAAAAUCUUACUUUUAGUAAACCUCUUGAUCUGUUUUCUGCCAUGAUCCAAUUGUAAAUCCUUCCUGUUUCUCAUUAUAGGUUACAACAAAGGAAAACAAAAAGGAAAACGAGUUCAUCGUGUGAUGGACUGAGACAUAUAACUAAUCUACUUAAUGUUGUGACUUCUGAGAAUUAGUGCAAAUUAACAUAAAACCAACUACACACACACACACACACACACACACACACAUAUAGGUGGGACCUCAUUUCAAACACUGAAUAUUCAUUCUCUAUAAUGCUUUACUUGCUGAAAGAAGAAAGAUGGAAAGCAAAUCCUCAACGCUUACAGGGAUUAAGGGGCUUCCCGCACAAUCCUGUGUUCCCAGAGAACGAGCUCCCGGGGAAGUUUGCCAGAGGUUUACCAGCAGGAAUUUGCCCCACCAAAAGAUUAUUCGACAAGUUCAAGUCUCUUAAUUUACUCAACUUCAAAAAUCCUUCUGGUAUGCUGCCAGUGAACCGGUUCCUUUGCAGCUUCAGUACCUCUAGUGAGCUUAAAUUUGCUAAAGCAUCCGGCAGAUUAAAUCCCAAGUUGUUUUUACUCAAAUCCAAGCUUUUUAAGGAUGAACACAUUUUGAUUGUUGUCGGUAGUCUCCCCGAGAGAAAGUUGCAUGAUAAAUUUAGAGAUUGGACUCCACACUCUGCUCCAAUUCCUAUCUGUUCAAUUCCUUCAGUAAAUCUAUUAUCAGAAAGAUCAAUGUAAGUCAGCGGACCUUGUGGAAACCUCUGCUCCAUUUUGAACACCUGACCUACGUUGCCUGUUAGCUUGUUUGAGUGGAGAUCAAGGACACCCAAAGCAUUCAACUUAGUAAUUGAUUCUGGAACAUCUGCAACUAGCGAAUUUCUGGAGAGAUUCAACAAGUAGAGCUGAGUUAGUGUUCCAAGCCAAGAUGGCAAAUUUCCUGUCAGGUGAUUGCCUGAUAAAUCCAGCUCCUGUAUUGGACUAGGCAUUAUCUUCAAGGACUCUGGAAUUUCUCCUUGAAUUCCACAUCCAGCCAUAUAAAUUUGGGAAAGAGACGGCAAUCGCAAUAACCACUGGGGGAUGGAGGAGAAAUUAAAUUGGUUAAAAGAAAGAUUGAUUAUUUGAAGAUUGAAGAGGGAAGACAUCUCCUGAGGCAAUGGUCCUCGGAUCAUAUUGUUUGAAAUGCUUAGAAUCAAGAGCUGGGAUAACUGACCCAUUGACUCGGGUAUUAUGCCAGAUAAGUGGUUGUCAUCAAGAUAUAACUCUGUUAGAGCAGAGAGAGCUCCCAGACUUGAAGGAAUACUUCCCUUCAAUCUGUUAUGUGCGAGAGAAACUCUCUGGAGAGAGAUCAGAUUGGCAAAAUUGGGUGAGAUUUCGCCAGUUAGCUGGUUAUUGUGGAGUCUUAGGAAACUGAGAGAAGGCAUUUGAUCUAACCUUGAGGGGCUCGGGAUUUCUCCAUCGAGAUUGUUUGUGUCCAAGUACAAGACUGAAAUGGCAGUUAAGUUAGUAAUGGAAAGUGGAAUUCUCCCUCCUAAGAAAUUGUUUGAAAGAUCGAGCUCUUUCAUAUUGUGCAACUGACCAAUUUUUUCUGGGAUGGCGCCAAUAAAAGAAUUGUUGUGGAGAUCCAGAUGAACCAGCCCUGUCAGGUUUGUAAAAGAAUCGGGUACCGUACCAGAAAAUUGAUUUGAGUACAUAAUCAUAGCAUUCAGAUUUCUGAGAUUUCCUAGGCUCGGAGGGAGUGACCCAGAUAGCUUAUUCUCAUACAACAAAAGUUCUUCAAGCCGCCAGAGCUUACCAAUGCUUUCUGGUAACAUACCGCUUAUUUGGUUGCCAUACAGGUAGACCUUUCGCAACUUUUGGAGGCAGAAACCGAUGGAAGGCGGGAUUGUUCCAGCGAGAUUCAUGAGUCCACCAAGAUCAAUGACUUCAAGAGAGCUCAAGAGUGUUAUGGAAGGAGACAACCAGCCUCUGAUCUCAGAUUGGUAGACAUCGUCGCUUGUGGAAAUAAAUCCAGGGAGACGGAUUUCUGUGACUCUGCCUGUUGCAUUAUCGCAUGAGAUGCCUUCCCACUCGCAACAUUUGAGGCCGACCCAUUUCUCUAGCCUUCCAGAAGUGUCGAGGCGAAUGCCCGCUUUAAAACCAGUCAGUCCUUUCAGGUCUUGGGGAGUACAUAUUCCAUGUACAUUUGCUGCUCCAAGUGAAGCAGCAUACACGGUGAGCACUAUGAGCACACUCAGGAGCUGAUGCUGCAUUUUUGAGUCCUAAUUGAGGGUAUCUCCUCGGGUCGAAGUCUCUGAUCAAGGAAGGAGACACUGAAUUUAGCUUCCGUUAUGGAACCUGCUAAAAUUUAGGCAAAGAAAGCGACAAAAGCUCUACAGUCCCGAGAUUCUGCUUUUCUUGUUUCCCACUUUUCUUUUGUCUUCCUUUUGCUUUACAGUGUUUUGUGCUGAAAACAGGCUUUGUGUCUUGAUGAAAGCGUGCUGUCAGAGAUUUUCUUAUUUGAUUGUUCUGGGGGAUGCCUGAGAUCUCUUCCUCCGAUAUUUCGAAAUCAUUAAACUAGUCACGCCUUCUCUUUUGACAUGUCCUAAAGAUCCAGAACAUCUUACCCAAGAUCCUGCAUAAACCAAUGCGAGGACCAAAAUCCUUAUUUAUAGAUACCCCUCUUGGAAAGGAGAAGUACUUGUGCAGAUCUAGGAACGAAGUUUUAGAUCAUGGCGGGAUCUAUCAAUUUGAAGGUUUUAAUUAACCGAUUUCACGGUGGAAAGGAUCUAUGCAACUAUUUCCCUCUAAAAAGGUCUAGAAUAUUGGGCAAGCAAUAGGCGUAACCGAGGUAGUGUUGCGAGACCCCCUGCCAUGUCUACAGGUUACUUCAUUUGUUAUGUUAGAGAAAGACCUCUGACCGAAAAAAAACAAUGUUAGAGCAAGACCAGGAUGGUACGCUUGAGACCCGAGAGCAUUUUUACGGCGGAAUAAUUCGGAAACUUCCGGGUUCCCUAUAGAGGAGGUGACUCUUUUUUCUUUUCUGUUUUUUCUAUUGGUUAGCAUCAUCUUUAUAACCCAACCAUGAAAAAUUUGGACGGGCUAAGCUGGCCAUACAAAGACACUCGAGAGGAAUAAUGUCUUUGUCAGAAUCAUGUGCCUCUUUCUGUCAAAAACAUAGCUUUGCAUAUGUUGCGGGAGAGGAAAUCAUGUUUGUCUCGUGCUGAUAAAAAAACAUCGUGCAGGCUGGCAAUUUGUGCUGGGGUUCUCUACAGAACUUCGAGCAUCAUCCAUGCGCACUCUUUUAAUUUCGUCCGGGGCAGGCAUAGUCUGUAGUUUGGAAUUUCGAGACGGAUCUAACUACUGAGAAGCACCAACCUUUCCCUUUUUAAGUGGGAAAGAAAUUGAUGUGCGAAACUCCCGCUGCGUCCAAGAUGAGAAGGGAUCAAUUAAUGGACUGUGUGCAAUCAUAACCAUUAAUCUUUAUGAGACGCGUGUCGAAUCUGUUAUGGUCGGCACGAUUGACCGCUUGAAUCGAUCCGGUUCGCAUGAAUCCGUGUGAAGGCAAGACCGGCUCAGGGGAGAGAGUAGGUGUUGAAACCUGCUUUCUCCCCCAUUCAACACGGAGCAGUUACCGUCUUUCCCGUAAAGAAAUUUGUUCUACUAUCGUUACGUCCAAGGGUUUCCACUUCCGGUUGGACUUUGCUUUUGCACCUCAUGGGAUGUCCCAGAUGACUUCUUGCAAGUUUUACUUUUAUGUGCGGCUUCAGUUGUUCACUUUUCAUGAGUAUGUUUCCACUUUCCUCCGCAAUUAUAGCUAAUAGACAUAGCAAUUCCAAGUGACCAGACCAAAUUGACCUUCCAAUUGAAGGAGAGCCUCAUUAUUGAUUCCAAAGUCAUCUUUUCCAUCAUUUAUCACUAAACUUCUUCCCUAAUUAUCGAAGAAGUCUUGAGUAUACAGUUUACCAAAACCCCACUCACAUUUAUGACUUUUUCUUCACACUUUGUGAGAAAAUAAUAAACUUAUUAGAUUGUUCUAAGAUCAAAGAAGUCUUGGUGGGCCCGCUGGAUGGGCUCAACUUCACCCUUAUUGGAAAUAUCGAUACUACUUUUUUUUCCAUUAUUAAUAUUAAUUUUGUAAGUUUUGUCCGUUAGUUAUUGGAGUAUAUUUUUCCUUGAUUGCAUUUGGCAUUCUUAUUUUUAUGCAGCUUUCUAGUUUUAGGUCUUGUUAUUACAAUUCAUGCUCUGCAUAAAUCAUCAUCAAUAUCUUACAUUUUAUUUAAUUUAAAUUUAAAUUCCUCCACGUUAUUUGUUGCUAUAAUUUUAUGGAUUCACUACUAAGUGCUAAAUUUCCCUUAUUCUUCAUUGAAUCAAUACCAAAAUUGAAAAUGCUAUACAAUGUUAAAUGUAACAACCUCCUCUCUUGUCCCACAUCGCCUAGGAAGGGAGGUCUUGGUCAGCUUAUAAGGCUUUGGUCCCUCUAAUUUGUAUAACGCGUUUUAAAGCCGUGAGGGAAGAGACCGUGACUGGGAUGGCGGUUCGUCCGCGCCAGGGCGGGUAACCAAAAGCGGACAAUAUUACACAGUGGGGCCCGGGAUGUUACAAGUGGUAUCAGAGCCGACUCCCGACUGCGUGUGGGACCACAAGCUUGAAUGCUGUUCUGAUGCCCGUGGGGCCAUAGCGAGGACGCUAUUCUGUUAAGAGGUGGAGAGUGUAACAACCUCCUCUCUUGUCCCACAUCGCCUAGGGAGGGAGGUAUUGGUCAACUUAUAAGGCUUUGGUCCCUCUAAUCUGUGUAACGCGUUUUAAAGCCAUGAGGGAAGAGACCGUGGCUGGGAUGGCGGUUCGUCCGCGCAAGGGCGAGUGACCCAAAGCGGACAAUAUUACACAGUGGGGCCCGGGAUGUUACAUUAAAAGCCGAUAUGUAGCUUCUUAAACUUGAAAUAGUGAUUUUAUCCAAAUAACAUAUAUACAUGAAGAGUCUAAAGUGGAUUAACUAGGUGAUAUUGGAUUUUUAUAAGUAACAUUAAUUAUGUAAGUAUUUUAGUAGAUGGGUCAAUCGGGAAUGGCUCAUUAAAUGUGUGUUACAUAUAAAUGGGUCAAAAUGGGUUAAAUAAGUAAUUUUGGACAUAACCAUUUUAGUUCCAACACAUCCAUUUCAUAGUCCUAACACCAACCAACAAUUUGCUUGAGCAUUCUGUAAACUUACUUUAAAAAGUAUCCUGGUGUCAUUAUCUCUCUUGCGAUAUAAAGGCAUGAUUUGCUAGCCCAAUCGACCGAGCAAUUGCCUCUUGAGAAAUGUGACGAAUGUGAAUAACUUAUAGGACAAGUCUCAUCUAGUAAGUAUCUUCCACAAUGUUUACACAAAAAAAUAAAAAUAACUAUCUCUUCAUAAUUGACACGAACUCGAUUUGGUCAAAUAUAAAGCCUGGUUAUGAAACCAAUAUGGUUAUCGACAAGUUAUGUGACAGUCACUGAUAGCUAUGUAAUGUAGUUAUCGAUAAUGGAAGAACUUAUCAAUGGCUAUAAACAAUGAUGAUCAAUGACCAUGAAAUAGAUCUAUUGAUACAUGAUGGCGAUUGGGCGAUGAAUAUUUUGUUUCAAUAACAACCAACGUAUAGCCAGUUGUUUAAUUUGGUUGAGUGUUGGACAUAGGAAAAUAAGGAGAUAGAGUGAAGAUGUUUAUAUAUAUCGAUUAAGUAACAUAAUGGCCUUGAGAAUUGUAUCCUCUUAUGGAUAAGAUCAAUGUACGGAUCAGAGGCUUAGAGUGUGCGUCUAGUAGCAUUUCUGCUCCCGAGAGCAAUUUUUGUUCAUAAAUUAUUUUUUCUAUUUCUAUUCCUAAACAAGUUUCUAAGUAAAAUAAUGCGUUUAGUAACUGUAUAAAAUUUAUAUUUCAUUUUUUCAUUUAAUUAAGAAAAUGUUAAUUGAGACUUAACAAUUUAUGUUUGAAUAAAAAUGGACCUUUGUAAGGACUUAAUUGAUCAAGAUAUUCUAACAUAGUCUCUAAAAAUCCAACAUAAUAGUUAGUCAAAAUAGAUGGCUGGAAAUGGCACUAGAGAGUCUCACUGAUUUAUAACUCACAAUCAGGUUGACAGUAAAUCUUUGAGUAUUAUAGUAAACAGGUGCAUAAACCUCUUGAACUUUUCUAGCUACAAGAAGAAGAGCAAAUGUUACUUGGUAGAAUGGGCAAUGAUGGAACGAUUGAGGAUGAAGGCGAUCUUUGGUAAUAAACUCAUCAAACCUUCAAGCAAUUAACAUUGGAAAUCCAUGGAGCAUAGGUUUAUUUGACUAAUAUGAACACAAGACAAAUGAUAAUGCAAAAAAUUUAUUGAGAGUCAUCUAAUAGAAUGAUCUUAAAGGAUGUCUACAAUAAAAUCUCAAGGGAAGAAAAUCGGAGUCGCCAAGUUUUGGUGACCUCGCAUUGUCUUUAAAAAAAAAAAUCCCAUAGAGUAGCCCUAAAAGUUUAUUCAAUUUUAAAUCUAAUAUUUAUCAAAAUAUUUUCACAUUUUUAUGCUACACUUAUUAUAAAUUAAAAUUAACACUAAAAUCUAGUAAAACUACUCAAAAUCUAAUUUAUAAUUCUUUUUUAAAUUUUUGAAAUUUUUUAUUUUUUAUUUUUUAUCCCAAAAAAUGAGAAUCGAAUCGAGUCAAGAGACUGGACCUUAUGUCGACUGUGUAAAGACAAACCUUAGGUUACAUUGAGCUUGUUUUUCUAAAAUAGUUUUAUUUCUUUUUUUGUUUUCGAGAAUAAAGAAGUAGGUUUUUUCUAUUUCUUUUUUAUAUUCCAAAUCUAUUCUUUGGCUACCGAUUUGUUUCGGGAACAGAAAAAUUAAUUAAUAUUAUUAAAUGGAUUUCUGCUCUUUUUUCUGUUCUGGGGAAUAUAAAAAAGGAAAAUAGAGAAAUCAAAUUAUUAUCAAAAAGAGCCUUAGGAUCUCAGAAGUGUAGUUACAACCAUACUUAGCAUAGUAAUUGCUAAUGAGCAGUUAAAAUAAGGGAUUAUAUAUAUGGCGGCAUGUAACUAUUGGAGGGUAGGUCAUCAAGAACACACAUUCCCGAUGUACACUUAUUCAUUUAUUAAUUUUUAAUGCCUUUUUUAAUUUACAUUAUUUACAGUCUUUUACCUAAAAAAAUCAUCAAUUCUUCUAUGCUACACCGAUGGAAUUUCUAUCUGAAAUCACUACCAAACCCAUCUCAAAUAAAUAAAUAGAUUAAUAAAGAAGAAGAAAAAAGAACAAGGGUCAAUUGUCGAGAGAAAGAUUUUCUAUUACUUGGUCGACGCCUAUUUUUGGCGAGACCAACAGUAAGGACGAGGAAAGCCCUUUGGCCCAGCGUUCCAAUUUUCUUAAUAGCUUGCUUCUGUUCUCCAUCUCGAAUGAGGCCCGCACCAUCUGUUUUUUUUGGUAAAGUAGAAAUAUAUUUUUUUUGGUAAAGACCAUCUGUUUCUCACUGUCUACCGUGCUAUUAGGAAACACAGGCUCCCCACACACAGGAACAGAAAUAAAAAGGAAGGCAACAAAAUUGUAUAUCAUGUAUAAGCCUUUAAUAUCUUCUCCUUACCAUAAAAUGACUGCAUUCGUUUAUAGGAUUAUAAGGGACGGUCAACUCGAGACAGGAUCCUAAAUAUGAGGACGAUUAUCGAAAGUUCCGAUAGUUGAGGAUGGUGCUCAGUGCGCGCACAAAACCAAGGUUCGUUUUGGAAGUUCUCACUCAUUCUGUAUCGAGCAUGCUCAACAAGUGCGUUGAAAGCAUUAUGCCAAAUGGUAUUUUUACACAAGCCACUUUUCAAUGCUUAAUUUGCCAAACAUCCGAGCAUUCUCAAAAACCCCUUUACCCUAAAGAUAUUUGCAUUUGGCUAAAGGCAUUUCCCCAAAGCCGAAUCAAAUGGGCCCUCUGUAUCGAGCAUGCUCAACAAGUGCGUUGUAAGCAUCUUGUCAACGCGACGUCUAAAAAUCGCAACACAUCUCGGGUGGCAGAAUAAGGUAGCCAGAAGUGACGGCAAUGACUUGGUGCCCCCUAUGGUUUCUAUUAGUGGCUUCUUCCACGCUAGUGACACGGGCCAAGAAUGAGCAUGCUCCAAAACCGUCCAAAACGAUAGGUUCGUGUCCCACACAAGGGCCAACCCGCAAGCUACCCAUGAACAAUCCAGAAACGACCCACCAUCAAUGCAUGAGUCGACCCAUGAGUAAUACAAACCGACCCAUGCGCAACAUAAGAUGAGCCUGUGAUUGUUCAGUUCCUUGUGUCAGUUGUUGUCUCAAGCGACCUUUGGGUUUCCUAUGGACUGGCCCUACAGAACCAUGGCAAAUGUCCUUUGGGCUUCCCCACGCCUUAAGGCCUCUUGAGUUGCAUGUAGCCUUGUAUUGAUUGUGCAUAUUUGAAUCGAAAGGGGAUAAACGGCUAGGAUUAAGGCCGCUUAUGUAUGAAUAGGGGAUCCUCUCCCUUCAAAUGUACACACCAUUAUUCAUGAGUAAUACAUUCGAGUUUCACCCCACAUUUUGUUUUUAUAAGUUGCAUGUAUGUAAGGCUGACUUGGAUCGUGAUCCUAAGGCUGCACAGAUAGGUGAUGGUUUGGAAUCGGCUGACCCAUGACACUAGGCUCUAGGCUCUAAGUGGGUAGUUGAUAUCGAGGCUGAGAAAAUAAAUGCCGCACGAUUUGGAGCCUCAGUGUUUCGACUACAGCCGUUUAAGCCACCGACCGGCCCCAUUAUGGGUGUUCCAAGAUGGGCGGUACUGGCGAGAUCCCCCACCAUGGUGGUCCUCGGUCUGACCAUCAUUGAAUGCAUUUAACCCUCCUUCGUAGUCAAUUCCUCACCUCAAAGACAUCGACCGUUUUCUUUCCAACUAAUAACGCCACGCCAUGAAGACCCAACGGCCUAGUCUAGUUCAGAGAACGAAGUUACAAAGUGCUAAUCUACAUCUAACCUAUUCCUAAUCGAGAGAUGUCUAGGCACUCUUACCGCAAUUUCUCGUGGAAAAAAGACACAUCGGGACAUGAAACGUGUUCAUCUGCCUGCGCAAGACCCUGAUCUCGCACGAAGACCGCCAUCGUUAUGGAAGGUGAGGAUGAAAUGACAAGGAGCAAUCACCACGUAAGCCUCGGCAUGGUUUUUUUUUUUUUUUUUGUCAGGUCGGCAUGGUUUGGCAGGCCCUUCCGCACCUCCUCGUUUCACACCUGGCCUCCCAAAGAUAUUCCCAAAAGCCAAUCUCUCUCUCUCUCUCUCUCCUUUUAUUUAUAGCCACCCAAUAUGCUGAACUAACUCUUGUAAUAUCUGUCCUUCGUUGCGAGACCAAACUCGCUCGUCCCAGUGUGAUCUCUCUCUGUCUCUCUCUUUUUGCGUCACUGGGCGCGACCAUCAUCCGGUGAAAUGGCGAAGGGCGGGGAGGUGAAGCUGAUCGGGGGGUGGCCAAGCCCGUUCGUGAUGAGGCCAAGGAUCGCGCUGAACCUGAAGGGGUUGGAGUACGAGUUCCUGGAGGAGAAGUUCGGCGCCAAGAGCGAGCUCCUCCUCCGCUCCAACCCGGUCCACAAGAAGAUCCCCGUCCUCCUCCAUGCCGACCGCCCUGUCUGCGAGUCCCUCGUCAUCGUCCAGUACAUCGACGAGGCCUGGCCCUCCUCCGGCCCUUCCAUCCUCCCCUCUGAUCCCUACGACCGCGCCACCGCCCGCUUCUGGGCCGCCUACAUCGAUGAGAAGGUAUCCGUUCCCGUCUUCGAUAUCUCAGCCUCUUUUGUAUUUUAUGGUUAGUUGCUGAUCUGAUGAAGAGCAUGUUAAGCAUUUCCAGUCGCAGAUUAUAGUUGACAUUAUAAAUUUUUUGGGAGCCUUCGGUCUUAUGUGGUGAUCGAAUCGAAGAGAUACUGCUCAUGCCGAGCCUUGGAAAUCAUGUUUAGCACGGUUCGAGAGUUACCUAGUUCUUUAGUUUUCAUACCGUGAACCGGAUCUAUCUAUUCAGCUGACCGCGCUUAUUGCUCGGUCAAUCGGGGUUCUCGCGCAUGCGGUGAUUCUUGCAGAUCCAAUAUUUAUGGGUCAAUUUCAAUUUUAAUUCCCUAUUUCUCUGGAAAAUUAUGGUUGUUGAUUGGAUUUGGGCCGUCAGAUAAAGUAGGCCAACUAAAAUGCCUGACGUUGGGGCUCACAGAGUUUUCAAAUAAUUUAAUCUACUUAAAAUUAUAUCAUUAAAAUGUCAAGUAUAUGGUGUGCACCGUUGAUUAAUAGAAAAUUAUCAAAAAAAUCAUGAAUUUAUUGUAAUUGUUCCAAUUUAGUUUAUUCAACUAAUUUUGACUAGCUGGCACAUAGACAAUUAUUAAUAAUAUUUUUAUUUAUUAUUUAUUUUCUUUCUUUUCUUUUUCUUUUUCUUUUCCAUCACUUCCUUCUUCCUUUAGCCAGUCAUCGACUUAGUGAAAAACUAAAGCCAAGGUUGGCAAGGUCCCUCACUAACCUCAAGCAUGGAUGGAUGAGGCUCCACCUUGCCAUAAUCGACAAGGCCACCCUCAUGGCCUCAAGCAAGGGCUUGAGCCUUGCUAGGGCUUGGGCGAGGCACAACCUCACCAGACCUAGCAAAGUCAAGCCUUGCCCAGUCGAGUCUUGUCUAAGUCCACCAAGGUUGGCCCUGCCUUUGGUCGGUCAUCGAUCGUUUAGAGAAAGAAGGAAGUGAAGAAAAAAAAAGAAUUUUUUUUUAAAAAGAUAUUACAAUAUUAAAUUUUGUUCAUGUCAAUGUCGAUAGGAUUAUGUAGGAUCAUCGGUGCUCAUGUCAACUUUAGUAAGCCAAAAUUGAACUGAUAGAUUGAAUUGAUACAAAUGCAAGAGGUUGAAUUUUCAGUUGACAAAGAAAAUGUUAAUAAUUAAAUAAGCAUAAUUAUGAUAAAUUUAGGACUUUUUUAUUAUUAUAUAAUUUCUCAUUAAAUUCUCUAUACGGGCUUUUUUUUUUAAUGUAAAAGAGAAGUAGUUGGUAAAGAAAUAAAAAUUGUAUACUCGUCAUCAACUCUAUCCUAUUUAUGUAAUGAUUUUUUGUGCCGUCAAUGUACUAAAUAAGUCAUUUUAAGACUGUGUACACACACACAUAUGUGUGUGUGAAGUAGUUGGUAAAGAAAUAAAAUUUGUAUACUCGUCAUCAACUCUACCCUAUUUAUGUAAUGAUUUUUUGUGCCGUCAAUCUACUAAAUGAGUCAUUUUAAGACUCUGUAUACAUACACAGAGACAUAUACAUAUAUGUGUGUGUGUGUGUGUAUAGUGAUGUGACAGGGCAUGAGCGGACAUAUAAUAAUCUGGGAUAAUUUAAAUGCCACACUUUGUAGUAUAUAAAUUUUGUACAUAAAUGUUAGUAUACAAUGCUUUGUUAGCUUUGUUAAGAACAAGCGAUUGCCAAUAUCACGCGCAGUGGUUCCCGUCCAUGAGCGGCAUCGCCAGAGCGCAAGGGGAGGAGGCGAAGAAGGCGGCGAUCGACCAAGUCGUCGAAGGCCUGUCGCUGCUGGAGGACGCGUUCGGCAAGAUCAGCAAGGGCAAGCCCUUCUUCGGUGGGGACACCAUCGGCUUCCUCGACAUCGCGCUCGGGUGCUUCCUCGGGUGGGUGAGGGUGACGGAGAGGACGCAAGGUCUGAAGCUGCUCGACCAGGCCAAGGUCCCGGGGCUGGCCAAGUGGGCCGAGAGGUUCUGCGCCGACAGCGCGGUAAAGGGGGUGAUGCCGGAGACGGAGAAGCUCGCCGAGUUCGCCAAGUUGAUAAUGGCCAAGUUCAGAGCUCCUCCUCCCCAGUGAAUCAGGGAGAAGCAGUUUCUUGUUCGCUCGUUUUAGACGCGCAAUCGUGCGGUGAUGACUGAGUAGGGGAAUAAAUGUUGUGGACCUUCUUGGGUUGCUUACAGCUCCGACAUGUCACUCUUUUGAGGUGGCCGGGGUACGCUCAUUUAGAGCAGGGUGGCAGAAGAAUGUACUGUCGAGGUCUCGGUUGAACUUUGUAUUUAACAAAGAUCAAUCUGGCCUUUCUGAAUUAAUUUCUUGUCCAGAGUACGCGCCGUUGAUCGGUUCUCCCAUCUUUUCCGGUUGAAAUUGACGCAGAUAAUAACCUUCGUGUUUUAAAAAUCAACUUACAUUCCAAAAAUAGAUUUUUCUAUUUUUAUUUCAUGGAUAGAUUUCGCAGUAAAAAUAAGUGUUUAAUAACGAUAUAGCAUUUUUAUUCCUAAAAUAGAAAUUCAAUAGAUAACAAUACAAAAUUUUUUAACUCUUAGACAACGGCAACAAUAUAUGGCUAACGGUAAUUGAUGAUCGGCGGAUGGCAAUUGGUGACUAGUGGGCGGUGGUCGGCAAACAACAACCUUCAGUGGGUGGCUGGCGGACAACGGUGGAUGGUGAUCGGUUGUGGCGGACGGCAACUUGCGACCAAUGGCGAUAGCGGCAGACGAUAGCUAAAGAUCACAUCGGUGGCGGCGGAUAGCAAACAGUGACCGGCGGCAGCAAACGAUGAGCAAUGGUAAGUGAUUGACCGAUUAGUAGAAAGGACAAAUGAAUGAGAAUAAUUUCUAUUUCUCAUUUCUAAUAGAAAUAAAGAAAGUAGAAAAUUUUUCCUUCUCAUUUAUGUUUCAAACUUAUUUCUAAAUUAAAAAUUUAUUCUAGAAUAAAAAAAAUGAAAUUACAUUAUUAAAUAGAUUUACAAUCCAAACUUAUUGCUAGAAACAAAAAAAAUAAUUUUGGCUAGAAAAAGAAUGGUUAUCAUACGCGACGUCUAUACUUUCCCUUUGAAUUAAAUGCUCCCGUCUCUGAGUCUAGAACAACAUGAGAUUGGAAGAUAAAUCAAGCUUGUGUGGAGUUGAAGUCGCAAAUAAUAACGAGGGUGAUUCGAUUGAGCUAAGGCAAUAUUAUCGCACCCCAAAAUCUAUAAGGAUAGGGUAAUGACAUAAUCGUCAUUUCACUUGAAUGAUAUAACCUCAAAUUAUAAGUCCAACUCCCAAAAAGUCUCCAUCGAGAGCGCCAUUGUAUUAUCGGCCGCUAAUUGAGAAAACUAGAAAGAUUGGGAAAUGAGGGAGUGAACAACCACAGUUCAGUUAUUAGUACAUCUAUUCAAAGCAAAUUGAGUAUUCGCUAUACACAUUCAACAAAACAACAUCAAAACUAUUUAUCUCAAUACAUGUGUAUAAAAUGAGUUAUAUUGCUUUAACAUAACUAUAAACAUAUCUGAAAACAUUCGUUAAAUCAAUAUCAUAAUGAACAUCAACGGUCCAAUCCAUUGAUCAAUCUCAACAACUCGUGUAUUAAUGAUUUAUUCCAUUGAUAAAUCUCAUCAAACUACACAUCAAUGAUUCAUUCUAUCAACUAAUCUCAAAUUACAUGUCAAUGAUCCAUUCCAUUGACUAAAUUCAUAUUAUCAAUGGUCCAAUAAAUACCAUGAUCAUUUAUAACGUUUGCUUACUAGGCGACUAAGCUCCUCCCUUAGUAAAAUUUUCACCUAUAUUGCUAAUGGCUAGCAAAUAUAAUAAAAUAGUAUUUGCAUACCUGCUUGGGUUAAUAGUGAUAUUAAGCAUCAAACUCACAUUCUCUAAUAUCCACAUAGUCAAUCCAAAAUAUAAAUUACAAUUCGAUUUCAUAAACCAAAACAUAUAAUCUUUCGCAAAUCAACUCAUCUCUUGGAAUACUUUUCGUAAAAUAUUUCUCACACUAUUUCGGAAUUCAUUUCACAAACUGAAUUUAUAAACAUUAUUCUUCACAACGCAUUUCCUAAAACAUUUUCCAAACCAUUCUCAAAUACCAAAAAAUAAUAAAUGUCCAAUCCAGAUUUUUACACAAGGUACAUGUUCUUUCAUAACUCAUAAUACAUCAAAUCUUUAUAAUCUUCAAGACAUGAGUUUACAAGUUUAUAGAAUAGAUAGCAUUACUUAUUUGGGAGUUCCCACACCAAACAACAUGGCUGAUUUGAAUCGACGAUCUCAUAAUCUUAACAAUUAAACAAGACUACCCCAAAAUCAAGGAAAAUACUACCUCAACAAGCUUAAAUGCUAACAAAAUAACUUCUAUGCGAAAACAAAUCACUUACUCACAGCAAUUACUCAAACCUAAAUACAACACGGAACUCACAUAUCAAACUCUAAAAUUUCCCUCUAACUAAACCAUUGUUUUGAAAUGACUCCCGUCAAAUCUUAUGGCUCUAUAACGACAUAAACCAACAUUUUCAUGAAAUUCCAAAACUCAAUAACUCAAGAAUCGGACUUUGCUAGUUCGAAUUUUACAAAACUUCAAAGUUAAAUCGUAAUUUAAAAAGCUGCUUCAAUUGAACGAACGAAAGGUGCAGAAGAGAUUGCAAUACGGAGUUAAGUCGGUUUGACAAGGCAUCCGUGGCGAUUACCCCUCUCCUCCCUUUCCUUCCCUGUCUCGUGUUCUUUUCCUUCCCGUGUUUUCUCGGCGCGUCUCAGCUCUUAUAUAUUGAGCGCUAAAGUGUUCACUUUCUUUCAUUUGUUGACCAGUCUUUCUUUUUCUUCCUUCUUCUUUUUUUCCGGGUCCCACAACCUUUAGACCUGGUCAACCCACGUACUACAAAUAAGAUUGCAGACCUAACAUGGCAUCGAUCGAGGUAUACUCUUGAUCGCCACGGACGUCUUGAACACGCUCAAAUGGAAAUACCGUGUUAAAUCUUGAUCAGGAGAGAGAGAGAGAG